rnacentral:lncRNA from 1 species
GAAAAAGAUUAAAAAAAAAGUUCAAACCUGUGUUUUACUUGGAUCAACCGGGUUAUAGAUUGACUUGAGUUUUUGACGAAGUCAAGUCAAAUCAACUUUUCUUGUAUUUUUUCUUACAUCCAAAUUAGUCCAAACCUCGGGUUGAUCGGUCCAGUAUCUACAAAACACAAAAUAAGGUAAAUUGUUUAGUUUAAAACACUCCAAACAGAAUACAUUAUAGUUAUUUCUCAUAUCUAUCUAGUCUUGUCUAACCAAUCCUGUCCUAUUCAAUAUAUAAUAUCCAACGUAUCAAAUAUUACCUAAUAAAUUUAUUGAAUCUGGACAGAUAAAUAUUUAAAUUAUAUAAGUAGAGAGCCUGCAUAUGUUUUUAACAAAAAGUUGACAUUGUUUAGUUCCUCUCUCCUAUAGACCCAUUUUUUUACUUUUCAAGGCACAAUUAUACAAGUUACUUGAAAAGCAUAUAACAUUUCAUUAUGGGUUUAAAGCUUUUAUAUUUAAAAAUUUAUCGAACAAUAGUUUUUUUAAAUUAAUUUUUUAUUAAUCCAAAAUUAAUUUUAUACAUAUUAAUAUUUUAUGUUAUAGAAAAAAAAACAUACACAGAUGUAAGCAUAGACUUUAAUAGUUGAGUUUGUAGAUGGUUUAUUCUCAGUUUUUUAUAUUAUUCUAUAUUUUUAUACUUAUUCAAGUUGGAAUAAGUUCACUAAUACUCACCUAUAUAUAAAAUAAAUUAAAAGAGAAAAGAAUUAUAUUAAUUGAUGGAUCUAAAUAUAUACAUGGAUAAAAAGUUAAAAAAAAAUAAAAAAAUAAAAAAAUAAAUUAUAAUAAAAAACUAUUUAAUUUAUCACAAUAUCUUCAAAUUGCGACCAUGAAUCCAUGAUAUCUUUGGCUUCUAUUCUCUGGUACUCACCCUCGAAUCUAUGGAGAUUUGAAAUAAAUCUCUCUGAACUUGACUGCCACUAGAAAUCUUGAUAUUUGUGUUUUUUAUAAAAUUUGUCGGUAUCAAUAGUUUGAGCUAUUUGAAUUAGAAUUUAGGCAAAGCCACUCAAGGACACUGAAGUACUAGAUUUGGCCCACACCUUCCAUUAGCAAGGGUGUUAAAAACCAACAAAUAUUUAUAAUAUUUAUAUUAUUUGAAAUGAUUUAGCCAAUUAAAAUUAGAUAAUAUAAAUAUCAUGUAUAAUAUUAAAUCAAAAAAUCUAAAAAAUAAAUAUUAUAAAUUAAGUAACAGAUUAAAUUUUUUAAAAUCCAGUCAACUCGAGUCAACUUAUAUAUCUUAUAUAGCUCACUGACUAGUUUUCUUUCCAUUUUAGUUAACCGACUUAGUUGAUAUAUUAAGACUAAAUUGUUUGUUAAAGUUUAUAACAUGUUUUAGGCUAAUUUAUUGAGCUCUACACUUAGUUCUAUUUAAGUAUAACCCAUGAAAAAUAAUAAUAUAAACUGUGGAUAUUUGUAAAAUCUACACAAAAAUUAGUGCAACUUGAUAUAUUCAAUUUAAUUGAAUUCAAAAAAUUUAAAUAAGUUAAGUUUAUAAUUUAUAAAAUAUUAGAAGGUGGAUUAAAUACAAUUAUGGAUAUAAACCUGACUAAUUAUAUUCAUAAACCCUCUAAUUAUUAGAAAGAAUUAUGAUUAAAAAAAACAAGAGGAUAUUUAUAAAGCUAAUAUGAGGGAAUUAUUUUUCUUUUUUUAAAAAAAAGUUGAGAUCUUCAAUUAAUUUAUUUGCCUCUAUGAUUGAUUCCGUGAAUUCAUUAUAUAAUUGAAAGUAUUUCGUCAGCCGCGCUGGGGGUAAUAACCACCACCAGAAUCUAAUUGAUGGCCACGAAGAAAUACCAUAAUAUUGAUUACUAUAAAUCGUUCAAGGUUCAAACAAGAAUCAGUCCAUUGAUUACCACCCUGCCAUGCUGACCAUGAUGAAGUAUUUUCAAUUUUUUCACCAUGAACUUUAGGAUACACCCUUUACGAAAGCUUGACAUGCAUUGAUGCUAUUUUCUUCUUUUCUUUUUUUUUUUCUUAUUAAUCAUGGGUAUAUAAACUAAUUUAUACGUAUCUUAACUAAAUCUUUAAAACUUUAAAGUUAACGACUAUGUAAAUUUUUAAUAAUUUUAAAAUUUAUGAUACUUAAACUAAUAACUUUAAAAAACAAACUCAAAAUUUAACCAAUUAAACUACUUUAUUAUUGAAAUUAGAAUGAUGCUAUCUGGAAUUUUUUUGUCGUGAGUUAUUUAGAAACCACGUCAGAAAUCAUUCUAGAAGCUACAACUUCCUCAGGACAUACAGAGUAGUCUCAACUGAACAAAAUUUUGCCACUCCCCACAGACUGUUACAGGUUAGCAAAAACCAACCAGAAAUUUUGACAAGAUGAUCGUGCUAAGGCUCGAAUGGCAAUCAGUGAGCCAUGGAAGGAGAUUGUAACAAUGUUAAAUGGUUGCGGUUUAAAGAACUAAUAAUUUCAUAAAAUUUGAAGAAUGGAAGGAACAAUCUUCUUUCCAUCAUUACAGAAAAUAAAUUUUACAAGGUAGGAAAUACGAAGGACUACCUCUAUGAAUCAAAUCCUUUAUAAUACACACUUACAUUUUCAUGGAUGAGAAGUAAAAAGGAAAGGGCAUAGAAACCAAAAGAAGUGAGUAACCUCAGUGUCUCAAAACCGAACCUCCGUCUUCCGCACUGAUGAAAUAUGGACUUGUGAGAGAACCAUGCGAAACAAGGCCAAACAAUUCCUACUUGCACCAAGGAGGUCACCACACCUUUAUAUCCUUCAUGAAGGUAUACUCAAUUUACAUCAGUCAGAGCUCUCAACCAGCUGCAGUGGCCCGAGGACUUGUCCCACUGGCAAUGGCAGCAGAUGAGAUGAACUUCGAGACAAGCACAGCUUCAUUGCUUACAACCUUAGAGGUCGCCACAUCUUCCAAGCGCUUCCAAGUUAAAUCUCUUUUCUCCCGUGUCUCCAUCUGUUUGACUUCAUCUUCUUCAAAUUUGACCAAGCAUUCAUCGAAAAUUUCUUGAUCAGCGUCUGAGAAUAUCUUCUUGACAUUCAGGGUCAAACUCUGAACAGCUUGGUUCCAAUGCCCCCUUGUAUUUCUCUCCAAAGCUGGGAAGAUUAUAGGCAGUAUCACUCUGCGAUUCUGCGUGAUCAAAUUUCUUAUGUGAUCAUUGUUCCACAAAAACAAAGCACGUUCUGCAACCUGCCACAAUACCAGAUUCCAUAUGAACAACCCAAAGUUCAAAUUCAAAUCCUUCAGAUGGAGCAGAAAUUUAGUAAAUAACAGGGAAAAUACUACGUAAAUCCAUAUGAUUCUAUCAAUAUAGAUUUCAGCAAGCCAGUGUAAGCUCUAAAGUGAAAAUAUCUACUACAAUGGAUGUGAAACUCACUGCACGCAAGCUGGAGUGAGUCUCACUCCAGCAUCCUUCAUUUCUUCAUAUUAAAACCUCAAUAUCACAUGCAGAUUUGAAAACUGAAAAGCAUGCUUAUUGUGCUAAAACUUCAGCAAAUACAUCAAUGACCAAAGAAAGAAUCAUAGCAAAACCACGAGUGAUUUGCACUUCGAGAAAAACCAGACAGUAGAAGCUUCCUCAAACAAGGCUAAACGUGAAAACCAUUUUCAUGGCAUAAAAUACUCUUUACAUCCUCUACUACAAUACAAAUGCUGAACUUUCAGCAUCUAGACAUUCAACAUAUUUUCAGAACAGGAAGUCCAUUGGCUUUUUCUUCCAACCAUUGCCCCACCUGGAAACAUAAAAUUACAGUGGGAGGGCAGAACAGCACAUACCUGUAAUCUUAAUGAUAAUGCAAAUGUAUAGAAAUGAUUUUGUCGAUUGUACAAUGUUAAAAAUAAUUUAGCUUCUCGGCCUCAUUAAGUGUCAAAAUUAUCUAUUAGUGCUCAUAAGAUAACCAUUUAAUUGAGGGGUUUUGACAAGAAAAGAGAGGUAAAAAAAUUUACAUGGCCAUGUGGGGAGUUCCAUGAAAAAGCAUCUGUAAGGCGGACACUUAAGCUAGCCUUUUUUUAUUUGGACUGCUGCUAUAGGGAAGAUUAUUAUGGUGAUAGCAUAAUCACAAAGUAAAAUACUACUAUUGAAUGGUAAUGAGUGAAAGAGAUGUGAGGAUCUGAUAGAGGAUAUGGUGGAGAAUAUAGAAAGGCAACAAUGUAAAUUAAUAUUUAAUUAUUUACAAAUUUUAAUGUUGUAUGAUCAUUCUAGAUUUUUAUUAUUAAAUUCAGAAAUAUUAGCAUUUAUUAUUUAGAAAUUAAAAAUUCCCAGAUAAUCAAAUAAUUAAUAGUAUACCUUCUGCAGUAGCUAAGGAGUUAUGGUUGCGAGCUUUCUCUAGAGUUGGAUUUGUUGAAUUAUGUCUAAAUCAGAGACACAAGUUCCUAGGCAUGGCAGGGGACAGCAGGGGCACUUGUGAAAGAUAAAAAGUGGAGAGCUAUUGCGUUAUUCAUUUCAUGGACUGUUGGAGUGAACAAAAUGUCACCAUUAUGGAGUGGAAGUCCCAUCAUAAAGACACUAGCUCAAGUUGUAAGGCCCUUGUACAGAUGGAUGCUUCCAUAAUACCUACUUUUUUCCAUUUUCAUGGAAAGUAUCUCUAGACUUUUCAAUUAACCUCAUAAUGGUAAGUUAGGCUUUUCGUUGAUUUUAUCUCAAGGGGUAAUCUUAUAUACUUCCCAUGAGCCGAGUGCACCCCUAAGUAUUAUCUCAGAGAGAAAAAUCAUGGCACUUUACACAGCCUUCUUGAUUUGCAUAUCAAAUAGCAAAUUAAAUACGACAAUGGAGUCUUGAAAGAGCAUAUUGAAAGGUUCUUUCAGGUAUUGAAUACUUAGUCACAUGAGAAGAGGAUACCUAUCAAAGAUGCAUGAUAAGAAAAAUAUGGCAAAUGACGUGGAAAAGAAAAGCUAAUUCUGUUAGAUCCCUUUAUGAUUUCACAUUAUUUGCACAUAUUAAUUCUUUAUUACAUGGAAAACCCAAGAGCAAACAAAGUUAUCAACGGAAUUGCAUGUUUUUUAAACCAAGACAGAUGUCCACACCUCUCUUCAUCAAUAUCAUAAACCCAACUUGUACAAUUCAGUGCAGAAAAAUUACCGCAACCAAGUAAGCACAUAAAUGCAGAAAAACACAAAUCCCUUGUAAAUACUGAAAAUCCACAAAUUUCUAACUAAUUACGAAGUGAUCACAAAGAUAUCAAACUCUCAAUUUUAUACACGCACAUAAAAAGUGGUACAAAUAACUAGGUGAUAAACUACACCUGCAACUAUCCAAUUUGGAAUUCAUAUAUCCUCAUGAAAAUUAUUAAAAAAUCAUCUAAUGUGAGAUGGCAAAAAUAAUAAUUAAAGAAGUUUUAGUUGCAAUGAAAUGAAAUGAAAUGCAAGAAUGAUCAGUAAUUACAAAUAUAAUGUCAAUAAUGAGAUGAUAAAUGCACUUACUAAGCAGCAGAAACAAUAAAACAGUAGAAGCUAAAAAAAAAGGCUUAAUCUAAACACAAAAAUAAUAACCAUUCUGAACCCAGUACCUGAAAAUGCGAGCUGUUGAGGCAGCGACCAAUUUGAUGGAACAAAGGGACCAUGCACCGCUGAAACUCUGCUGCUUGAGUAGCCUCUAAAACUUCCUCCAACUCACCAAGAAACAUAACUUCCUUGGAACUAUUAGUCAUGGGCCAAUACUUCAACAGACCUCGGACUACAGUAUCAGCCAGCUUGAAGUCUUUCUCCACAAAUUGAGUUAUACAAUAUGACAGUUGCUGAUGAUACAUUGAUACACAUUUUGGCUUGUGAAGUGGAAUUAAGGCACGGAGAAGGAAAAGCUUGUGCUCUUCCUUCAAUGGCAAAGCAAACCCAUUAAUAAUGCUGCCCAAUAUCUCAAGCAUUUCUGCAAUCCCGUUAUGCCUCUCUGCCUCGAAAAUGAAUAUGUAAAAGAUAUUGUUGAUAGCUUUUCUAAUGAAUGGUCGAUGUACCAUGAACUUUCCAUAAAUACGGUGGAGUAUCGUCUUCAAAUACUCCCUCUCUCUUUGGUCUUCAGAAUCAAAUAAGUCCAGCAAUCUCAACACAAAUGAAUGGUCAAUGUAUCUCUUGGCGAGCUUGGCAUCAGUCUCUGAUGAAGCCACAAAUCUAAGCAGAAAAUCAUACACAAUCUGAAGAUGAGGCCAGGCAGGCUCCAUAGCUGGUUCUUCAUCUUCAGGGUCAAACAUUUCUAGAAUCUUGUUAUCAUGGUUCAUAGAUGGAAGUGUUCUAAACAAAUUGGCUGCCACCAUCCUCGUAAUUUCUUGCAUUGCAAUCUCAUUGAACUUUGAAGUAACAGUUGAAAUAUAAUCAAGAAGCUCAUGCAAAGUCUGCCUCUUAAUGUCCUUCUCUUUAAGAUUCUUAGAAGGAUCUCUAAAAUCAAACACAACGCAACACAUAUUCAAUUUCUUCAUAAAGAGAUUAUGCUUCUCCGAGUUAGGAACAUCACGAAAGCUAGGCAAUGCCUCAUAAACCCCAGAAGUCAUCAAAGGACCCAAUUGAGGAGCUGACUUUUUCCCUUGAUUCCCCUUGCUAUUCGGCACCAGGCUCCCAUUGUUCAAGCGUGAAGCGCCCGAGCUCGGAUUCAAAGAUUUGGACGAAUUGGAAGAGAGCUUUGAGUUGUUAAUGGAACUGGGCCCAUUAGAUGAGUUCAAGGACGAGUGGGCAUGGAAUCCACCGUCAUUGUUUGAAUCAUUACUGGAUGGUUUUGAGGGUUUUCGAGGUAGCUUACCCAAUAUCUGUUUGAUCAUAUCUGUUGCUAAGCCCUAACCCUAAUCCUAAUGUAUUCCCAGCAAAUAAAAACCAAAGCUUCCACCUUGAAAACACCUUAAAACUAAUCCAUUUUUCACAGCUAGGCAACAGAAGAAUAAUCAAAUUUGUACAUUUAAAAAAGGCUAUCCAUGGAAGACUCUUAAAAUUCAAAUUCCUACCUCAGGAUUCAUCAACAAAGCAGGGAAAAAAACCCACUUGAGGAAAUUUCAUAUACAGAGGGGGAAAUUACUUACAUUGAUGACAUGAACAGAUAGAUCUGAGAAAACCUAGAAAUUUGAUCUGAGAUUGAUAAACCCACAAUUUGAUUUGAGAAAGAGGGGGAAAAACAACAUGGACAAGAUUAUCAAAUAAAAAAAAAGUCAAAUUAAAAUACGACAGGAAAAAGUAGGAAAGUGGGAGUUGCAUUUAUAAAAACAGUCAGAUUUUUUUGUUCUUUGUUUCUUGCUCCGUGUGCCAAGUUUAGGAAAUGGUAAAUUUUAGAUAGCCCAAAAACAAAAACAUAAGAAUUGAAACUCCGGACUGAACCCAGCCCGGCAUGCUUAGCCGCAGCCUCACUCGGAUCCAGUUUUACAAUCAAUAAUUUUAUUUUUUUUGAACAGGUGUGAUUUUGUUAAAAAUUUAGAUUAACUUUUAUUGGAAUUGAUUGAGUUAAAACCAAGUAAAAAAUAACACAUUAAUUUUUUAAAAAAAUAAAUUUAGAUUAUUAUGUUUCAUCUUGGCCACGGGUUGAUUCCAAAAUAAAUUUAAUAAUUAUUUUUUUUGUUUUAUAUUUUUAUUUUGUUAAUAACUAUUUUUAGAUCCUUUCUGUUUUCUUUUUCUAAAUUAUUUAUUCUUGGUGGAUUUAUCUUUUCUAACCUCAUCAUGUAUUUUGCACAGGUGGGUAAAGGAUUACAAUGGAACCCAUUAUCUAAUGUCUUCAUAUGAGGUUGACUUUUUCAUUUGACUAACUUCUCCCAUCCAAGUCAUCAUAUGAUAUUUAUUUGUUACAAUGAACCCAUUAUCUAAUGUCUUUUAUUUUUUUAAUGAAAAUUGUUAAAUUUCUUGCCUUCUUGGAUUGUCCGACAAUUUUUCAUCUUUACUAUUAUUUUAAUAGGAAUCACUAGUACAAAUUUAUUUUUAUUGUUUGGGUGGAGUUAAAUUUCUCAUAGUUAUUAAAUUUAACUGACUUUAAGAAAUUCAAGAUUCAAAGUAUGAUUUAGGUUGGAUUUUUAGCUAAAUUAGAUAAGAUAUUGACUCAGACAAACUUGUUUGACCCGAUCAAGAUUUUAGUAACCUGGUUGCCUAACAAACCCAAACCAAACCCGGUUGAGUAAAAAACCAUGAAUAUUUUAAUAAAAACAGUUGAUCAAAGUUGACCCCGUGAUCCAAAAGUUAAUUUGUGAGCUGAUAACUUGAGCUUUUUUUCAAGUUAGUCUCUAGAUUGGGUUUGAUAAUUUUGGAAUUUCUCUGCUAAUAUUGCAAAUGCAAAAUUGGAUUUUAUACUAAUUUUGUUGAUAUGUACAUUAAUAAUGAUAUUAACUAGUGGAAUUUAAGAUCCAGUUAUAAUUUUUAAAAAUAAAUAAAUAAAAAAGAUUCUCUUUUCUUUUCAAGUAAUUUUAUUAGUUUUGAAAUUAUAAGUUGACACAAAUAAAGUUAAAACUCAAGAUCCCACCCUUUUCUUGUUCUAUGCAAGUCUUGGUGAACUAGAAGUUCAUCUCCCUUAACAAAAAAUAAAAAGCUUUUCAUGAAAGCUAGCCUCCUUAACCUGAUUAACAUAUGUCAUCAUGAACUCUUAACGAGCUUAUAAACAAGCUUUUUAAGGAUAAAAAACCACUCUCUUGUCAUUUUUGAAUUAUUGUCUAAUACAUUGAGCAAAGAUCCAUGUCAAAACUCAUGUCACAUAUUUCCUUCUCUCUAAAAGAAUGACAUGCACCUCCAAAAAUGUUGUCAUCGCUCUCAUUCAUACUAUAUCUCAUACUCUUGCUAAAACUUAUACUACUUGGGGAUGUGGCCUCUUCUUCAUCCUUGUGCAAUCAUAUCCAAGCUUCCCUUUUCUUUUCUUUAUCAUUUUAAGCUAAAAGAGGAUAAAUCUAAAAGGCAUUCAUUCUUUUCAGUUGAUUGGGUCAAGAUGAGAUACAGGUAGUUAAAUCUAAUAAGUGAAAAAAGGUUGCCUGUAAUUUGUCAUCACUAGUUAUAUCAACCAAAAAUGGAUAAAGCAGGUGACAAGAAAGGCAGAUCUAGGGUAUUUUAGAAAAGAGAUCUAGUGCUGAGAAAGAUCUUACAUCUACCGGGAGAAUAUUAGAGUAAGUGGGCACCCAAUUACGAAAGCUCAUAUACAAUGAAGAAAACAUUCUUUAGGGGAGCUUUGUUUUUUACAAGAAUGGAUUGAGAUAACUUGCUUAGGCAUGUGAGCUUUGACUCUGUAAAGAAAUACUAUGUGUAGUGCACUCAUCUCCUUUAAAUCAAUAAAGUUUGGAUAUUCAUUCACAUUACAUCUUGUAUAUUUUACAAAUAAUUUCUAAAGGCUCAACAAAAAAAAUCAUUUUUCAAAAAUCAUUCUCUUAAAUAAAGGUUUUCAAGAUUGGACUUUGACUAAUGAUUUUAAGAAAAUUCAAUGAUAUGUCAAGAGCAAUAAUUCAUCUAGCAAGUCCCUAUGAGAUGGCUAAAUACCUAGAAACCCAAAGGAAUGACUUAAAUAUCAAAGUUUGUUAUAUAAGAGUCAUGAACUCGCAAAACAAUUCAGUGCAAAUCACUACAGUAAUGAGAUCAAAAUUUAUCAGUCAUAACCAAUCUUUCUUGAAAUAAGAAAAGGCUAUUUUUGAUAUCCCCUAGAGAUGAAUGUCUUUUGUAGUUCUAAUUUGAGCUGAAAUUUUUUUUUCUUUCUAAAAUAACAUUGGCUAGGAUCACACCCCCAUAUUUGGGGCAAGUAUUAAAAAAAAAUAAGAAUAAAGGUAUUUGAGAAUUUCUGCUACCGAUGAGAAAGUGGUAAGAAAACAAAAAAAAAAGGUAGAAUAACUGUGAACAAAAUCCAUGAGAUCUUGAUUGAGGUCAUAGAAUAGAAAAGCCCAAGAACCCUAAAAAAAAAAAAAGGCUUUGAUGAACAAAGCAAAAGCUUCUCCUGUUGAAAAGACACACGAGUAUCUAAAAACCAAGCAAAAGCUUUUCCUAUUACUUCGAUGAACAAAGAAAAGAAAAAUCAUUAAGGAACUUGUAAAUGGAAUAGAAAGGGGCAUUGAUAUCUUGAUAUGAGCAAAUAAAGAGAUUUCAAAAAAAAAAAGCUGAUUAGGUGUUCAAUCAAAGGUUUAGAGUGAAAAGAAAAACCUAGUAAGAUCCCUUGUCUCACUUAUAAAAAUGAAGGUAUUUGAUAGCAUAACAUAUAUAGGAAGAAUAGGAAAGAGAGAGAGAGAGAGAGAGAGAGAGAGAGAGAGAGAGGAUGACAGGGCAUAAAGAAGUGAAAGUGAUCUUAGACCCAUAAAAACCCCCAAACAUUAUUUGAGCCCCUGAACUCCUUUUCUUUAGUAGCUAUGAAACUCAAUCUUCAUUACAUGUCUUGAAAAGUUUAUUGUAAUCGAGUAAGCAAGAAAAACUAAUAAAUAGUGUUCUCAAAAUAUAAGAAACCAUUUAUGAGAGUCAUGAUGAAGUGAGUAAAUAUUCGUCUUUGUUCACGUUGAGAAAAUCCAAACACAAGACUUCAAACAAAUAUUUAAUAUUUUUUUAACUCAAUACAAAAUGAGGCCAUCUUCUAUACCAAAUCACCAUAUUGAAAUAUCUUCUUCAAAAACUAAUACAAGUCAUGAGAGUUGCAAGAACAUUGUUAUUUAACAUGACAUUGAAAAAUCUCAGGUUUUCAAUAAGACAGUAAAUGUUGUGAAGUCUUUGUUAGGGACGGUAAAAAAAACAAAGCAUGUGUAAUGAGUAUUUGAAAAAAUCACAAAAAACAAAUUACAGCAUUGUUGUCAUAAAACUUUAGUUUUGAUUUUUAGAAUAUCCAAGUAUGGAUUUAGAAUAUUGAAUUAUUGGAUACAGAUAUACUUUGCAUUUUUUUUCACUCUUUAUUUUCUUACUCAUUUUAAUUUUUUUUCGCGCUCCAUUUUUUCUCAUCAUCUCUCUUUUUUUUUUCUUUUUUUGGCUUAAACUUGAUUUUAUUUUCUUUUUGUUUUUUAUACCUCUACUUGAAAUAAAAAGAAAAUAUGCAAAACACUAAUAAGAUUAAAAAGCUGUGAGCAUGGAAAAAAAACAAAAAGAGUUAGAAAAGAAUUGAAAGAAAAAGGGUUUUUUUUUUUGUUUCUUCAUGUUUGGUUUGUCUAGAUUUUAAAGAAAGAGUUUAUAACAGAGAAAGCUACACCAUGUGAUAUUCAAUGAACGUGUCAUAAUAGAAUCCUGACAUGACACGAAACAUAUAACAAAAGCCUUAACAUAAAAAAGCUUAAUUUGAAUUGAUAUUUUUUCAAAUCAUUCCAAAUAUCAUAUUCCUUAUAAAAAUAAGAUGAUAUAUGGCCAAUUUCAAUCCAAAAGUUACUACUUGAAUUUUCGUUAUUUUCUUAAUUGUAUUUGGGUUAUUUUUUCUAUUUAAAUUAUGAAUUUUAAUUUAAUUAAAGUUUUACUAAUGAGGAUGUUUUUCUUGUAUUUGAAUAGCCUUGAAGACUAUUUUUUAAAUAAAAUUAAUGAGUUACAAACUUUUUAAAAAUAUCAAAGUUUACUUUCUAUUUCUUUACAGAUUGAGGUUGGAAUUUUGAAGUUUAAAAAACCCUAGUUUUCAUUCACUAUACACCAUGUCAAUUGGUAUAGAGCAAGUCGGUCUCUUUGACAAAUAGAAAUGGUAGCAACCCCUUUUAUAAGCCAUCUAGGCGGGCUCAUGAGGCAACAAAAAGAGCUCAAUAAGCUAGAUUGUUUAGAGUAAACAUGGACAAUAAUUUCAAAUAAUUUAGACAUUGUUUGGGAACGCAAUAGUGCAAACCCAUGAAAUUUGUUUUAAAAAUGGCUUAAUUUUUUUUUUUAUGGUUUCAAAUUGUUUUGACGUGUUUAUGUCAAAAAUAAUUUAAAAAAAAACAUUAUUUAGAUACAUUUCUAGAUAAAAAGCACUUUGAAAAGUAACCGCUACUAUACUCUUAAACACCCUUUUAGAAUAUUAGUUCAACUUGCAGAAGCUGCAAACACGAAUUAUGAUGAGAAGAAGAAUAUGGUUAGAGACUUACAUCAGAGCAAACCAAACCUUAAAUCUAUCUAGGCAUCAUGUUUAUAUGGACAAUGAUGCAAUCAAACUUUUCACUAACAUGUUGUAAAAAAAUUAUUAAAAGGUUGUCAGGGAUGAAAGCUUACUUUUAUUUUAACAAGAUUUUUUAUUAUCAAAAGGUAGGACUAAUGGUGGUUUAAAGUUCUAGAAUAUAGAAUUUGUACAAGUAAGCCUUUUAAUUUUGUCAUGGCAAGCUUUGAGACAAUCAUUAAUUUUAAAGUUUGUAUAAAAUGAUUAUAAAGAGAUUUUAUACUAGAAAGAUAUGUAAUUAGAUUGCUAUUAUUUGCUUUAUAUUCAAUAUUAUAAAUAACAAGGAUGAAAAACAUAAAAAAGAUGUCAUAUCUUUAAAGUAGACAAUUUUAAUAUCACAGUAGUGAUAACAACCAUCACACUACUGCAAACAUUGCAGAAUCUUCAAAGUUGACAAUUUUAAUAUCACAAUAGUGAUAACAACCAUCACACUAUUGCAAACAUUGCUCUGCUCGAUGUUUCAUCUAUUAACGGUGAAGAAAAAAAAUCAAUGAAGCUCCUAAAUUAGUAUCAUGUACUAAUUCUCAAGGUCUUGAAGCACUAAAAAAUAAAUGUCCUUCAAAUUAGACAAUAGUGCAUGUAAAAAGUAGAAAUAUUGGUAGAGGUACAAAAUUCUUUUUUACCAUAAAGGACAUACCAAUAAGUCAAGAAUUCUAAUAUAAGACUUGAAAAAACAAAUAUGUGGGAUUAUAGUGUAAUGGUGAUCUAAUUGGAAAUCCAGAGAUAAAACAAAUUGAAAAGGAUGUUGAUGAUGUAGUAAGAGAAUUUUUUAUUUAUUUUUCAACAUACACUUGACUAGAAAUUAAAAAUGAUAUGUUCAACGUAUAUAUUCCUUUAAAAUGGAGGAUUUCAAUUUCUAACUAUAAACUUGAAGAUAAGUUCUUGAGUGUAAAAGCUUGAAGCAAGUGAUAAAAGUCCUAGCUCAAGAAGUAGUUUGGACAAGUCAUAUGAUCUUUUAAUCCAAAUUUUAGAUUGAAUUAUUUUAAAAUUUCUAAAAUAUUCUAAUAGCUCUAUACUCUAUAAAAUAGGAUAGCUUAAGAUAGUUUCAUUCAUGUAACAUGCCCAAAUUCAGUAUGGAAGUUAUUGCUUGGAAUUUUAUUUUUUUGUAUUUUUAUUUGAAUUAUUUUUUCUAUUUAAUUUAGAAAAUUUAAUUUAAUUAGAAUUUUACUAAUUAUUAUAUUUUUAUAUUUAAAAAGUCUAUUUUUCAUAUAAAAUUAUUAAAUUACAAACUUUUCAGAAGACAUCAAAAUUUUAUCUCUAUUUCUCUAUAGUUUAAAGUAGUAGUUUCAAGGCUUGGAAAACCUAGUUUAUACCUGCACUAUAUGCCACUAUUUCUCUACAAUUUAAAGCAUAGGUAUUAAACUUAGACCGGUCCAGCGGGUCGACCCGAGGGCUGGACCGGUCCGGGUUUGUCAAAAGACCGGCCAGUGCAACAACCCGGCCAAACCCGAUUGACCCGACUGGUAAAUCCAUGACCUGGGCGACACGGGCGAGACCUGGUUUUUUUUUUUUUUUUAAAUGUGGGAUUUGAAACCUAUCAGUAUAUAUAUUAUAUGUUCCCAAGAAAAAAAAAAAGGCUAUGUUUUUUCAAUGUGGGAUAAAAAAAUUUUUGAUUUAAAUACUUUAGCUUAAAAGGAUAACAUUAGUAUAUGUACUCUAUAUUUACAAGAAAAAAGCUAUGUUUUUUCAAUGUUGGAUUUGAAACCCAUUAUUAUAUAUACUCUAUGUUUACAAGAAAAAAAACUAUGUGUUUUCAAUAUGGGAUUUAAAAUUUAAAACCCAUUAGUAUAUAUACUCUAUGUUCAUAAGAAAAAAGCUAUGUUUUUUCAAUGUAGGAUUUGAAACCAUUAGUAUAUAGAAAAAGUUAUAUUUUUCAAUGUGAGAUAAAAAAAAAAUUAGUUUAAAUAUUUCAACUUAAAAACUUAAUAUAAUAUCUUUUUAAUAUGAGAUAAUUUUUUUAAAAAAAUAUUCUUUUAAACUUCAUUAUUUACAAUUUGUAUAAUCUAUAUUUAUAUGAAUUUUUUUUAAUUUUUCCGGGUUGACCCAAGUUGAUCCAUAAAACCCGGAACCCAGCUCCUUGAUCAAGUCAACUCCCGAGCCGGGUUUAAUAACUAUGGUUUAAAAUAGUUAUUUCAUGGCUUCGAAAACCCUUGAUUUUACAUACACCAUGUCACGUCAAAUAAUAAUGCAAAUAAAAUGAGUUAAUUAUAUUUAGUCCUAAAGUUUAGCAAAACUAAUUAUUUAGUCCUUGUUGUUUCAGAAACUAUAUAUUUAAUUCUUGUGUUUUCACAUUCUUUUUCCGUCAUUUUAUAUUGCGUUCCAAUUUAAUUUAAUUUUUUUAUUUUAAGAAAUAUAAAAGUUUAAAAAAAAAUGGAAAAAUUGAAGGUACUUUUGGAAACAAAAUACUACUCAAUUAAAUAUAAUCAAAGAACUAAUUAAUUAUCUUUUAAUACUCUAAUAAUUACUUAAUUUGUUUAGAUAAACAACAGAAACCAAGUUAUAAUUCACUCAGAAAGAAUGAAUUGAUCUCAAAACUAAAAAGCUUAUCAAAUCCUACCAUCAAUGAAUAAAUGUAGCUCUAGAUUAGUUAUUGGAAAAACACAGAAUGUUUUAUAUCUCUUUCUGAUACGAGAUUGAAACUAUUAUUAUGCAUCAAAUUCUAUAAAAGUUUUGGUAACAGCAGCACGCAUUUCCUUGGUGAAUCCAACUUCCCAGAGAUGUAAGCUUUCCCAAUAAAUAGUUUAGGAAACUUUCCCAGAUGAUAAUAUAAACUCUCCCCCUUUUCCUUGGCUUGUUGAAAGCUACAGGUAUUUCACCUCAAUGUUUUCAGAUCAGCAAAGAUGAAGUAUUUGGAACAUAUCAUUCCAAAUUUGACAAUGGAAUCCUCUACAGAACCUAUAAAAAGAACAGUACACCCUCUUGUGAUUUGCUUCGAAGAGGAGAUUCCAUCAAAGCUCUUGCUCAGCUCCAAUCUUGUCUGUUUUUAUCUCCCCUUUACUAAUAAAAGGAAAGGAACAAAGAAGAACAAUGCUAUCAUGACAAGAGUUGUAGAAAAUCACAAGAAAACCUAAAUGUUCUCUAAAUUCUCAGUUCACUGUCGUGCUAGGUCCUUAAGAUGCAGCACCUUUUUUUAUGGGUGGAGACUCGCAAGGACAUCAAUGAUCACAAAAUCAUCUCCGGAGCUCAUUCACACAUACAGACACUUGAACACGAUAAUUAAUAGAAAGCCUCUAGUUUGUGCAAACACAAUUCCAUAACAUAGCAACAAGGACGACAAAGAUGGUGGAGCUAAUGCAAGAACGUUUACUAACCCUUUGUUAUGCACCACAACUUCAGUCACCUCUUCCUACGUUUUGUCUCCACCUAGCACAAGAGUAAAAGACAACCACAUCAGAAAAAAAUUGAGAAUAAUAAAGCAGAUUCAGCUAAUGACUUUUUGCGGGCGACCAAAGACAACCAGUGAAACAAUUGCUACGAUCAAAGACAUUCAGCAAAUUAAAAUUGUUUCCAGUUACAUAUUUUCCUUUCCUUUUCACCUGAACUUUAAGAAGUCACAUUCUUACAGCCUUUACACAUCUAUUGGUUAUGACAGCUUUUCAGUGAUAGUUGUGCAAUAGUUCCAUUGUUUGACAUAAUCCAUCCCAUGCAGUUUCUUCGUCAAGCUAUGAGUUUUAAAAAAGCGAAAAAUCAUUUUUCCUUCAAAGAACUUCCUUUUCAUGAAUUAGAAUUCCAGAAAAAUGCAGAGAACCCUAUAUGCACUCGGUUAUUAAAAUACAUAGUCCAAUCUCUAGGUUGCUGAUCAACAUUAAUCAAGCAUUCAUUAUUUUUAGUUCAAGUGGGUAGUUCCAAUUUAACAAAAAUCAGAGAUCAUCAAUACCUAACCCCAUGUCAGUUCCUCCCUCCAUUUGUUUUUUCUAGCUUGUUAAGAAAGAUGAGCUGCAGCCUAAGGCCAAGACACCAUGUCAUGAAGAACUUCAGGAGUACAAACACAGACGCUUACAAAUUACCAGGACAGCUUUUUAAGAUCAAAUUGUAAAGAGCUUUAGGCAUGUCUAUAGAAUUAGAAAGAGAGCACACUGUAACUACCACCCCUUGAUAGGCUAAACAGAAAAGGCAGAAGUCUGUAUUUUUUUUUUUUUUGACAACGCUCUACCUUUUCUUUUUCUUUCAUGUGUGCUUGUGUGGAAGGGCUUUCACCCGUACAUUUUGUGCUCGUUAUACCCAACUUCAUGAGAAAUAUAGAGAACUUCAUUAAAAUCUAAUAUAGCUAUGCCCAUGUGAUUGAAGGCAGAACUAAACAUAAAUUGAACAAUACACGCUCACCAAACAAUUAAUAAAAUCCAGGGAAGAGAUAUAGAGAACUGUGAUAUUUUACAUAAUAAACAAUACACUAUCAUGAAAACAUGAUAGUGCAACAAUAAUUCAUUUUUUGUAACAAUUAGCAUAAAAGUAGCCAUUAAAGUAAAGUUGUGCAAUUUCUAUCCGGUUAUAUGAGAGAAAGGAGCAAAGCCCCAUAAGUUCACAUCAUGUCCUCCAAGCCAAUAAGGGUAUGGAUAAUCCUACAUCUUGACUAAAACAAUGAGUUUUGUCUUAAUGCCUCUCAAUAGAUUGUUUCUUCCAUUAUAUAGAACCAAAUAGCAUAAUACAUCCCUAAUUACAAGGCUGAUUUCCAGCUCCAACCUAGCUAAAUAUGGAAACCAUAUAUAAUUAGCAUACAAUUAGAAUCAUAUAAUUAAUAUGGCCUUAAAUAAUGUCAGCCCAUACCCUACUGAAAUCCCCUUUUAAAUUGAUGUUGGUUCAUCAAGAAGCAUCAAUUUACCAACCAGAAAUUGAUGGUGUUGUCAGGUCAUAGCCUUGGUAAAGAUGUCAACAAGAUAACGAUUAGUGGAACAUGCGGAAGAGUGAUGAUUCGGGUAUCCAUGGAUUCCUGAAUAGAAUGGCAGUCCACUUCAAUAUACUUUGUACGCUCACGAAAAACAGGAUUGACCACAAUCUAAAUGACACUAGGGUUGUCUGCAUGAUGAGGAGUGGGGUUGAACUGAGAGAAGCCAAGCUCAGCUAGCAGUCCAUGUAGCCAAACAAUCUCAGAACAAGCAGCAGACAUAGCAUGGUAUUCGAAUGUUUCGUACACUCAUGAAAAACAGAAUUGACCACAAUCUAAAUGACAAUAGUGUUGUCUACAUGAUGAGGAGUGGGGCUGAACUGAGAGAAGCCAUGCUCAGCUAGUAGUCCAUGUAGCCAAACAAUCUCAAAACAAGCAGCAAACAUAGCACGGUAUUCGAAUUUUGUAGAGGAUUUGGGCAUGCAUGCCUGCUUAUUACUCUUCCAAGAGAUCAAGGAGUCGUUAAGAAACAUGCAUCAUCCAGUAAUAGAGCAACGAGUAUCAAGACAUCUAGCCCAAUCAACAUCACUAAAUGCAACAAGGCGAGGAGUACCAGUAGGAAAGAAUAACCCAUGGCUACGUGCUCUAAGAUAUCGAAUGAUACAACCAACAACAACUAAAUGUAAAUGACGUGGAGAUUGCAUAAACUAGCUAACCUACUAAACCACAAAAGAGAUAGCAGAUCAUGUGAUCGUCAAAUAAUUCAAGCUCCUAACUAGUUGACAAAACACAGUAAGAUUAUGAAGGAGGUCGCCUUCCUCAUAACAAUAUUUCACACUAACCUCCAAAAAAGGAUUCACAGAGGAGGUAUCCUAAAGACUUGCCAAAGUAAUCAAAUCUUGCGUAUAUUUAUGUUGAUUCAGGAAUAUACCAGAGGGAUCAGUGUGAAGCUCCAACCCUAAGCAUGUAAGCAAACCAAGAUUCUUCAUAUGAAAUGAGGCCUGAAGAUGCUGCUAGAGACAGGUAAUUAAGAUGGAAUAUGUCCCAGUAUUAACAAUAUCAUCAACAUAGAUAAGGAGAAGAACAAUACCCAUAGAUGUCUAGCAAAGAAACAAGGAAGAGUCAUACUUGCUUUGCUGGAAAGAAAAUUGAAGCAAGGUGGCUCGAAAUUUGUCAAACCAGGCUUAUAUAGCCUAUUUCAGUCCAUAUAAAAAGCGCUUCAACUUAUAGACAUCCAAGGAAAAAUUAGAGAUCACACUAGGAGGUAGUGUCAUGUAAACUUCCUCUUUGAGAUCACCAUGGAGAAAAGCGCUUUUGACAUCCAUUUGAUGAAGCGGUCAACCUUGUGAAGUAGCAAGAGCAAUCAUGUUUUAUAUCAAUCUAAAGUCCCAUCAUAACAGAGUUUGAUUGAGUAAACUCACUUGCAACCAAUAGCUUUAACAGUCACUACGCAAGGAACAACAUCCUAGGUAUUGUUAUAAAGAUUGAAAUUAGUUUUGGUUUCAAUGCCUCUCAAUAGAGGUUUGCCUCUCUUUAAAUAAUUAGAAUUCUCUUUAUUUACAGCCUAAUUAUUAUAAUUACAUGCAUGAUUUUCUCAAUCACAUCAUUCAAAAUCCCUAACAUUGCUCCACCAACCACAUAAAUUCUUAACACUGCUCUACCAACCACAAAGAUCCUGUAAAUAUAAGAUAUUGCUUUAUAUAAAAUAUUGCCUAAUUUGGUAACAUCCCCCCCUCAAAUUGAUGUUGGUCGAUCAAGAAGCAUCAAUUUGUCAAUCAUGAAUUAAUGGCAGUGACAAGAGAGAGCCUUGGUAAAGAUGUCAGCAGUUUGAUGUUCGAUGGAAAUGUGAGGAAGAGUAAUCUCUUGACGAACAAGUGCUUCACGAAUAGAAUGAUAAUCCAUCUCAAUAUACUUGGUGCGCUCAUGGAAAACAGGAUUGGCAACAAUUUGAAUAGCAUUGGUGUUAUCAAUAUAAAGCGGAGUUGGAGUAAGCUGUUGAACACUAAGUUCACCUAAUAGCCCUCGAAGCCAUGUAAUUUCAGAACAAGCAAAUGACAUAGCUCUAUAUUCAAACUCGAUACAUGACUUUAGGACACGUGCUUGUUUUUUACUCUUCCAAGAAAUUAGAGUAUUACCAUGAAACAUGCACCAACCUGAAACAGAACGAGUAUUUGGACAACCAGCCCAAUUAGCAUCACUAUAAGCCUCCAAUUGUAAAGGAGUCCCUGAAUAAAAUAACAAACCACAACCAGACAUCCCUUUAAGAUAUCAGAGACGACGGACAACGGCUAAGUGGGUUUGGCAAGGAGCUUGCAUAAAUUAACUAACCUACUGAACAACAAACGAGAUAUCAGGUCUGGUAAUAGUCAAAUAAUUCAAACUUCCUACCAACUGCCGAUACAUGGAGGGAUCAGGCAAGAGAUCAUCAUUCUCAUAAUGUAGCUUCAAGUUGACCUCUAUAGGUGUAAGAACUGAGUUAGCGUCUAAAAGACUAGCUAAGGAAAGAAGCUCCUAGGUAUACUUAUGUUGAUGCAAAAGUAUGCCAGUUGGACAAUGCUGGGCCUCAAGACCAAGAAAAUACUAUAGUGGACCAAGAUCUUUCAUAUGAAAAGAAGAUUUGAGUCGCUGCUAAAGCUGUUCAAUCAAUUGGGAAUCAGAUCCUAUAAUCACAAUAUCAUCGACAUACACAAGAAGUAGAAUGAUCCCAAUAUCAGUCUUGCGAAAGAAAAGAGUAGCCAUACUAUUCCAAAAUAGCACGAAAUUUCUCAAACCAUACCCGUGGUGCUUGCUUCAAACCAUAUAAGGAUUGCUUUAAGUGACAAACCUCGGUAGAAGAGGAAGAGAACAAGCCAGGAGGAGUCAUGUAAAUCUCUUCCUGCAAAUCACCAUGUAGAAAAGCAUUUCUCACAUCCAUCUGAUGAAGUGAACAUCUUUUCGAGACAGCAAUGGCCAUAACAGUAUGGACAAUGGUCAUUUUGGCCACAGGAGCAAAUGUUCAAUCAUAAUUGUUGUCAGUUUCCGAGUGCCACCAGUCAAGCUUUAUAUCUGUCAAGAAAUCCAUCGGCACCCAUCUUAAUUGUGUAUAUCCAUUUACAUCCAGUAGGUUUUACCCUAGAGGGACAAGGAAUGAUGUCCCAAGUAUGAUUAUCCUACAGAGCCUGAAGUCCAUCUUGCAUAGCUUGUCACCAACAUUCUUAAGUAGAGGCCUCAUAAUAAGAUUUAGGCAUAGAAAUAGUAUCAAUAUUGGCCUAAAGAGCAGAAUGUGAGAAGCCAUCCCUAUCUACAGGUUGUGAAACCCGAGUUGACCAUCGAGGCUCUUGUAAAACAGGAUCAGAUGUUGGUUCAGGAGUAAAAAGAGGCAGUGGGUGACAUUGUUGAUAGACAAUUCCUGGCUUAAAACAAUUUACAAUCGUAGACACAUCAUCAAAAGAAGGAAGCAAAGCAAAAGAACCAGAAUCGACACAAGACGGAAAAAAAAUACUGAUUUUCAAAGAAAACCACAUUUCGUGAAAUGCAAAUCUUGUUAUUAUCCGCAUCAUAACAUACAAAUCAUUUAUGAGAAUUACUAUAGCCUAGAAAAACACAUUGAACUGCCUGAGCAACAACCUUGUGACGUUCGAUGGGAGUAAGUGAACAAAGCAAAUGCAACCAAAAACAUGAAGAGAAUUAUAGUCAGGAGGGACUCCAAACAAACGAAAAUAUGGAGAAUCAAGAUUCAAGGUUUGAGAAGGCAAACGAUUAAUCAAAUAGAUAGUUGUAGAUAAAGCUUCUACCCAAAAUCGAGGAAGUACAAAAGAUUCAAGCAAUAAGGUACGAACAACCUCUAAAAGAUGUCGAUUCUUACGCUCGGCGACUCCAUUCUGUUUGUAAGGACACGAACGUUGAGAGAUAAUACCUUUUUGUUGUAGGAAGAAUUGAAAGUCAAGAGACAUGUAUUCUCCUCCAAAAUCAAAACGUAAGAUCUUAAUUUUGGUAGAAAAUUGUGUCUCUACAAAAGCAAACAAAGGUUUGGAAAAUAGAAAACACGUCAGCUUUAGAAUGAAGGAAAUAGACCCAGAUGAAUCGACUAUAGUUAUCAAUGAAUGUUACAAAAUAGCUUUAAUGUGCAUGAGAAAGAACAUGACUCACACCCCAAACAUCAGUAUGAAUAAUUUCAAAACAAGCAGAAGCCUGACUUCCUUGCAUAGGAAAUGAUAAGGAUUUACUUUUACCAAGUUUACAAGAAGCACAAUCAAAAGACAAAUGGAAGGAAAACUCAUGUAUAUUAUUCAAAUAGCCACUUUUAACAAGAUGCUUCAAAAUAACAGAAUAAGGAUGUCCUAAUUUCUUAUGCCAAAGAUGACUAGUGUUGGCAAUAAAAGAACAACCCAAAGAUACUGAACGAGAUAUAGAAAAAGACUGAAGAGGAAAAAGACGUCCCACUUUAGGCCUCGUUGCUACUACCUGUCCCAAUACCUGAUCCUGCACAUGACAACCAUGAUGGUCAAAAUGAAAGGAAUAAUCAUUUUCUACCAAUUUGCCAACAGGGAUUAAAUUGACAGAUAAGUCAGGAGACACAAAAACAUUGGUAAAGGCAGACCCUAGAUUGCCAAUGGCAAUAAUAGGAAUAGUACAGCCAGUCAUGUGAUUGGAAGCUGCAUAGUCAAUUAACCAAGGAGAGGGGAGUAGUUGUGUUUUACCUUGUAGUCCAAGAGCAGAGAGAGCGGAAACCAUCAUCUAUUGGACAUGCUCUGGUGUAAGAGUAGAAGAAGACCCCGGGACAGCUGGCUGAUUUAGAGGCAUGGUCACAAGGUAGGGCUAGUCAACAGUAUACAAGGCAUGGGCAGAUCGAUUCUGAGGUUGUAUGCGACAAUCCUUAAUAAUGGGACCUUCCUUUUUGUAGUAAUUGCAUCACUUCUUACUGCAAUUCUUUGCUAUGUACCCAAACUCCUUGCAACUAUAGCAUUGUGGCACGGAUUUGAAUUUACCUUUUCCUUGAGCUGCAUAGGCCAUAUUGAAUAUCUCAGUACUGACAGUGUCUUAAGCAAUGGCAUGUUGUGAGGCAAGACGUUCCUCACGCAGAAGCUCUCCCAGGCACUCAACCAAGGUUGGAACAGGUUUGCAGUUAAUCAACUCAGCACAUACACUCUCAAAUUCUGGACGAAGCUUCAUUAAGAAUUGGUCUCGUUGGCUCUCGGAAUGGACUGCUUGUACUGCCCCCAACACUUCCUUUGGAACCUUAGAUUGCACCAACCCAGAAUAAUCAUUCCAUAAGUUUAGGAAACCUGAAAAAUACUGCUCAAUUGACUGAUUCCCUUGGCGAUAAUUUCCAAUGUCCAACUCAACUCUAAAUGGGACUUUCAAGUAGAGUUAUUUUGAUGAUACAUCCACCGAAGUGAAUCCCCCAUUUCCUUAGCAGUAUUGAAGGAUCGGCGAUUGUUGACCAUAUGAGGUUCAAUAGAACUCAACAACCAUAAAACAACCUUGGCAUCCUUGCUUUCCUAAGAUCUUAGUUCUAUAGGAUCAAUUGGAACCAUAAAGGAUCCAUCCAAAUGAUUCCAUAAUUCUUUUCCUUUAACAAACAUCCGAAACUGAAAUUCCCAAGAAGAAUAAUUCUUGCCAUUCAUGCAAACAAUGGAAGUUUUCUCUUCCGAAAUGACUAAGAAACCACAACAGCCUCAAAAAAAUAGACAAGAUCAAUGGAAACACAAAUGCCACAAAACAAGAUGCUAAUACAAUUCAGCCCAAGCCAAAGAAUAUCAAAAAAAAAAUGAACUGAAUCAGCCCACAAACCAAGAUGAGAAUUUCUCAGAACUCAAGAAAUUUAAGCUAGGAGCUUUGAUACAAUGUUAUAAAUAUUGAAAUUGGUUUUGGUUUCAAUGCCUCUCAAUGGAGGUUUGACUCUCUUUAAAUAGUUAGAAUUCUCCCUAUUUACAACUUAAUUAUUAUAAUUACAUGCAUGAUUUUCUCUAUCAAAUCAUUCAAAAUCCCUAACAUUGCUCCACCAACCACAUAAAUCCCUAACACUACCCUACCAACCACAAAAAUCCUGUAAAUAUAAGUUAUUGCUAUAUAAAAAAUAUUGCCUAAUCUGGUAACAGGUAUGAUUAUCAUUAAGAGCGCGAAGCUCGUCUAAUAUGGCCUCCCACCAACAUUCAUGCUUAACUGCCUCAAAAUAACAUGUAGGAAUUGGAAUAUAUGACAAAGUAAAAUGAAAGGAUGUAGGGGAAAAUCCAUAUCAAUCAGAAGGGUGAGAGAGUCGUGGAAUGCCCUAGGAAUAGGGCCACAAUCCAGCUCAGUCAUGGAAGGCAUCACCUAAGCCGGCUCAAGAAGAGGCAAAGUUGGGCAUCGUCGUUCAUACACAAAUUCAAGCUUUGACCAUCAGGAGUAGAAGACAAGUCAUCAAAGUAUGGAAGAAUAGAAAUCUCAGGCACAGACACAACUUGAGCAGAAAAGAAAUGUUGAUUUUCAAAUAAAACAACAUCAAGAGAUAUACGAAAUCUAUUGGAGCAUGGAUCAUAGCAAACAUAACCUUUGAUAGAAAUAAUAUAACCCAUAAAAGCACAUCUAACAGACUGAGCAGACAAUUUGUUGCAUUGAUGAGAAGACAAAUGAACAAAACAAACACAACCAAAGGUAUACAUGUCAAGAUAGCGAUGUUGCUGCUAAUAAAGACAAUGAUAAAGAGUCUCAAAUUUCAAAACACUAGAGGGUAAUCUAUUAAUUAGAUGGGCUGCAAUGGAUACGGCUUCAACCUAGAAUUUAAGGUGGACAGAAAAUUCAAGCAAUAAAGUAUGAGCAACAUGUAGCAAAUGACGAUUCUUACAUUCAACAACACCAUUUUAUUGAGGUGUAUAGGGACAAGAACGCUAGGAGAAAAUGCUUUUUUGCUUAAGAAACUCAUGAAAUUCACAAGACAUAUUCCCCACCUGAAUCAGACCUUAACGCUUUCACUCCCGAAGAAAAUUAAGUUUCAACAUAAGCAACAAAUUGUUGAAAGAUAGAAAAUACCUCAAAUUUAUAAUGAAGGAAAUAAAUCCAGGUAUAUUUGUUGUAAUCAUCAAUGAAUGUAAUAUUUAUAAUACGCAUGAGAUAUAACUGGAGAGAUACCCCACACGUCACUUUGAACCAAAUCAAAACAUUUUUCAGCACGAGUAAUUGUGAGAAGAAAAGGAAAGAGACUUACUCUUACCUAAAUUGCAUAUGUAAUAAUCAAGAGAAAAAUGGGAUGAAAAUUGCUCUUUAUUGCCCAACAAACCUAAGUUUAUUAAAUGAGAUAACACGACAGGGUUAGGAUGACCCAAACAUUUGUGUCAUAUUUCACUUUUAUGGUUUACAACAGUACAAGGCGUAAAAAUAACUAGAGGAAUGGGAAAGUGUAGAAAAAACAACAAUCCAACUUUCGACCCCUUCACGAGUAUCUUCCCCAACACUUGAUACUGCACAAGACAACCAUAACGAGAAAACAAAAUAUCACAACCGUCAUCAACCAACUAGCCUACUGAUAUAAGACUAGUGGAAAGUUAAGAAGAUACAAAUAUAUCUCUAACAGAGGAAUUAACAUCUCCAACAUCAUGAAUAGGUAACUGACUACCAUUAGCAAUCGCAAUUUGUAAUAAUGUUGUAUAUGACUGAAUAUUGUGAAAAGUGUCAUGAUUAGAUGCACCAGAAUCAACAAACCAUGAUUUUAAUAGUAGGAAACUGUUACCUUGAAGUCCUAAGGUUGAAAAAGCAAAAAUAAUCAUUUGUUUGACCAUCUUAGGAGUAAGUACAUAUGAAUCAUCAACAGCGACAGAUGAAGAACCAAUUGUAGCUUGAUAGGCAUUUGACUGAUGAUUCAAGGAUGGAUAGGGAAAUCUCUAAUAAUAUGUCCUUGCCUUUUGUAGUAAUUACAAUACUUCUUCACAUAGUGGGUAGUAAUAUGUUCAUAUGCCUUGGAGCCAUAACAUUGAACUUUUCGCAUGUCUUUACCUUUCCCUUUCACUUGAACAGCAUAGGCAACGAUAUUAGUGGGUAAUUUGUCUUGCUGAAAGGUAGCCUGCGUAGCAAGGCGUUGCUCUUCACAAAGUAACUCCUCAAAGCACAUAUCUAAAGAAAGAGAGGGAUCGUGAUUCAUCAAAUUAAACCAAGCAACCUCAAACUCAAGUCGCCAUUUCAUCAAAAAUUUAUCUCUCUUGCUCUGCUCAUGAACCUCUAAAACUGCAGCGAGAGAACUUUCAGUACCUUUGCAUAAAUUAUGUCAGCAAAUUAUGCCUAUUAAGAUCUGAAAUCCAGUAAAAGACUCCUGAAUAGAGAGACCUCCCUGAGUAUAAUUUGCAGUUUCAUACUCCAAUUGAAAUCGUCAAGCCGUGUUGUUCUGACUAUAGACUUUCUUUAGAUAUUCUCACAUACUCUUGGCAGUCUUAUACGGCCUCAAAUUAAGAGCAAUCAAAGAGUCAACAUAGGCUAAAAUCCAGGUUAUGAUUCUAGCAUUUUUGAUCUUCCACUAAGCCAACUUAGAAUCCUCAGUAGGAGUCGGAUCAGUUUCAUCUAUAUGGCCUCAUAACUCUUUCCCUAUAACAAAUAUAAACAAAAUUGGAAUUCCCAAACAGAAUAAUUCUUACCCGUGAAUUUCACCCCAAAGGACUUUGAAUUACUGAUGGUCAUGAUACCAAAAAAUAAUAAGUCCAAAGUCUAGUAAUUAAAUAGCAAGUUAGCAAGCCCAAAACAACAACAAAUCACCAAAAUAAAAUCCCAAAUCACCAAAACAACAACAAAUCACCAGAAUAAAAUUAAGUUCAGACCUGGUAGAUGACAAUUCGGAAAAAAAACCCAAGCCAUUUUGACAGCAGAUAUCGGCAACACCUUCUAAGAUUGCGCCGACAACUAAAAGGGGCUACAAAAUUUGCCGACAGCAAGAGAUCAAUGGAAUGAUCCCAAACCACCCUCCUAGCAAACACUCACCAAUCCUAACCCUUGAUAGUAACUAUAGAAUGAGACAACCCUAAUUUGAAUGUUUAGGCUUUGAUACCAUGAUAGAAACAAUGGGUUUUGUCUGAAUGCCUCUUAAUAGAUAGUUCCUUCCAUUAUACAGAACCAAAUAGAAUAAGACAUCCCUAACUACAAGGCUGAUUUCCAGCUCCAACCUAGCUAAAUAUAACCAAAUAUACAACUAUAUAAUUAGCAUACAAUUAGAAACCUAUAAUUAAUAUGGCCUUAAAUAAUGCCAGCCCAUUUCCUACUCACAUCAUAGAGAUAUAGUGGUAAUUUAUCAACACUUGACUUGGAAUAAAGCCAGCUUGAGAAACCAGACAAUGUUAGUUUUCGUAGUGAUGCACACAAAUUGCAGUAAAAGAUGUUACCACAUUGUAUAGCUAAACUGAUUCUAGUUUCCUUAAUGAUGUUGAGGCAACUGGAGUAACUUCUUACCUUAGCUUCAAGGGACGGAGAUACCGGGAAUACAUUCAUGGAUCUUUUCGCAUCAUCAUCAGAUGAGCAGUCAGAGCAUAGAAAGUGAUCCAAUUUUUUGGCUUCUUCAAUUGUCAUACCCGUACAAGAAGGAUGAAACCUGCAGCAGAUCAGUAAUCAAUGAUCAGGAAACAAACGCUUUUGUGUUGUUAUUGCAUAAACCUUGAAUUACAAGAGAGCAACGACACGUAGCAUAAAUCAUGCUUAGUACAUUAAAUACUAGAAUAUCAACAAGCAGUUUAAUACCAACAAAAACUGUACUAUUAAACACGAUAGAUAUUCUCUCUUCUUACAAAGCAAACAAUUCAUGAACUUUCAGAGACGACUACAAUAAAAAAAUAUCUUGAUAAGUUCCUACUUGGACAUCAUUAAUAAUAGCAUUUAAUAGAAAGUGGGUGUUUAUCCUAUGAUAGCGCAGGAUUAGCAUUUUGAGCCUUUCCACAACCUUUUCCAAACUGGUUUAUACCAUUAAGACCAAAGAACAGAAGGAUAAUGGAGCUAGAUACAAACAAGCUAAAGUGGCAACUUCAGCAUCAAACCCUCUUAGGCAUCCUAUCCAAUGCCUAAUUUAAUUUGUAUAGCAAUAUAGAAGCCCAUAUCUCCUCCCAAAGCUAUAGUAUAAAUAUAGCACUUGUUUUAUGAAAUUGGAAAGAAAGCUCUUAUACCCCAAAAAAAAAAAGAGUUCCUUUUAUUGUAUCAUGCUAUCUACGAAUCAACCAGAUUUGAUGAAUCGUGACAUGAUAAAAAGAAAUCCAGUGAAUCAAUUCAAUCAUCAUCUUUUAAUGAUGCUAUGAAAUAAGACAUUCAUGAAUUUCAUCAAUAGCAUUAGUAAAUGGCAUUGCACCUAUGCCUCAAGAGUAUCUUCUUGUCCAAACUAUCUCUCAAACCUCAUUAUAGCAUGUUUAAGAUGUAAAUUUUACAAUUUUACAAUUUUGAAAUCACCUCCUAUAUAACACAAGUUUCCUAAUUGCACCUCAGCCUUGCCUGCUACAUUCUUUAAUCACUGACUGUUGAAAAGAAUGUUAAAAACCACCCAUUAUGCUCUCCAUAGACUGCUCAAUUCCAUACUCCAUUUAGAUGUUGAUAGCACAGAGCAUACCACAUAUGUUCUUUGGUUUCUUUCUUCCCCCACCCAACCCCCCUUUUUCCUUAUCUAUAAGGAGCCAUGCAACCUUGAUUUGUACUAUUUUGCAAUAGAAAAGGCAAUGGUAAUUGGUGCCAAUUUCAAAUUCCUCAAGCCAUCUUAGCUUUAUAGUUCUAACAUGGUCCUUAAAUGGAAGAAUGAAAUUUGUAGCAAAUUUAGAUAUGCAAAUGAUUCAAUGAAUGACUUCAACAAGCAACAGAAUACAAAAUGCAGUAAACUGGAAUUUUUUCUUUCACCCUUCAAAACUAGGAAAUGUAUUAACCUUGUCUUUAAGAGGAUCCUUUUCUUACUUUAAUCAUCUUUCAUUUCUUCAAUUGUUAAUACUUAAUGCUUUACCUACCAUGUUCAACCACUAAGAACUUCAGAAAUCAAGCAUAUUCAAGUUUGAAGGGGGGGAAGUGAUAAAUGAGAUAUCCACUUGACAGAAGGGAACAAACCAGAAAUUAAAAAAAUAACUAAUUUGAUGUCCAAAUAGUUCAUCCUGAGCAUGUGUUACUGCACACAAAAGUCCUAUACUAAGAGAUUUCUGAGUUUUCAGAACAGUAUUUCAAUCAAAAAUUCUGUUUAUGAGAUUCAACACUGCUGGGGUUUUUCGUAAUUGACAAUGAGGAUCUGACACAGAGCUCCAUAUAAGUAGUAACAUGCAUGAGAACAAAUAAUCUACAGCCUAAAAAUGGCUAAAUAAAGCCUGCAGUGUGUUAAAUUGUGUUUUUAGUUCCAUAAAAGAAUUUCUGCUAGGAAGUAAACUUUCUAUACAAGAUACAAGGUACAACUUCAAUUCAAGGGAAGCCACCACUAGAUAUAUUAACAAGAAGAAAUGACCUCAUGCAACUUGAUAAAUCUCACAGAUGCUACUUUUCAUGCAAUCCUCUAUAUCCUUUGCUGAUCCCUUUUAAGCUCUCAUGAAGUUAAAAUGUCUGCCCAACAUAAAACAGAGUUUACAGUAGGCCGCUUAAUCUUACAAGCAAUAGAAAAAUGGCUUCGCAUUCUCGAAAAGGAUCCCUAUCUCUCACACCAUAGUUUUUUUUUAAGUUCUAGAAGAAUAAAACAAAGGGAAAAGUCAUCGUAAGUACUAAUCAUGGGGCUACAACAAUUCAUUCGAAUGAAAGCAGCACCUGUCACAUUGGUUCUGACAAAAGUAGCUCGAACAAUUUCUAAGAUUAGAUGAGAUAAAAUGGAACUAAUCUCGCAGUUACAAAGCAUAGAAUUACAAAAAUGAGUGUGGUAUCAGCAAAUUACCAAUCUUUGCAUCCCUCGCAUUGCACCAUGAGAUCGUCUGGAUUGUAUGGCAUCUCGCACUUACAGUACCUUCAAAGACACCAAUUCAAAAGGCCAAUCAAUUCAACACUUAACCCCAAAAAAAUCAACUCAAAAUUACAUCAAAAGAACAAAACUCACACAGCUACACGAUCAGGAGUGAACCCACCGGUGGAAGCCUUGUACUCGAACCUACAAAAGUAAUCCUCAGCUCCAACAUUCUCAAGCUUACUAUAGUUCUUGAAGGAGUGCACUGUGCACUUGCCUUCGAUUGUGUGUGCACUUUGCACAUCAUAGUGGUCUGACAAGAAUAACUCUUUGGCUCCGUGGAAUUGACGGCGUCCCCCAAUGGAUUCCUCCGGCCGGUAGUACCACCGUACACGAACUUUAACGUUGUUUCUAUGAUCUGCCUCGAUUUUCUCUACAAGUGCCACGUAUGGAAGCUUAUCGGUGUCCGAUGGGCGCAUCAACACACAAUCACCGGCUGCAAUAACAAGCAUGAAUCCACCCAAAAAUCAAAACCCCCAACAAAAAGGAAAGGAUGAAUAAAGAGAAAGCAUUUGGGUUCCGUUAAAAUUAUAAAAAAAAACGAAAAAAAAAACAAUAGGUAUUCAAAAUUGAAAGAAAAAGGAGACAUUUUGGCAACCAGGGUCUUCAAGGCUGGAACGAUGGGUUUCUAGUUUGAUAGUAAGAAAAAAAAAAAAAAACAGAGAAGAAAUUUGUAGCUGGAAAUUAUGGGUUUAAACAAGGUAAAUGCUUACGUUUAACAACUUUGUUGGUGCCUUUGAUAGUGUAAGAAUCAAGGUCUUUUUUGCCAGGUUUGGUUUUGGCCAUGAAUUGCUUGGUUUUAGUCGGUAGUCAAGCACUGCUUUUUUUCUAUUUUUAGUGAAAUGUGUACGGAUUAAGAAAGGUUUUGUAAGGGGUUAAGGUUUAUUAACAGAGAAGUGGAAGGCAAAGAAACCCUAGGGCAGGGCAGGAGCCGAAAAAUGGGGGGCAGUGAGUACAGAGAAAGAAAGGAACUAGUUAAGAUAGAGAUGGUGAUGGAUUUUGUAUGUAAGAAGAAACUACGUGGAGGACACAUCAUCAUCAUCAGCCUUUUUCUACAAAAAUAAAUAAAUUAAAUUAUGUACAUGCAUGCAUGGUAUACAAGACAAUUACAGUACUAAAAAUAUUUUCCGUGAUCUACAUGUUUAAAGAUUAGGCUGCUGUAAUAUCCCGCGACAGUUUAUUACAGUAUCCCUUACUAAAAAUAUUUUCCGUGAUCUACAUGUUUAAAGAUUAGGCUGCUGUAAUAUCCCGCGACAGUUUAUUACAGUAUCCCUUAUUAAAAAUAUUUUCCGCGAUCUACAUGUUCAAGAGGAUGUUUGGGAGUGUGGUAGUUGUUACCUUUCAAAUAAUUUUUCGUGCCGAAAAAUAUAUCAAUAAUUUUUUUGUUUUUUAAAAAUCAUUUUUGAUAUCAGUACAUCAAAACGAUCUAGAAAGUACAAACCAAACUCAAUUUUAAAAAAAAAAAAAUUGAAAUUGUACAAAAAACAGGUUGCACCGCAAUGCCAAACGGGCACUAAAGAUUAGGCUGCUGUAAUAUCCUGCGACAGUUUAUUACAGUAUCCCUUUAUAAGUUGUUUUUUAAAAGUUUUUUUUAUAUUUUUUUAUAGCUAUUUAAAAAUAUAAUUACAGUUAUUUUUUUAAAUAUUUUUUUAUAUUAAAAUAUUUUUUUAAAAAAAUUAUUUUUAAAAUUAACGCAUCAAAAUAAUUCAAAAUAUAUAAAAAAAUAAAUUUUUAAUAAAUUUUUUUUAAAACAAAUAUACAACCAUGUUUUCAAACGCUCCCUUAACCCGAAACUACUUAGCAAUGAAAAUAUAAUAAUCCAAUGAUCUCUUAUGGACAGGUUUUAUAUUAAACUGAAUAAAAAUUAUCCAAUUAAAAUCUAAUUAGACUAAUAGAUCAAUUCAUUUCAUGUUAUGUUUAAAACUCAAUUAAAUCAAUCCAAGGUUAAAUGUUUUGAUUAAUAGUUGAGUAUAAAUAAGAUAACAUCAUAUCCAAUUUUAUAUUUAUCUUUCGAUAUUAUGUUUGAUGAUUUUUAUUAUUUAAUUUAAAAUUAUAAAAAGAAAAAACAGAAUUAUAUAACGUCUCCGGAUCAUCAAUUCUCCAUUUGUACUAUUUUAUUUUAGAAUGUAUUUAAUAUUAUAGUAAUGAUUCUUUUUUAAAAUAUUGUUUUCUUAAAAAUAUAUUAAAAUAAUAUUUUUUAUUUUUAAAAUUUAUUUUUGAUAUUAACACAUCAAAACAAUCUAAAAAUAUUAAAAACUUAAUUUAAAAAAAAUAAAAAAUUAUUUAAAAAAACAUUUUUAAAAUACAAAAAAAAAAAUCUCUUAUUACUAUAGUCUUGCUCGGUAUAAGUCAAUUCACAUGUUGGAAAGUAUGGUUGCGGUAGCUUUUUAAAAUACAUUUCGUAAUAAUAUUUUUUUAUAUUUUUUAAAAAUUAUUUUUGAUAUCAGCACAUCAAAAUUAUCCAAAACAUAUAAAAUAAAUUAAUUUUUAAUAAAAUAAUUAUUUUAAAAAAAUACAUAUAUAACCGUGUUUUCAAACCCAACAAAAAUUUCACAUCUCCCAACAUUAAGAGCCAGUGAAUGGCUGCGUUCUUGCUUGCUUCAUUCUUUACUUUUAUCUAUCAUUGACAUGUUCAUCCGUUUCUUUAUGAGACGAAAAGAAUUGUGACUUUUUAUGGUGAAUUGCAUGAUUGUGUUAUAUAAUGAAAUUAUCACCUUUAUGAAUAAUAACAUUAAUCUUAGCAUUACAAUUUGAUUGAUUGAAAACCUUGGGUUAGAAUAACUUUUUGUCGUUAACUCUAUAUUCCCUUUUAUAGCACAAGCAAGAGUUAAGUAAUUUGGGUUUCCAACAUCAUCAAUUUUUUAAUUUUUAUUUUAUAAUACCAAAUCCUAGUUGAUGAGCAUAGGCAGCAAAAAAAUCCGAACAUCUUCUGAAUUGUAAGCCAUUUUUCUUUUUGGAAUCCACUUCUCAUGAUUAUUUGACGAAGUUAGAAAUGCUUUAAUGAAUCUAAACCUUUCCAUGGCUAUUUAAUGGGUUUAAUUUUUAAUUUUUUUUUUAGUUUAGCUUAGAUUGAUAAUCCAUACUCUCUUACAACACAAGUUUCUUAUGUGGAAUAGAGAAGCUUUCAAUGUCUAGGUUAAGCAUGGGAGGGAAAUAGUGUAUAAGAGAAGGAGAAAGAAAAAUGUAAACGAAUAUGUGUGGUUUUUUGUCCAUUUUCUACUAACAACCUCAAGUUAGUAACCUAUAAAAUGAAGAAUUCAUGACAGUGGUAGUAUAUUGAGGAAGCGUUUGGGAACGCGGUGCAAACCGCAUUCCUACCAAAUUCAAAUUUAUUUAUUUUUUUGCUAAAAUUUAAUGCGGUUUAUACGUUUUGGAUCGUUUUGAUGUGCUGAUGUCAAAAAUAAUUUUUAAAAAAUAAAAAAAACAUUAUUGGUAUGCAUUUCGGCACGAAAAGUUAUUUGAAAAGCAACCGUUACCACACUGCCAAACACGCUCUGAGCAUGUCUUAAACCUCAAGUCACCUGUCGGUUUGGGUUGGCCACCUUGUCCCUCUCUUUCUCCUUUUCUUUUUCUUCUUCUCCUUUAUGUUUUUUGGUGGGUUUGAUUGGGUUAAUGUUGUUAGCUCUAGUUUAAUAAAUUUUAUCUUUCUUUUCUUGUUCUCUUUUAUGUUUGGCUUUUAUUAGGCUUGGUUGGGUUAUCUUUAGGGAUUGAAUUAGGGGUUGGUGAAGAAAUCAAGGAUUAAAUCAAAACAAAUAAAAAAAAAUUCUAUAAUACAUGUGUUAGUGAAUACUCAACCUCGUUGUUUUUCUUCUUUUUUGUCUUUUCUCCUUUUAUCUACACUUGCUUUCCUUUUUUUUCCCCUUUCUUGUCUGGUUAGGCCAUUUGACCUAACAAGUUGUUCAACUUGCCUAUUUUUUUCUUUUGUUUCUCGAUUGGGUUAUUAGCAGAACUACUAACUAAUCAAGCUAUUAGCCUGACUCAUGGCCAAAUAGGCCUUUCCCUUCCUCUUUUGUUUUUCUUUUCGUAUUUUUCUUUUUUCUUUCUCUUCCUUUUUUAUUCUCUAGCUAGGCCUUUCCUUUUCUUUCUUUUUUUUUCUUUUCUUUUUAAUCUUCUCUUCAUCUUUAGUUGAGUUAGGUCUAUUCGAUUAAGCCUUGUUAAGCUCUCAUUCUUUUCUCUCUCUCCUCUUCUUCUUCCCUAAGCCUAGUUAUGCUACUUGAUUUUUCCCAUGUCAGUCACCUUUUGAAGCUUCUUAUCAACUUUAAGUUUUUUCCAUCCUAAAAAUCAAAACAUUGGUGAUUUAUCAAGUAAUAUUGCUAUGAUAAUGACAAAAUAUAUAAAAAACAUGUAAUGGGGACAUAAAGAAAACAUUUUUUUUAUAAGCUGAAGUAGUGACGACAAUUUGAUUGCCAUGUAAUUCUAACUCAUUUUUUAGUAUUACUUAUGAAUUUAUAUACUAAUUAUAUGUUAUAUUGCCAAAUGAUGAAGUUGUGAAAACUUUAGAUUGAGUUUUAACUUUCCACGACUAUAUCCUAGGUUAGUAAUUGGUCUUUUUUUCCCUUAAAAUAAGUCCCCUAUCACAAUAGGGGACUCUCUAAUACUUAGAUCAGUAAAUGUUAGAGGAGGGUGAUGUGUGUGAAGAGAGAUUGUGUGAACAUGAUCUUGUGUCUAGUUAAGUCAUGUGUAGAGUCUAAUCUAAUAUUUAUCUCUUUUUUAAUUUAUCUAUGACAUAAAAGGUAUUUAUAGACUUAGUCAUGUUGGCAUACCUCGUGGAGAAAAGAUUGUGUGCCAUUGGUGGAGAAGUUGGUGCUCAUCAUUGUUAUGAUGUCUUGUUUUAUUGGUGGAGUCAUUAGUCUAGGAUAAUUUGAGAGAGAUAGUUACUAGCUAGUUAGAGUAGUAGUUCAUGAGAGUUAGCAUAGCAAUUAGGUUGAGGGGUGACCAUUGGUGGAAAGAGUAGUGUGGUGGGCAUAAUAGAAGGUGCAUUUUGGUUUUAUGAAACUAGAUACAUUUAAGGUAUGUACUUAAAAGAGUAAAUGCGUAAGAGAGAAAGUGUAAGAAGAAAAAUAUGAAAGAGAGGUGGGGAUCCGACCAUUUAGGUUAGCCCAAAUGGUUAAUAUCAUUUGACUAACGUGUUUAUUGUAUGCACUAAACAAGCGGGUCACCCACUACCUUUAAAUAAUGCAUGUGGCCCACUAUGGCUCUAUCAAUGGCCUUUUUUAUGUUUAUAAAUUUGUAUCAUCGAGAUCAUUUUUAUGACACCAGGGGUCUCGUCAUUGAAGCUCCAAAAUAUCUCCAUUGUCGAUUCUUUAUGUCUUUCUUGUUGUUUUUCUCUCUCUCUCUCGCUCUUAGAAUUUUAUGACUACCUAUUCUCAUCGUCUUUCUUCCACCAUUGGAUCUUCCUAUCUAUUUUCUAAGUUGUUAGAUCUAAUUACUUUUAUGAUUUGAUUAUGCUAUAUUAUGCAUUCUUAGGAGGGAAAGUGCAUUUAUGUGUCUAAAUCAGCUCUUGCAUGUAUACUUUUUAAUUAUUUUUUUAGGAGACAGUCUUUAGUCAUUUGGGCUUAGCCUAGAAAAAUACAAUAAUAAGCCGUUUUAGGCAUAGUCCAAAUGUCUCAUAUUUAAUUUUUUUUUGCUCCAUCACAAUCAUCAUCACCAAAUAUAUAGUUGUCCCUAUAUAUUUAGGGCAUUGCUUAACUCAUAUGAUAAAAAAGUCUUGCCUUACAUUUUGAGAAUUUUUAUUUUCCUACAUGUAAGAAUGGAGACAUAAAUUAAAUAUACCAUGAGGGAUUGAAAUAAAGAAACAACAUUGAAGUCAAAAUCAUCUAUCACGAUAGAUGCAUACUAAAAUCCAUUCGGGUUAAAGCAAAUAUAGAGAGUCUUUUCUUUCUAUUCAUAAAAGAAAAGGGGUGGAGAAAUAUGCUACCAACUCAUGAAACCUAAAUAUACUUAUAUAUACUUACAUUUAAUUAUAUUUUAUAAAUAACUAAUGUUUUAAAUUAAGUUUUUAGUUUGAUUGACUUUCGAUUAAUUAUAUUUAAACAAAAAUGAGAAAAAAAAUGUAAAUUUAAUAUUUAUAUGAACUUACAUAUUAACCCUUAAAUAUUAUAUUGUAAGUACCAACUCAGACCAUCUUGAAUCCAAUCUUGAACUCGAAAAAAAUGGGAUGGAAAGAUAUACAAUUCGUUACAUUGACAUCCCUAAAAAACAGUACCCUUCUUUAAUUAAUAUGUGGCAAAAAUUAACCUAGUUUUUCUUUUAUUCCGUGUACAUAGGCUUUUCAUUUUUUUAUGGAGCAAUUUGUAGCUACUAAUCUAUAAAUAUUGAUUGUUUAAUAGUCGAAGUCUUUUAUUUAAUUAAAAAAAUGAUGAAGAAUUGUAAACAUAUUAUACUAUACUUUAAAACACGUGAGAAAAAUACUAUGUUAGUACUGUGUACAUAGACUCAUAGAGUGUUUGUGCUAUAGACCACACUGUACAUAUUUAGAGGAGCAUGAGAGGUGUUUUUUCUAUUUUUAUUCCAAUAGUUGUUGGGGUGUGUUAGAUCAAUGCAAGACCACUUAACCCAAGUCUCAUCUGACAUGUUCGCCAGAUCUAAGACUCUUGGGUCAAGUGUUAAAGCCAGACCCAAGAGCCGCCAGUCCCAAGGUUUCUUGGGUCUAGAACAAUCGCCGGACCCAAGGUUAUUAGGUAUGGCUGCCAUAUCAUACCCAAUACCAUGUAUAACCUAUAUCCAUAUAGAUUGUUUCUUAAUUUUUUAUAUAAAAUAUUAAAACCUUAAUUUUUUUAUAAUCUUUCCCGGUGACCCAAGGCCUUGGUCGAGUCUGUUUCAUUCAAAAUUCAAGCUUGCAAUUAGCUCGGAGUAAACCAGUCGACUCGCUAGGUCAACCCGAAACUCAACUGACCUGGUAAAACUUGGUAGAGACCCUUUUUUUAUUAAAUGUGUUUUUUCUCCUAUCUAGAGACUCCUCUUUUUUCAUAUUUUUCAGUUGGUUACUAACUCAUUUCAAAGUUCACUAUAAAAAUACUAUAAGAAUGUUUUAUUUUUUCAAUGUGAGAUUUGAAACCUUUUAGUAUAUAUAUUGUUCACAAAAAAAAAAAAAAUUUUCAAUGUGAGAUAAUAAACCUUUUUUAUUUAAAUAUUUCAACUUAAAAGAAUAAGAUAGUAUUUUUUCAAUGUGGGAUAAAAAUAUUUUGAAAUAAUCUUUUAAACUUAAUUAUUUACAACAUGUAUAGUCUAUAUCCACAUGGAUUGUUUCUUAAUCUUUUCAUAUAAGAUAUUAAAACGUUAAAUAUAUAUUUUUAAAAAAUUUUGGGUUGACUCGAGUCAACCCAUGUAACUUAGGACUCGGCUCCCAGGCGAGCUCAAACCCUAGAUCGGGUUUGAUAACUUUGGUUGCCAUGAAAAUAUAGCUUUAAAAAAUAUAAUUGAAAAGAAAUAAAGUAACGUGACCAGUUAAAAAACUAAAAACAAAAAAAAUAAACAACCUCCUUUCUUUUAUUUUAUUUAGGGGUCUUUUUUAAAAAUAUUAAUUUUUUUGUCAUGUGUUUAAUUUUUAGAGUGUUUUUUUUUGGUUCAUUUAUGAUUUUAUUUUUAUCUUUUAUAUAGAUAAAUUGUUUUUAAAAAUAAAAUAUUUAUUUUUUUACAUGUUAUUCCUUUUUUUUUCAAUCAAUUUAAUAUUUUAUUUAUUUUUUAAAAUUCAAUAUCAUAAUUUACAUGUCUCUUGAUUUUUCAAAUUUUAUUUUAGAUCAAUUUAAUUCAACAUUUUAUUCAUUCAUUAAUGAUUUUUUAUUGAUUUAUUAAUCCACAAAUUUUUUUGUUUAUUUAAUUAUAUAUGUACAUAAACUUUUUAAUUUGAUAUAAUUUUUGAACUAUCAAAAUACAUAAAAAUAAAUCUACAUAAAUAAUUUUUAUAAAAAAUAAAAAUAUGACUGGUAACAAAGCAUAUGUCACAUCUCUAGUGAUGGUAUGAAUGCCACGAAACACCACUUGGUUUUUAUUACUUUGCAUCUCUUGUGCGGCAUGUGCAACCCACUGCCUUGGGUGAAUAAAAGAUAAUAGAUCACUAUAAGGUCCAUGCAAAAGCAGCCUAGGAAUAACAACAGAAAGACCCAAUCCUAAUUCUUAUGCGCCUGAAAACAAAUUAAACUUCUACUGAAUAAACAAAUUCCAUAACAUCUGUAAAUAAACGCAUUUAAUGAAAGUGUCAUGAAUCCAAUCAAGAGGAAGAACAGUCCACCAGCAACCCAGUUAGAAUUUCUGGAUGACAACAGAGCUAGCUAUGCCAGCCUCCUCAAUCGUCUGAUCCGGAUCAGUGAGCUGUUUUGGAGGGAAUCCCAUUGUCUGCAGUUGAUAAUUGCUUGCCCCACCUGGCCUUGAUGCCUCAAUGAAGGCACGAAUGUCUCUGAUAGUAUGGUUUAAGUUGAAGCGAGAAACCAUGCGCGUGCCAUCAGCUAACCUGAGUUGAAUUGAGGUUGUUGGUGAUGAAGAAUCCAGUACUAGACCUGGGGUUGGCACUGGAGCAGCCUUGAGAGAAGCAACAGUUGGCUCGGAGGCAGCAGGGACAGUGGUGGUGUCACUGCUGCUACCUAAAGCUCUUCCCACACCUUGGAAUGAAACUAGAGGCUUCUCUGGUUCCUGCAUAAAAAGAGGACGGUACAAUGAUGAAAAGAUAAAUGCAGACAAUACAAUUUUAUUAGGAAAAAUAAAGUGGAAAAAGAAGAACUCACAGAGUAGUUUUCCUCUCGCCGCAUGAGAUCAAGAUGCACUUGUGUCCUCCUAUCCAAUGGUUCAAGCUCUUUUGGACACUCAGACCGCUUGAUGCUCUGCACAAGAUACAUUUGUUUUCCAUUAGAGGUUAAACACUGAAUGAAUUGCAAGUCCUUCCAUUAUAGGAGCAUAAACUUCACACAUCAUCCAAUGGAAGUUAGAUAAAGCAGAAUUUACUACGAACUUAAAUUCUACUUUUAACCAGAAAAAAUAUCGCUGAACCAACACAAGUGCAUUGACCAUAAAGCACUACCAUCACCCCAGAAGUAAGAAAAACACUUGCAGGUAGAGAAAUUUAAACCAAAUAAUUUGAUCUACUGCUUUAUAUAAUAAUAAUAAAAAUGUAUAAUUUUGCUCAUCUGACAUAGCUUGCAAAUCCAACUAGCACUCCAAUAAUAUAUUACUGUGCUUCAGCACCAAUUGCAAUGACAUUUUACCUUGUUAAAUUUACUAGUAUUCCUCAAAACCUCAUGUAUCAGUAUCGGCUAGACACCAUCUAGAAUCAUUCAUUUCAUGUAUACUACAAUGAUUUAAAAGAAAGUUGGCAUGGUUAAAAAAAUCACCUCCAAAAAGGAGGCAUUAGCAGGAUCAUCAAACCUCCUUAAAGGACCAUCAUCCACCGUGAACCCGUUCCUCCACAGAGUAACAGCAUGAUUGACAGCUGCAGGUGGUUGAGGAGCAGAUGAUAUCAUUGUAUCCCCUGAAAGUAACCUCCCCGUUCCAGGGAAGCUUCUCGAGCUCGAAGACGGCUGAUGGUAAUCAGCAGGUCUUUCUACAGCACCUGAAUGUCGAGCUUGAUCAAAAAUUCCAUCCACAUCAUAACGUUUGCCAGGGUCUUGAACCAGCAUUCCACUGAAAACCAAAAAAAUUAUAACCAGUUAACAUUUUUUUCAACAACAACAACAAUAAUAAAUCAUGGUUGAUUAACACAAUAACUGAACUAACCCUAACCCUAACCCUAACCCUAACCCUAACCCAACAAUUAAGCUUAAUUAAUUAUAAUUGGCUUCCAAAAUCUUAGGGUUAAAUCAAAAUUAUAAAUAAAUAAAUUGAAGUCACCUCUUUUCACCACCAGUAUAAUACUGCUGCGGCUCGUCAUCGUCAUCGUCAUCACUAUCGGACCCAGCAUUAGGGGUCCGAUUAAGAUCAGCAAGCGUUCGGACUCCGCCACGUGUCCGAUUAGCGCUGGGCUUCUUACCCCUCGAUCUUAGCCGGUAGGGAGCUCGAGACGGGAUGGGAGAAGGAGAGCGAGACCGAGACGGAGACAGGGAGGGAGAGUAAUUGGGGGAGUGAGACUGAGGAGGGGACGGGGAAGGAGAGGGAGAGGCAGAGUUAACGGGGUGAGAAGGAAGAGGAGGGAUUGCAGUUACGGGGGGAGGGGCGGAGUCGUUGUCGAGGAAGGUAGAGACAGCGGAGUCUAGAUCCCAUUGGUGACUUUCUAAGAAAAAGAGGGCUUCUUGUUUGGAAGAAGAGGUGAUCUCGCAGAAAGCAUCGACCAAGGCGGUGUUGUUGGUGUCGUUGAGAUCGAAAUUUGGUGGCUGAGGCGGUGGUGCUGCUGCUGCUCUUGUGUUGUCUUCCAUGGAUUUACGAUUACGGGACUUUCUUUGUGUUUUUUGGGAUUAGCGAAUGGGUAUUGAGACUAAACAGUGACUCGCUGACACUAUCUAGUCUCUACCUUUCCUCUUGAGCAAGAACUGUCCGUGGGGAAGACAACGGUGGCUAUCAUCCACGAGGCCCUCUGAAAUAAAAAUAUCCCAAUUCUUUCCCCAUCUACUAAUUUCAUUUUCAAAUUUGUUCCUUGUUAGUUGCGUUUACUGUAAAAGGCAGUUGAUAUGUGUUUGGAUAUAUAUUAAUUAUAUUUUUAUUAUUGUAGGUUAAACUCGAAACUGAGACGAGAACUUGAAUAUGUGUUUGAGAUUCUGUUUUAAAAGUGUUUUUAAAUUUUUAUUUUAUUUUAAAUUAAUAUAUUUUUAAUAUUUUGAAAUCAUUUUAAUUUAUUGAUCUUAAAAUAAUUUUUAAAAAAUAAAAAAGUAUUAUUAAUAUAUUUUUAUAAAUAAAAAAUAUUUUAAAAAAUAACACAACUAUACUUUCAAAUACACAUUUAAUUUUUAAAAAAACUUGGAUUUGCUUCACCGUUCUCCUCUCUCCUUCACCGACAAUGCACUAGCUGGUCAUUGUCAUUUUGCUUCAGUUAAAAAACUUUCCAAAACCACCGCGCAGGGUAGCCUCCUUCUUUUGCUGCAUGGAUUCACUUUGCAUAUAAACAGGGAGCAGUGAAGACUGAAUAAUUCACUCUUCAUUUUCACGUGAACAGUAAAAAAAUAUCUCCACUAUUGGAUCCUGCCCAAACCAAGAUGUAUUGGAGGUACAACCCAGUAAAAUAAAAAAAUAAAAAAAAAUUUAAAUUAAUUUUUGUUUUUAAAAAUAAAAAAUAUUUUGUUUUCAUGCAUACAGAUAAAUCCAAAAAAGUUUUUCAUCAUCUAAAAAAAUUGGUCAACAAAAAACACUUUCCAGUUAAUAGAAAACACUUUCCAGUCAAUGGAAAAUUUGGUUUGGUUUCCAAGAAAGUGUUUUCCUUUUAUUUUUGAAAAAAAAAAACACUUUCUGGAAGUUGUGAAAAAUUUAAAAAUGUCAUAUUAUUUGCUGAUCAUAUUAAAUUUGAUCAUCAAACUUUUGAUUGCUAUAUAUAUAUAUAUAUAUAUAUAUAUUGUUUGAAUAUUUAUUUUUCAAUUUCAUCCUUUAGAAUUUAAUUUUCAUAUUAAUUUUGGUCCUCAUUUUUAUAAUUAUUAUUUGCUUUUCCCUUAUCAUUUUUUAAUUCAAAUUUUUUAUUUAUCAAAUUUGGUCCUCAUUCUUUUGAUUGUUACUUAUUUUAUUUGAAAUAAUUUAUAAAAUGUUAAUUAUUAUUAUUUUAAUUUCUUCAUCUUUCAAUUUUUUUUAUUUUUUAAUUUGAUCUCUAUUAUUUUGAUUAUUAUUUAUUUUAUUUGGGAUAAUUUAUGAAAUUAUAUUUUUUUUAAUUUCAUUCCCAUUCAACUUUUUAAUUUGUAAGAUUUGUUCCUCAUUAUUUUAAUAAACUUGAAAAAAAUUAAACAUUAAUAAAUUAUUUUCCAGUUUAUUUUCCAUGACAUAGCUAAACACUGGAAAAUAUUUUCCAACUUAUUUUUUAUUUUACUACCAAACAUCGAAAAAUAAUUCAUUUUCCCAUAAUUCACUUUCAAAAAAAAAACUACUUUCCAGCAAACAAACGGGGCCCUAAUGAUAUUUUACAUGAUGUUGUUGCACACUCAGGAAGCCAUGGAAAUUGAAGUCCUUAUCGGAUGGAUUUCGUAUGUGAUGGAAUUGCAGAUAAUUUAAUGAAACAAUAAAAAAUACUUUGUAUAAAGUUUUGUUUAUUUCAUGAUAUAUUAAGAGUAGUUAAAUCUAUAAUAUUUCAAUUAAAAACCAUAAAUAUUAAUAUAUGUUUUUUUUUAGUUAUUUUAUAACCUCAAUUUAAAAAGCAUUCUUAACCAAUCACAUUAAAAUACUUUUUGUUCAACCUCAAUUUCAACCACAGUUUUAAUCAAACAUAUAUUUUAUCAAACCAACCUCAAUUAAAAAAGCUUUUUAUAAAACAACUUUUUUCAAAUCACAACCAUAAAAAGCUACCACAUUGCCAAGACCUGUUUUUACUAAUUACAUUUGCCCUCUGAAAAAUUGUUAUAAAUAGGGAUAAAAAAUCUUAGUAAUUUAAAGUAAUUUUAGAUGAAAUAAAGUAAUAAAAUCAACAUUUGAAAUGUCAACUAGUGAUAAAUUGCAUAAACUUCUUCAUCGGGUAAAAUAAUUAUUUUAAAGAAAGAAUUUUUAUAAAAUUAGGGUUAAGUUAUUUAGAAAAAUAUAAGAGAAUUCCAAAUAAAUUAAUAUAUGAUUUUACAUGCAAAUAACGCUAAUUGUUGGUAUAAGCCCCUUAUACAAUCACACAAUUUUUAAUUGAAAGGGGAGGAAACAUGAGGGGAUUAUAUAUAUAUAUAUUAUGAAUAAAUAUGAAAGUCCCUAAUGAAUUAUUUUAAAAAUCUUGAUGAUUUAAAUAAAUAAAAUAGUACACAAAUUUAGAUUUUUGUGUAAAAUUAUUUAUUAUGUAGUUUUACGAUAUCAAUCAUAACUCUUAGUCUGAUUGUUAUAUCAAACUAAGACUUUACAAGGAGUCUUCUGACAUAUUAUUAUAUGUUAGGUUAAAAUUGCAGAUCAAUCAAAGUUUAGGAAGGUCUUAUGAGUGUGUCGAUGGUCAAACAAAAAUAUAGAAAAUAACACAUGGACUUAUUAAUGACAUUUCCAUAAUUAAGUCAAAAAAAUUCCUUCCCUUUCUCCUUUAAAUGGUCGGCAACAGCUGUAAGAAAGAGGAAAUGUUUUUCUUCUUUUCUUUCCAUUCAACUUUUGAACAAAUUCAUCUAUUCAAAUAAACAAAUUCUCAUUAAAUUUAUUUAUAUGCUCAAUACCUUUUGAACAAGAUAUUAAUAAACUUUUCUUUUGUGCUCAAUAUAUCAACAUAUAGUUAUGAGGCUUUACUUGGACAAAAACAAAAUUUUGAUCUAAUGUUUAAAGUUAACUUUCUUGGGUUAGGAUUAUUAUCUCUCUUUUUUUUUUUAAUAUUUAUACAUAUAACUCAAAACACAAUGCAUCUUUAAACCAUGUAACGAGCUUUCAGCUAAUGAAUCCCAGACCAGUUGGUCUUAGGGCAUUAGGUGUUGAGACACCCCUAUGAGCUUAGUAACUCGGGUUGCAGAUACUGAUACGUAGAUAGUGCAAUGUUUGAUUUCCUUAAGCUUUUCUCCUCAACCCAUGUAACAAGCGUUGGGUUAAUAGCUCCCAAGUCAGUUGACUUUAGGAUAUUCGGUGUUAAAACACCAUUUCGGGCUUAAUUGCUUAGGUUAUGGAAGGCUACAAAACCAAACUUAUCUACAUUUUUAUUAUCAUCAAUUUUUUUUGGUUUUUUUUUUUUUUGCAAAUUAUAUACUAUCAUUUUCUCUUAGUUGUUACCUUUAACAAAAGAAUAUAAAUAAUGUAAUAAUCCAAUGUGCAACUUACAAUCAUAUGUUAAAGUGUUUGUGUGAAAAUGAAGGUUUAAAAAUACUUGUUAAAUGAGUAUAUGAGUAGAAUCAAGUGAUAACAAUGCGAGAGUUUGUAAACCUGAAUAUUUUAAUAAAUAUUUUGAUAAACCUUGAUAAGAAUAUUUACUAAGAUGUGUCUCAAGAGUCAAUAAAAUUCCUCCUUACCCUGCCAUUCUAAUAACAGUUUUGUCAAAUGGUUUUAUUAAAAACAAAAGCAGUUAAUUAAUUGGUUUUUUUUUUUAAUGUCAACUACUACUCUCUUCCCCCAACCAAAACGAAACAUUGUCCACAAUGUCCUACUAGAGUUGCUGGUUUCGAAGAUUAGCUUGACUUAACAAGUUUUUUUUUUUUAAUUUUUAAUUUUAUCCUUUGACAUUAGAUUAUUAGGCUUUGAGCUUUCUGUAUUUUUCCCUUUCCUCAUUUGAGGUUAUCCCGGAUAGCAGGUUAACAUGGGUUCACUCAAACUAUCAUCAUUUGAAUAUCUUUUUUAUGUUAGAAAAAAAUUGACCCCCUAGAGCACAGCGCGAGUAAAAAAAAUCUAGUAUUAAUUAAAUGGACUCCAAAUACUUUUGUCCAAAAAACAAUGACCCCUUGUCCCCUUCUUUAUUUAAGGGGAACUUUUUAAAGGAAUAAAUUAGAUUUUUCUGAAAUUAGAGGACCAAAAUAGUAACCUUUAGAAACAACGAUAGUUUCGCCAAAACUAACCUGUACAAAAACACUAGUUUUGAAGGGUGACAAAUCAUAUUAACGAGGGGGUGUUUGAUACAGUGUUAGCGGUUGUUUUUUUAAGUUUUGUUUCUUGAAAAUGUAUUAAAAACAUAUUUUUUAUAUCAAUACAUUAAAACAACAUAAAAACAAAUCAAAAUUUUUAGCCCCCCCCCACAAAAAAAAAAAUGAAUAGUAAAAACCACCCUUGUUUUUGUGCACUAUAAUCUAUUCAUUAUUAUAAAUAGCUAAAAGAGAUCAGUGUUUUACUGUGAACUACAUUGUGCAGUCCACAGUAAAACACUGAUCCCUGCUGCUUUACGUUUUUUUUUUAAGUUGUUUUUUUUAGUUGUUUUUUUAUGCCUUUUGGAAAAUUAUUUUUUGCUUCUUUCUUUGUUUUUUUUUAAACAAAAUUUUUUUGUUUAAUGUUUUAUUAAUAUUAAAUUUUUUUAUUUAGUUAUCAGACUUUCAUGACACGUUUUCCGGAUUUAACGGGUUAACCUGGUUUGACAAGUUAACCUAUAAUUUUUUUUUGCUUUUUAUUCUUUUUAAUUAAUUUUUUUAGUUUAAUUUAGUUGUUAAUGUUAAAUUUAUUUCUAUUUAGUUAUUAAACUUUCAUGAUAUAUAUCCCGAGUUUCACGGGUUAACCUGGUUUCACGGGAGAACCUAGUUAAUUCUAGGUUGACCCGUCAAUUUUUUUAUUUAUUUUUAUUUGAUACUAAGAUUGCAUUUAUUGGAACUUCUCUUUUUUAUUAUUAUUUUUCAACCAAAUGGAAGGAAACAACUAGUGGAUAUAUUAACCAUCUCAGAAUUGGUGAUCGGGGAAGGAUGGAAAGAUAAUUGUGUCUGACAUAAAAAUAUAUAUAUAUAUACAUAAAAAUAUAUAUAUAUAUAUAUAUAUAUAUAUAUAUAUAUAUAUAUAUAUAUUUGAGAUAAAAUCGAUAAAUCGAGAGAUUGAAACUCCAUUCAUAAAUAAAUAAAUAAAAAGAGGUUUUCCCAAGAAAAUAUAUAAAGAAAAAUUAAAGUGAUUUUUUCCCGAAAAGAUAAAAAAAUUAACUAUAAAUCAAAGAAGAAAAUAAUUUGCUUCCCACACAACACAAAGCCGAUUUAUUCUACGAUAAUCAAAGCUCAUCAAUCAUACAAUAAUAUGGAAACAAAAAUCUUUAUUUUUAAUUUUGAUCUUCCCCUCUCGUUAUGCUAGGUGAAUUCGGAGAAGUUCAAGCAUUGCCAUUAGAGGCACCAUCUCCUCCAUUUGGAAGGCGAGGGACAACGACUGGUCCGCCUCGAACUCCUUCAGAGCAUAGCUUAUCCUCAAUGGACGACCUAACAGUGCCUGCAAUGAAAUUAUUUACUAUCAAAGCACCUUCGACCAGUAACAAAAAAAGAAAAGAAAAGAAAAUGAAUCCAUGGUCACCUUCCCAUCCAUUGCAUCUUUUGCAGAAACAGCCUCAUCUUCUUUAGAAAAACUGACAAACCGAUCUGCCACUGUCUUUAUCAUACAAUAUCCUCACUAAACCACAACCAUCCCAAUGAAUUAGAGAUCACCGCCUAUCAGAUCAGACUGAACAGAAGGGAUUGAUAGAAAUAUUCAGCGAGACAAUUCAUCGAACAAGUGGUUCACAUAACAAUUUGAGAGCCCAAGGAGGCACUAAUCGAGUUAGUGGUGUUUUGGGAUUAUUACCAGGUUUGCCAAAGUAGUAGUUCCUUCAGUGAGACAUCUCCAAAGGAAGAGAAAGCAUCUUUUAAUGACUUCUCGUCAACUGACCAUGACAAACCUUGAAAACACACAAAAAUCUACGUCCGCAAGGGGACAAGUAUCAUCGCAUCUGUAGAGACAAGAUGGUCCAGAACAAUUAAAACAUGGGCGACAGAGAGAGAGAGAGAGAGAGAGAGAGAGACCUGCCAAAAAUAGAUUAUUAGUGAUAGUGAGAGAAUUUGGAUUGUAAGCUUUCGUUAAAGUUUUUCUAGAAACUGUCAUGAGAUUUCUAUUCAUUUUUUGUUCGGUUUCUUUUAACAUCAAUCACCUGACCUCUCGUUCUUUAUUCCUUCUGGGUUUAUAUACAAUUUUUUGGGAGUACUUAUAAAUUGGUUCUAGUAGUUCAUUAAAAACUAAUCAAUUAAUCCCUAUAUUAUCAAAAAUAAUUUAAAUGAUUCCUUGACCAACACCAACCGCUAUCAAAUUUGAUGGUUUUUUUUUUUUUAGUUAGUAAUAUUUCUGGUGCUUAAACUUUCCAAAGAUUUCUAUUUGAAUCUCUUUAUUUUUAUUCCUGCUAUUUAAGUGUGUGAAUUUGUAUUUUUUUUAAAUAAAAUUUAUAUGUUAAAUUUUUUUGUUUUAUGUCAUAUUAACAAGAUUACACCGUUUGGAAAUUAUCCAGCAUGGCCUUGUCAACUUAAUAAAUCCAAAAAUAACUCAAAUGACUGUAUUAAGUUAACUCAAAUUAAUUAAUCAAACUUGCGAUUCAGUUCAUGGGCUCCACAAGGUUUAAUAACUUUGUAUUUUCUGUGAAAUUAUUUUUUAUUUAAUUAUAUAAUAAAAAAUAAAUAUUCAAAAAAUUACACAUCAACCCAAUCCUGAUACAUUUGUUUGAGACAGUGAUAACAUUAUAGAAAACAAAUCAUGAAAUUCAAUUCUUAACACAUUUUUUUUAAAAUUAUGAAAUGAGAAAAAAAUAUUUAUGCUUUAUAAAAUAAAUUAAAAAAUUAUAUGAAGUGAUAAUUCAAAAGGAAUUGUUAACACCAAUUAAAUAUUAAAUUGAAAAGUUAAUCUUUGUAAUAGAUAUAAAAGAUAGAUGCAUAAUAUCAACCCAAUACUGAGAUAUUUGUUUAAGACCACAAUAACUUUACAUGAAACAAAUUAAAAUAAAUUAUGAAAUUCAAUUCUUAAAAAAAAAAUUUAAUUGAGAAACAAAAAAAAUUGUUAUUUAUAGUUUAUAAAAAAAUUAAAAAAUAUAUGAAGUGAUAAUUCAAAAGGAAUUGUUAACUCCAAUUAAAUAUUAAAUUGAAAAAUUAAUAUUCAUAGUAGAAAUAAAAUAUAGAUGAACAUGCAAAUGCUUUACAUUGACCAUCAUUUUUAUUUUUAAUGUUUUCAUUCAUUUGAUCUUAGCAACUAAUUGUUCUUACUAAUUACUAAUUAUUUUUAUUUUUAUAAAAGUUUUAUUUAAAUACAAUGAAUUCCCAUGAAAUAUAAGAAGAAAGAAUUCAAGACAAAUCAAACUAAUCCCCUUAAGGAAACUGCAAAAGUGUAAAUAAAUUAAUUACUAUUAAAAAAUAAUAAUUCAAUAGAAACAAAUUAAUGAAAAGGAAUAAAUAAAUAAAAAAAGUCAGGCGCUGAUGUGCUAAACCCUUGCACCUAACCUUAAUAAAAAAACCAAGCUAUAUGCCUGUUUUUUUCCAUUAACCGUCCAUCUUUUUUUUAAGCAGGCAACUCAUUGCUUGCUAUUAUGUUUUUUUAAAACCGGAUGUGAUCUAAAACUUAGGGUUCAAGUUUUUGGACCCUAAAAACCCAACUUUAAAUUAUUUUUAUCUUAAAAUAUCUUUAAAAUAUCAUAAAAAACUUUCAUAAACCACUUACUAACCCUAAAACACUUCAAGUUCACUAAAAAAAUCAAUUUAAUAAAAAAUCUAAACAAAAUCUAACCUGAAUUUUUAGGCAUGUUUAUAGAAAAACCUAUUACCAUUAAACUUUCUUUGUUUAAUGUAACUUGUUGCAAAAAAAAACCACGAGUUCCGCAGCUGAAAAGUAUUUAUUUGCAAAUUUUUUAUCUCCUUUACUUUUUUUCAAAUGACUUUCUCUUGAUUCUCUCUAUAGAAAAUGAAAUUUUGAAAAAACAAUUUGGAAAAACUAAAAGGAUUGAAAGGUAAGAAAAAAUAUAAAUGGAUUAAAAAAAAUUUCCAUUCAAAUUUAAAAUUUGAGAUUGGCUAUGAGUUUUAUUUUUAUUUUACACUUUGAUUCUUGUUUUGUUAAUUUUUUCUUUAACAAAUUUUAUUAAAAAUGGUUAUUAAUUUGGGCAUAAAAUACUGUAAUUUGUUUUUAAUAAAAAAAGUCUAAGAAUUAAAAAAAAAAAAAGGUUACUGGUGAUGGCUACAAUAUGUUUUUCCUAAAUGUUUUAAUAUAUUAUAUAAUAUAAUAUAAUAUUGACAUGAUCAUUAAACUCAUGCAUGCCAUGAUGACAUAUCUAUCAAAUCUGUAUGAUAUAUAUAUAUAUAUAUAUAUAUAUAUAUAUAUAUUUAUCUUUAAUUUAGUGUUUGAAUUUUAAGUGUCUUAACUUUUAAAAAUUAAUCAAUCAAGUGUUUUGUUAGAAUCUGUUAAUUAGUUGCUAAUACUUUCGUUAAGUGUUCGAUUAUCAAUUUGACUAGGUAAAAAUAAAAAAACAAUUAAAUGGGGGUGAGUUUUGCUUAUGAAUUCAUUAUUUAUAGUUUUUUAGUUCUUUGUUUUUGACUUAGAUAAGGGAAUAAUAUAUUUCUAUUCGAGUCAUGUUGUUAAAUGAUUGAUGGACCUAUUAAUUCAUCAUACUUGAGUUUUCAAGACAUGACUAAUAUAAAAAAACUCUAUAAUUAAAGGAGAGACUAUGUUAUAAAUUGAUUUAAAAGUGCAAGCUUUGAAUAUAUAAUCUUCCAAACUGUAGGGGCAAUCAAUUAUUUUCAUUAAACUCUAGACAGUCAUAUAGUUUAAUUUAGGAAAGUUAUCUUGAUAGUCCUAUAGUUUGUUUUUACACUUACUUUCCGUGUUUUCAAAAAUUAUUAUUUACAUGCUAAAUUUUAAUAUGUGCGUAACAAUUUACAUCCUAAACUAUCCUAUAGUUUAAUAUAAUUUACACCAAUUAAAAAUGUAAAUUGUAAUUUUUCAAAACACAGAAGAUAAGGGUAUAAACAAUUAAAUUAUAGGAUAAUUAUGAUAAUUUUUUUUUAUUUUAUCUUGAAUAAUAAUAAUAUUAUUAAACCCAAAAUCUGGAAUUCAACUUGAAUAUAGUUUCUUGUUGAAUUGGUGACCAUUCAUUUAAUUAAACUUAAUUAAUUUGGUAAGUCAACCCAGGAACAUGAGCAAUUAGUUUAUAACCAUAGUGAGACUAGGUUUAGUUUUUUAAAAAUAUAUUUUGCAGAAUGAUAUUAUUUUAAAUUUUUAAUAACAAAAAUCUUGAAACAAAAUAUAAGCUUUAACCAUGCAAUUAAUACCAUCACCUGAGUAAUGGGCUAGCGUAUGGGUAAUAGGAAAAUCUAAAAUCAAAUAUUUGUGAGAUGGGCCUACUUCAUUGCCUGCAUUUAUGCUAGGCUUGGGAAAUAUAGCCUAGGAGCUACCACAAGAAAAUUAGCGUCCUUCAGUAUCUCUCGCAGCCAUUUCACAAGAGAACGAGCAGCCUCUGUUGAGGGACGGAGUCACAAGGAAGUUUUUUCUCUGAGUAGAUGAGCUUGGUACAGCAGGUACCUUGCUAUUUGAUUAAUUAGAUAUAUCUUAGUCAUUUUCAUUAGAUUUGCGUCCAAUUAAACUUGCAACGGAAAGUUUGAAAAGUGGGAUUGGUGAAUUUUAAACAAACAAAACCAGAGUUCUUUGUCUUAGUUGGUUCUAAGUAUGCACGCUAUGUGUUCGAUGCAAUGCCACUGUGUGUUUGUGUGUCACUUCUUCGGUUAAGGUGUACUCUGUUAAUUUUUGUACUUUGGUUUGAGCUUUGCUAUGUCGUCGUGGUCUGUCUUUGUAUAGUAUUUCUUCUACUCUCUGUUUGUCCCUGUUUCUUUAUCUUGGUAUUAACUUUGUAUCUAGUUUGGGCCCAUGUGAUUCUUUUUCUGCUAAUACUGUAAUCCAUUCAUAAAUUUUGCACGCCAACUUUUCGAUGAAUCAUUGGAUUCUUUCUGUCUAUCUUGAAUAGAGCAUGCUUUGUUUAUCUGAAUCAGAUAUUUAGCGAGGGGGAAACAAAUGUUGGGAAGCUACUAUAAGCUGACAAUUUGUAUAUUGGCUGGAAGUUUUAUCAAUUUUUGGGGUUUUGCCCUGAUUUUUCAUAAUGGAAUUGAGUACCAGUUGGGACAUCCUUAAAUAUCUAGAUUUGUAAAUAGUCUUACUGAUUCAAUGUCUUGAUAUUUACUGAUAAAGUAGGACAGGAUGUGGGUAUAUUUGUGAUCUCUAGAGAUUUUAUUGAUGUGCCUUCCUUUGUGCUUUUCAUAUAACAUAACAGACAAGGUAUUGUUUUCUUUACUUGUUUGAAUGCGUUUUCUGUAUUUUCAUUCCUUUACUUGGAGUCUUCUCUUCUUUAACAGACAAGGUAAUGCGUUCUCUAAGUCCGCACUGUGGAAUUUCAUUUUAUGUGCAAAGUACCAUUGCUAAGGUGUUUUUUGGACAAUUCAGGUGCAAAAGAGAAAACAUGAAUGCAUUCAAAGCCUUCAAAGCCCAAGUUCCAAUUGCAUGGAGUCCGCACCUGUAUAUAACUUUGGUGAGGGGCAUUCCGGGAACUAGGAGACUUCACAGGCGUACCUUAGAGGCAUUGCGUCUUCGUAAGUGCAACCGGACUGUCAUGCGAUGGAAUACUCCUACAGUCAGGGGAAUGCUCCAGCAGGUUUUAAUAUAAACUCAGAUUAAGUCUUCAGUUGCGAUUUAUCAGAAAUAUAAGAACUUAAAUUGUAAAUCAUAAUUGCUUGGACUCUUAGGUCACUGUUUUGAAUGUAAUUCUUUUUCCCUUCAGGUGAAGAGGUUAGUUGUAAUUGAGACAGAAGAGAUGUACAAGGCCCGCAAACAAAAUGAUGUAAACCACCGAGCUGUACGCCCGCCAUUGGUCAUAAACCACUUGCCUGCCUCUGCAAGCAGUUCUUAGAGUGAGCUUUUGCUCUAUGUAAUUCUUCGGAGGUCAGCUUUCUGUUUCUUAAAUGGGCAUCUGUUUCUCAAGAUUACUGUUUUUUCUUUAGUGCCGUAUUUAUAGAAGGAUGGUUGAUUCAGUUAACUGGAAUUGCACUUUUCCCUAGUCAACAUGCUGGAGUCAGUGGAUUAUAUAUCUCUUUUCUUGGGUAUUGACAUAAAUAUCAGAAUUCUAAAUUAGCAACAUCAUUUGCAUCUAAAAGCUUUGUAGUUUAACUGAUGCUUGUGUAAUAAAUACUUGGUUCUAAAAUAAGAACCUGAAAAUUGUGCUUUACCAUACACAGAAUGGACACACAACAUGGCGUCUUAAGUAGCUCAACUUUCAGUACGUCUGAAAAUUGAGUAUAAACUACCAUCCUCUAAUUGUAUGUGUAAAGAAAUCUUAGAACAUUAGGAAGGCCUUGGAGAGCUAUAGACUAGGGUCCUUCCUAUUUAUUGAUGUCCUUUUCCUUGAGCAUGUUUAUGGCAGUUAAAUCAUUCCCUCCUCCUUCACCAUCUCUAAAGCAGUCAAAUCAGCUGCAGGUUUAAACCCUUUCUCACUAGCGUCCUUCCUAUUUAUUGAUGUCCUUUUCCUUGAGCAUGUUCAUGACAGUUAAAUCGUUCCCUCCUCCUUCACCAUCUCUAAAGCAGUCAAAUCACCUGCAGGUUUAGACCCUUUCUCGUUACAGUUUUUGGGCUUGAUAUAGUGCUGGACUUUGUACUGAUGUCGCCUCGCAAAUGCUAGGAAAACGAAGAAGUUCAACCCUCCUAGCACUGCUAGUAACCAAUAGAAGUUAUUCAACCUCCCCUUGUUCAAGUUGCUCCUCAGCCAGAUUUUCUUGGUAGCUUUGUCAACUAAGGACACCAGCAAACUGCUAACAAAGAAACCCAUUGAGAUGGUGCUGAGGAAAAGCCCAGUGCUCAUUGAUUUCAUCCUUGGUGGUGCCUCUCUGAUGAAAAACUCAAGUUGUCCAACAUAGACGAAAGCCUCCCCGGCACCUACUAGGAAGUAUUGAGGGACUAGCCAGAAGGCGCUUAUCUUUGUAGAUUGUUGAAUAGCAGUUUCCCUUCUUUCUUUCUCAAUGCUAGCAGCAGCCACCAUGGCUAGUAUUGAAAGGAGGAGUCCAGCUCCAAUCCUUUGGAGGCUUGUCAGUCCCUGUGCAUUGUUGGUGAGCUUCCGAGCCAGGGGAACGAAGAGCCUUUCAUUUAGGGAUGUAAAGAGGAGAAUGGUGAUGAAGAGAAAGGUGGAGUAUGAACCUGAAGGAAUAACCAAAGAGCCAACUCUUCGAUCCAUGAAGGUUGCUUGCUCAAUGGUAAAAGUAGUCAUUUGAGAGUAAACUGUCCAAAAGAGGAUACAUGUAGACCAAAUUGGGAUGAGCUUUAGUACCAUCUUCACCUCCUCAACUUCCAUAACAGUUGAUACUAUCCAAGGGUCAUUUUUUUGUGCACUGAUGGAGGUGGGAUCGUCCAUGAUCGCAGCCUUGUCAAGACACCUGAUGAAUAACACAUGAGAGGAAAUGGAAUCUGGUAAAUUUCUGCGAGAAUACUUAUACGAGUUGUAACAGUAAUAAUAGAUGGAUAUAAAAAAGGACAUUUCCCUUAAAACGACACGAGAAUAAUCCAGUAAAUCGUUGUUUCUAAAGUAAUUGUUCAACUUACUUGAGUUUCUCUGAGUAGGGAACUGUGGCACUGUCAUACCCGUUCAGAAGGCUGGGAUGAGAAGGAUAAGGAUGUUUCCUUUUCUUCCAUGCCAAUAACGAUACCCUCCAUAUGAUAGUUAAUGGGCUACCUCGAGGCUUCUUGAAACGGUACCGUGGAGUCCCACAGAUCAACACUGCUACGGCGAUCACCAUUGUCCCUGCUGAAAUUCCAUACCCCCACCCUCUUCCGACGUUAUCUUGAACAUAUACCAGCACUAUAACAGCAAACAACGACCCCAUGCUAAUGCAAAAAUAAAACCGAUUGAAGAAGAAAAUCAUUGUCUUCUCCUCCUUGGGAUCUGUUUGAUCGAACUGAUCAGAUCCAAAACCUGAGACAUUGGACUUAAUUCCACCACCACCAAGGGCUACAGUAUAAAGCGCUGCGUAUAGCAGAACCAGUUGAUUUCCUUUCACCUCAAUGCACUGAUGACUCUGUUUCCUGUAGUCAUCGCAUGGUGGGGGUCUCAUGCUAGGAAUGGUUGUGGCUGCUGUUAGUAGACCGACCCCCUGUUGCAUAUGGAAAGGAAUCAGGAGCAUGGUCUGAAAAAAGAGAUAAUUGUUCGCAGAUUUUGGCAGGCCUAGAGUACCUCCAGAUUUUAGGUCUACAUAGAACCUUCAUCAAUGUUUGGCCUCGUGAUUACCUAGCUAGCUACUGGUUUUUCUCAGAUGAGACUUGGAAGGGUAUCUCAGAAUGAUGCAAGAGCAGGUUUCCAGCCCUCACGUUGGUACUAAAGCAUGAUUAAUUACCAGAGAUAACGUGGUGUUUUAUAUUCUUUAAGUUAGUGACACGUUGGCAUGCAAUAUAUUAUUUCGAAACUUACCAAAGCAGUUAUUAAUGCGAAGAUCGCAACUGUCAAGUACCGACCGAGCUUAGCAUCUGCCAAGAAACCUCCAAAGAGGCCAAGAAGGUUGAGAGUACCCAUGAAGUUGGUGACCGUGUUUGCUGAUUUUGCCGAUGAAAUAUGCAGUACUCCGACGAGGUAUGUCACUAAAUUCAUUGAUAUGCCCAUGACACAUAUUCUCUCCGAAAGCUCGGUUACUGCAAAACAAAAUGGAGUGGAGAUUAGCCAAGUGCUUCAGUACGGAUACUUGGAUAUAUAAGACAUUGACUCUUGUUAGUGAGAAGCACCCAGAAUGAGCCCCGCAGCAAGCCAUCCUCCAGUUCUGGACUUGUCCACAGGAAUUCCUCGAAAGUCUACUGCAGGAUCAUUAUCUGCUUCGCCGCCCAGGCCUGCUGCUAAAACCUGUUACAGUUGAGGUGAUAAGAGAAAUAAGCUAAAUAACUAUGAAAUAUCCGGUAUCACACAGUAGUGAAGAUGUUCACGCAAGCAGUUACCAUUUUUGAAGGGAGAGAGACAGAGAGCAAAGUAUCGGUGCUAUUUAGACCUUCACUUUACAAACAAAGAACAGAAUGGGAGUGCAUGAGGAAAUAACUACUUGGUUCUGUAGUACUCAAGAGAAUUGGUGAAUGAGUUCGUGAUCGGGAGGGGAUAUAAAUAUGGUAGGCGCCGGACAUUGGAAGAAGGCAACUGUUGCAUUUUUUUUCUACUGUUGAAGAGUGGCUUGUUAUUUUUUGUAUAAUUGGAAAAUAAUCAUCUUAAUCCAAUAACUUAAGCUAUACUUAGAUUAUUAGAUGAAUUUUUAAGAUAUAAUCUAUAUUAUUUUCUAAAAUAUAUUUUUAAGUGAAAAGUCUUUGGACACGAAACUUGCACGGAUUCACAAUACUUUAUACUUAAUUUUUAUUAAAUAAAUAGAAAUAAUAAGAUUAUUCAUGAUCUCUUGAGCAUCAAAAUUUUAAUAUCAUAUUAAAAAAUUAUAUUAAUUCAAUAAGUUAAAUAGUUAAGUAAAAUAUCAAGAUAAUUUAUAUUGUUCUAAUAAAAAAAACCAUGAGCAACUUGGACGUAUUCAUCUAGUGGUUUAGGUUCCUGCAGCCACAACUUCGCCAACUCUGGCUGGAAAGUGACCAUCCCAGCGUUCCAAUCUUGUAUCUUGUUUCUUCUUUAUCGUACUAUCGUUAUGGGAAUCGAAAGAUGAUCUAAAACGUUAGACAUUCGGACAAAUACUUGAGUCAUGUGGGGCUGAUCAGCAAGCCUUGGCCAAUUGGACAGAUGACAGUAUUGAUCGAACCAUAUGCGAAAAUUUUCUUUCCUAGGAAGCCUACCCUAACCCUUAGGAAUCUCGUAUGCUAUUGUUACGUUAAAAGAAUGCCUCUCGUGCUCCCACCAUUAUUUCAGCAAUGAUUGCAAAGGAAUUAACAGUGUGAGGCUAUAGGCUAGCAAGCAAAAAAUAAUGCAGAUGCUAUGGCGAAAAUCUCACUAUUGCGUUUGCUUCAAGCCCACGGGUGUGAUAUCCCCACCCCAUUGGAUCCAAAUUGAACAAAAAGAAGGGACUGAAUUACACAAGAAAACUUUUAUUUGUUGUUUCUUGAUGCCAUGGAGGAGAAUUGGUAAGGGACUCAGUUCAAGAAGCACAAAGUCCUGUUUAUUUGUUAAAAAAUAAUUUAUUUUUUUAAAAGGUAGGUUUUUUAGAAAGUGAAAAAACAAAAAAUAAAUUAUUUUUUAAUAUUUGAUAGUGUCAUGAAAAAUAAGUUGAAAAUACUUUCUAAUAUUUGAUUAUGCUAUGGAAAAUGAGUUAGAAAAUAACUUUUUAUUUUUUUAUUUUUUUUCAAGUUUGUUAAAAUAACAAGGAACAAAUCUUACAAAUUAAAAAGUUGAAUGAGAAAGAAAUUGAAAAAAAAAAUCUAAUUUCAUAAAUUAUCUCAAAUAAAAUAAAUAAUAAUUAAAAUAAUAGAGAUAAAAUGUAACGAAUAAAAAAAUUGAAAGAUGAUGAAAUUAAAAUAAUAAUAAUUAUAAUUUCAUAAAUUAUUUCAAAUAAAAUAAGUAACAAUCAAAAGAAUGAAGACCAAAUUUGAUAGAUAAUAAAUUUCAAUUAAAAAAACGAUAAGAUAAAAGCAAAUAACAAUUACAAAAAUGAGGACCAAAGUUAAUAUAACAAUCAAAUCAAAUUAAAUCAAAUUUUAAGAAAUGAAAUUAAAAAAAAAAGGAUUCAAACAAAAUAUAUAUCAAUCAAAAGUUUGAGAACCAAAUUUGAUCUAAACAAUAAAUAAUAUGAUAUUUUUAAAUUUUUCACAACUUUCAAAAAGUGUUUUCCAUCCAAAAUAAAAAAAAAUACUUUUCUAGAAAUCAAGUUAAACUUUUAUUUGACUGAAAAGUGUUUUUCACUGAUUAAUUUUUUUUAGUGGCAAGCAAACAUAUAAAAGUUUGAAAAGUAUUUUCAGAAAACUAUUUUUCAGACAAAUAAACUCCUUUUAAGUCAAUUCACUGAUUAAAUCGGUUGAUAUUUAUUUUAAGGAAAAACAGAUAAUACCAGUUUUUUUUUUUUUAUGAAAUUAAGAGAUAAUAAUACCAGGUUGUGCCAUCAAUCAAGCUCAAAUUAACUCUUUGUGGAGGGGAAAAGUUACUUUGUGAGACUUAUUGAGGAUGGUAGGGCUUCACUCUCUGAUUUUGUGUUUUAGUAAGAUGCAUUGGUUGGUUAAAAAGUUGAUUAAAAUUAUAAAUGUGAUUUUUUAAAAUAUUCAAAAAAUAUCUUACUUUUUAUAUUUUGUAUUUUAUGUAUAUUUGAUAAGUGAGAUUUUAAAUGAUUUUUAUUUUGUAUUUCAGGUUUUUUUAAAAAAAGUUUUUUUAAAAUUUUAAACGAUCAAGUGGAAAUAAUUUUUAUUUUAUAAAAUAUAAUUAAUAAAUAUAUGUUUAAUUUCUUACAUCACUAUCCAAAAUGCUCGUCCUAGCUGAUUUUGCCUAAAUAAUUUCUUUAAAAAAACAAAGUUAUUCCAAUUGAUCGACAACAGGUCGGCCGAAUUUGCUGAUUUUUCCUCGAGCUUGGAGUUUGGAGAAACGUCUGGUCUUAAUCUUUUUGCCCCCCCCUAAGAGAUCAUGAACUCCUAGUCUUGUCUUAAAGCAACCAUUAAUUAAGAUAUCAUCAAACAUCAAUUUUGGUUUUCGUUUUCAAUUUUUUCUUAAAAAAUAAUUUUUUUGAUUUUUUUUAACUCCCAAUCAAGUUUUUUUUUUUUUCUAAAAAAAUUACCUUGACCUAUAUUACAUUCCAAGUCAAUCAAGUUCUGAUACAGUUUUUGAAUAAUAUUGGAAGUGUCUUAAUUAAUGACUAGAAACCACAUUGAAUAGAAUUGGACUAGUUUGUGUACUCAUGUUGUGCUAUGGGGGAUAUGUUUUUUUUUGAAAUGCAAAAAAUAAAAUCUAGGUUUUAGAAAACUGUCUGACAUUGUUAUUUAACUUGAAAAUUCAGUUUUUAAAAAAUAUUUUUCCAUAAAUUUUCUUAUCAAUAUUUUUUUUGUUAAUCUUAUUAAUUAAGAUUCAGUAUUUCUAUUAUGCCAUCCGGGAUCAUGUCUGUUCAGUUCAUGAUUCCUGUCAAUUCCCAAGAAUCUUUCAUCUCUUCAAAGAAAGUAGUAGUUAGCAUGGAGAAGCCGUGAAGAUUCGAAUCCAUUAACGCACUUAAAGGAUGGGAUGCAUGGAAAGAAAGCAAAAACCCUCCUGAUUUUUUUAUUUAUUUAUUUACGUGGGUGUCUGGGCCAGCUUGCGUCCAUCACGACUAAUCCCACGGUUCACUGAACAUUCUGCAAACCUAGUGAACAUGUAAGACACCGUGGGGAUGACAGGCGUACACGCUGAGGCUUGAACCCAUGAUGCAGAGGCAAAGGAAACUCUUUGCCACCGCUGGGCUACAAGCCUCGGUGUAACCCUCCUGAUUUCUGACCAUUGUUCCUGCAGGAGCUCUAUUGACAAAAACAUUCUCUAGCUCUACCCUAUCAACUAUAGUAGCAAUUAGGUUCGAGUUCUCGUUAAUCAGUAUUUCGGUUUAGCUCAGUUGGGAUCUUCCCAUGGCAUUCAUGUCAAGUUCGGCACUCUCCUCCUCCUGGCCUUGGGAACCUCCUUUUGCCUAAUAUUAUGAGGUUUCUUCUGUUCGCCAUCAUCUGUUUUAUCAACUCUCUGAGACUUGUCAAAAGGAAGAAAAAGAAAGAAAGGUAGUAUUAAUUAUUAGGAUGGCGAGUGAGUUGAGUUUAACUGAGUUAAGAUAUGUUCAAGUUCAGCUUUCCUAAGUGCAAUAUCCUGUGUUAAGAGCAAUUGGGAAAGCUGAACUUGAACAUAACUCAGCUGAACUGUGGGGGUUCUAGAGCUCGCGUACGUGUUCUCUAGGAUUCAAAAAAACUCAUUUUUGAAUCAGACUCCACUCUUGCAGAAGAGCUCAUAAGAAAAUAUUUUGUGAAAAUGGAGGUCAACUAUUCUUUGAUAUGCUAUCUCAUAUAAUUAUAUUCUAGAAUAAUUUUUCUUCUAAAUUUCAUAAACUAAAAUCUGUAUAAAUUUGAAAUUAUAAUUAAAAUUUAUACGAAAACCUAUAAGUUUGAUAUUCAACCUCUGAGCAGAUGAAGGAGCUGCCAUACAUUAAAACCAUCCAUUGAAACCUAACACUAAUAAAAAAUUUUUUUAAUGAAGAACCAAUAUCAUGAAAAGGUUUAUGAACUUAGUAUAUCUUAUGAAUUUUGUACAAAAUAUAAUUACAUCUAGCAUGAUUCUCCAUACCACACAUAAUAAUUUACAUGCAAUUCUACAAGUGUAGACUAUUGUUAUAGUUAUCUCCUAAGUAGUUGUGAUUAAAAACUCUACUUUAGUAUGUUAUAUACCAUGUCCAUCACUUACGAUGCUUAUCUCCUAUUCUUUUAGGUGUCUGUACAAGGGUCUAUAAAAGGCCCUGUGUUCCUGUAUUUUACUAACAGAAACAUAUAUGAAUAAAGAGAAAUAAAGAACUCUGUUAUUCAACGAGUUGAAUUAUUUUUUUUCACAAUAACAAUAAAUAUCCAGGCUAUAAAGAAUUAUUUAGCAUUAUUAUUAAACCUGGCUUGAUGGAUCAAUUUUGAGAUCUUUCUACUCAACUAUUUGUCUAACUUGAAUUUAAAAAUUAAACUGAAUAAGAAUUGUUUUGACUUGAUCCAGUCGAAUUGACAAGUCUAAAAACAACCUGAUCAACUGACAAGAAAAUAUAAGGAGAAAAAAAAGGAUAAAAUUGACAGAAAAAAUCUCUCUAUCCAACUCUUUACCUAACCGUGUUUAAAAUUAAAAAAAUGUGGGGGGGGGUUGUUCCGAUGUGAUUAGUCAAUUUACUUAGUUUAAAGAUAAUUCAAAUGAUUAUUAAAAAAAUUUCGAGAAUGAAAUUAAAAAAGAAACGGAUGAAAUCAAAAGAAAAGAAGAGAAGAAAUGAAAAAAAAAAAGCUGAAUUAAAAAAAAAUGAUGAAGCGCCACUAAACAUGUAUCUUUUAGUAUAAAAAGGUAAUAUAAUUAAUGAAUUUAUUGUUAGAUUUUAAUUCAUCAUAAGAAUGUCAUUAAAUACUUAUAAAAGUUAUUUUUUUUAAUGAAAUCUUAUACAUAUUUUUUUCCCUUAAAACGUUUUACAUGCUAACAAAUUAAGUUAUUUGCGUUUUUUUUAAAAUGAGCUUGUUCUCAUAUCUAAGUUCAAGAGUUUAAUAAAACCUGUUCAUGAAUCUUAAAGAGGUGAGCCUAGCUAAGCUUAAACUUGAAUCAUUUUCUUAGAAAAAUAAAACAUUUUUUUUUGUUUUUUGAAAUUUUUAUUUUUUUUAACUCUCAAAGAAAACCGGGUAUUUUUAAUAUCAAAUUUGUAUCUUAUAGUGUAAAUAUACAACCCGAUAUUAUGCAAAAUUAUUGGAAAAACAUGUAGGGAACCACAAAUAUUUUUAAAAUACCCUUUGAAAAAUUUAAAGUUUUUUUUUUCAUUUUUUAAUAUUAUUAAAAAUAAAUUGGGCUAGACCCGGCUCAGCUAUUCGAGCUGGGUUGAAACGGGUCUAACCCCACUUAGUCGGGUUGGGCUGAUUAAUGGCCCAAUAUCCUCUCUCUCUCUCUCUCUCUCUCUCUCUCUCUCUCUCUCUCUCUCUCUCUCUCUCUCUCUCUCUCCUUCUUGUUUUUUAUUUAUUUAUUUAUGUUAGGCCUGGCCCAGCAAUCCGGGCUGGGCUGAAACGGGUUCAACCCUACAUCAUUUCUCUCUCUCUCUCUCUCUCUCUCUCUCUCUCUCUCUCUCUUUCUUAUGUUGGACCUGGCCCAACAAUCCGGGCUAGGCUGAAACGGGUUCAACCCUUCUUGGUCACCUUCUGGAGGACAUGAAUUAAUUCACGUGCUACAUGUAUGAGAAAGAAAGAAGAACAAGCAUAGGAGGGAGGGGAUGAAGAAGCUUACCUGGGUUAAAGGUGUUGCUGGCUGGUGGUCCUCCUGGUGACGCACGAUGUCACGGGUUUGCUGCUAAAGUUAUUGUUGCUUAUAAAAGUGGAAGCAGAGAAGGAGGAGCUAUCAUCUUCAUCACCAUGGGGGUAGAGGCUUCGACUACUAGUUUUGAUGGGUUGUAGCGAUUGGUCAUGGUGAUGCUGAGAUUGUAGUGGCUGAGGAUGUGGCAGAUAAGGAGGAGUGGUUGAGAUCACGAUAGAAAAAGGGAAGGAUUGAUGGAUCAAUUAUUAUUUUUCACAGUAACAAAAAAUAUCUAGGCUAUAAAGAAUUAUUUAGCAUAUUUAUUAAAACCAGUUUGAUGGAUCAAAUGGAUCAAUUUUGAGAUCUUUCUAUCUAUCUCUUUGUUUAACUUGAAUUUAAAAUUAAAAUAUGUGAGAGUUGUUUUGACUUGACCCAGUGGAAUUGGUAGAUCCAAAGACAAUUUGAUCUAUCGACAAGAAAAUAUAAAGAGAUCCAACUCUUUACCUAGUUGUGUUUAAAAUUAAACAAUGUGGGGGUUAUUCCAAUGUGAUUAGUCAAUUUAGUUAGUCCAAAGACAACUCAAAUGAUAUUUUUUUAAAAAAUAAGGAUAAAAUUAAAAAAAAUGGAUGACAUUGAAAGGAUAAAAAGGAAAGAAAUUGAAAAGAAAAAGAAAAAGAAAAAGAAAAAGAAGAAGAUAUGAUGAAGCACAACUAAACAUGCAUCUUUUAGUAUAAAAAGGUAAUAUAAUUGGUGAAUUUAUUGUUAGAUUUUAUUUCAUCGUAAGAAUGUCAUUAGAUACUUGUAAAAGUUUUUUUUUUUUUAAUGAAAUCCAAUUAUACAUAUUUUUUUCCUUGAAACUUUUUACAUGCUUACAAAUUAAGUUAUUUGUGUUCUUUUUAAAAUGAGCUUGUUAAGAGUCUAAUAAGCCCGUUCAUGAAUCUUAAAGAGUUGAGCCUAGCUAAGCUUAAACUUCAAUCAUUUUCUUACAGAAAGCUUGUUUGUAAUGGCUCACGAAUAGCUCGACUCAUUUGAAAUAUUAGUAAUCAUAUCAUGGAAGAGAGCUAAAUGCUAGCAAUAUAGGUCGGAAUACCCAUAACCGAUGCUCUAAAGAAUAAAUUGUAACAAAUUUUAUGAGGUAUAACCCAAUUGGUUAAGUUCUAAGUUUGCUUCUCAGAAGUCAUCAGUUUGAGUACCACAAAUCUCAAAGUUACUGGUAGUUUACUUGGAUAUUAACUUUAGAGCUUUAAAAAAUUAGUCUAGGUACACAUAAGCUGGCCUGAAUAUCUACGGUUAUCAAAAAAAAAAAAAAAUAUCAUGAUAAGGGAAGAUAUGGGUUACCACCCAUCAUAUACAAGAACAUGGUCGGCCAUUGCUGAUGAACAUCUUACCAUUAUCUUGAAUUCUCAUCAAGAAGAGGGUACUGUUGCAAAAAGUUUUUUUGGGUUCUUCUCCAAUUCAAGAAGAGGAUCACACACAUAAUGAAUUAAGAGGAGGUUCAUGUUUGUCCUCUUGACUAUCCAAUGUAAGUGUAGUCAAUUUUUAGUUCUUAAUUUUGUCUGAAAAAUGUUGGCGCAAGCAGCGAUAAUAGCGACCCAACGAAGCCAGCAUCUUAAAUUUUAGAAGCUUUUAUCGUGUGGACGAAAGGAGAAAUCUGAAAGAUAUCAAAACAACUUUUUAUGGAUGCAUGGGGCCAAGGAUGACGUUCCGGGUCAAUCCUAUCUUUUUCACACAAACAACCUCCUCGGCAACACCCAUACACGACUUUCUUUGUCUAUAUAAUAUUCAUCCUCUUACUAAUUUAAUUAUCAUAGGUCACGGAAACUCAUAAAUAUUUUUAAAUAUAUAUAAUAUUCAUCCUCUUACUAAUUUAAUUUACUAAAAAGGCUUUUAUGGGAAUUCUUUAUUUUUUCUUGAAAUUUGUGAUUUUUUUAGUACAUUCACAUAUUUCCUUUAUUUUAAGGCAGGUAGUGACAAAAUAAAAUAGAGAAAGAAAAGGAAAAAAAAAAAAAAGAUUGAGCGAGAAAGAAAAGUGAUGGAGCUAAAAAAAAUCAUAAAGAAAAAUCAAACAAAAAAAUUUAUUGAAAAAGAAAAAUUAAGAGAAAGAGGUCUAGUAUAUCCUUACCGCACACUGCCCUAUUCUAAAUCUAUCCUAGAAUACCUAUAACCAAAUAUUCUAAUGAAGGGUUGCCCUAAUUUUUGUCUAUAAACACCCCAAACCUUUCAAUCCUUAAACGAGCCUGCAUGUGGGACCAAGAGUCAAGCCUUGAUGGAGUUGAAUAAGCCUUUUUAACAAAGUAAAACAAAUGGUCAUACAUAUAAAAUAAAAUUGACAACCACUGGUUUAAGCAAAAGUAAAGCUAAAAAAAAAAAAAAAAAAGCUAAAUAAGUCCUCAAGUGCACGCUUGUCACCCCCGCGGUGCCUUACAUGCCCACUGGGUUUGCAGAGUGUUUAGUGGGCCGUGAAAUUAUUCGUGGUGCGCGUAAGCUGGCCCGGACACCCACGUAAAAAAAAAAAGUAAAGCUAAAUAAUUUAUAAAAAUAACAUAAAAAAAACACAAUAAAGUAAAAAGUGUAGAGAUAAAGAAAUCAAAUACAAUUAUUUAUCCUCGUUUAACCUUGUCUACAUUCAGUCCCCAGGACUAGCUUGAGCUUUCCCAAUCCACCAUUUGAUCAUACCUACAUGAGCAAGGAACAAGACUUUUACAACCACAUUUUACAUGCUUAUGAGCUAACCUGAGUAUUAAUCUGGUAUCACUCAGCACCACCAAUUCACGAGUAUUGAUAUAAUGUUGCUUAUAAUUCCAUAAUCAUUAGUUUAGUAACCUAACUGGUUAUUUUGAAUCGGGAGCAAAUCAAACAAAACUUAAACACAAUAGAAAAAUAUGCAAUAAUAUAACAAAUAUUUUUAAAAUGCUUUUUGAAAAAUUUGAAGUUUUUUUUUUUAAUAUUAUUAUAUUGUUAAAUAUAAAAUGGGCUGGACCCGACCUAGCCAUCUGGACUAGGCUGAAAUGGGUCCAACCUGACUCAAUCGAGUGGUGUUGACUGGCAGCCCAACAAACUUUCUCUUCUUUUUUUUGGACUGGACCCAGCCUAGACAUCCGAGCUAGGCUAAAACGGGUUCAGCCCAUCUUGGUCCCCUUUAGUAGGACGUGAAUACAUUCACAUGUUGGAUGAAUGAGAAAGAAAGAAGAACAUUCGCAGAAGGGAAUGGAUAAAAAAGCUUACCAGGGCUAAGGGUGUUGCUGGCUGGUGGUCCUCCUGGUGGCGCACGGUGUCACGGGUUUGUUACUGGACUUGCUGCAGCUGAUAAAGGUGGAAGCAAAGAGAAAUGAGCUACCAUCUUUGUCACUAUGGGGGGGAUGGGGCUUUAGUUGAGGUUGGGAGGUGGUUGGUCAUGGUGGUGUUGAAAUUGUAGUGACUGAGGACGUGGUAGAUGAGGAGGAGUGGCUGAGAUCACGAUAGAGAAAGGAAACAAAGAGGUUGGCUGGUAAAAAACAGGUGUAGGGACUGGGUUUUUUCAAACUUUGGCUUUAGAUUUCUUUCCCCUUGAUUUCUGGAAUCGACCCUUAUUUAUAGAGGGUGGAAAAGAGACAUUUUUUUCUUUAUUAGGGACAAAUCUUAGCUCUUAAUUUAGUCCGGAAGGAUCUCAACCAUUGGUUUAAAGUGAUCAUCAUGAAUUGUCAAAUUUCGACAGUUAAAGAUUGUCUAAGUUGACCUAUUUAGGCCAGCACCACGGCCGCUGCAAUGUCAAUCAGCCAGAAAGAACUAUACCGAGAUAUGGUCAAAUAUCAGGCUAUCAUGGUGGUUUAUCUUUUGUCAAAUUUGGUGAAGAGACGAAGCAUUAAAUGCUUUGAAAAUUUAGUCACCCGAGCAGUUUUUUCGAACCAAAGGUGGAAGAAAAUGAACAUUACUAGACGACAAGUCGUCUGAGUUUUUUUUUUUUUUUUGUUACUAUUUGGUCAAAAUGAUGUUGUGUUAGUUAAAAUGUGUCGUUUCAUUUAAAUGAAACAAUGUCAUUUUGGCUUUUGAUUUCUUUUAGCUUUUAGGUUUUUAAUAUUGGAAUUUGAUUGAAAAAUUCAAUUUAGUUAUUUGGCAUUUGAUUUUUUUAAUUGCACCAUAAAUUGGUCUAGAAAUUUAAUUUUAUAUAAUUUUACCCCUGUCAAAUUUUAACAUCAACCCCAUAUUUCAGCUUCUUUUUCAUUUUAGUUCUUGGUUCUGGAUUUAUACAAAUUAACCUUCAAUUGACUAUUAAACUUUAAAUUCUCUUCAAUUUGACCCCUAAUUUCAAUGAAUUUAGUUCCUAGAGUUUAACGCCUUUUCUAAAAAGGUCUUUUACUAUGAAUUUCUUCAAUUUAACUCCUAAUUGACCCAAAAUUUUAAUUUUCUUGUAAUUUUACCUGUAGUUUCAACCAAUUAACUUUGUAAAAAAAUUAAAUUUGGUCAUCUAAAAUUUCAAUCUUCUCAAUUAAGAUCAAAUUAGGCUCUCAUACUUAAUUUUUCACUAAUUAAGUCCAUAAUAAAAUUGACUUGACCCAUUUAAAGUAUAAUUAAGUUAUUGCACUUAAUUAAAUCUUUUAAUUUGACGCAAAUUAAUUUUUUAAAAUAAUUAAACUUUUAAUUUGGCCCAUGAUUAAAUUAAAUUAGCCUAUUAAAAAUUUAGUUAUAUCGCUUAACUUAAUGUUUUUGUAGAUUCAUCUAAUAAUGAUUUAAUUUAACCUUAAAUUUGUAUUGUCUCUCUAGUUUUAGGUACAAUUAGGCUCUCAAUUCAUUCAAAAUUACAGCUUGAUCUUCAUUUAUAUUUGAAAUCCUCUCUAGUUUGCUUUUUCCAAAAUACGAGUCUUUUUGUUAUUAUUAUUUUAUUUUUAUUUUGGAAUAAAAAAGGGAUAAAUUUUGGGAAUAACCUAGAAAUGAGUUAUGACAGAAAUAAUAUUUAUAGGGAUUUUAAAAAAUAAUUAUGUAUCCCUUGUAUAAAAGUAGUUAUUGCACAAAAGCUUUCUAAAAUGGAUAAAAAUCCUAAACGUCUUCUACUUGGUUGGUUUUAAAGGUUAUUUAACCGAUCCCGGAGCCUACUUUGCUAAUUAUAGGAUUUUUCAAUGUAUCUUUUUUUUUUUCAACUUGAUAUUUCUUAAGGUUUCCUAACAUUACAAGAUUUAUAUGACCCUCGUAUCUAUGAAUAGUCAUUCUAAGGUUUUUUCGAAUAUGCAUAUAAACAUCAUGAUUAUUUGUAUACAUAUUCUAUUAUCCUAAACUUAAAAAAAAAACAUAUUCAUGAUAUUCCUUUCUUGAUGUGAUAACCUCAUUCCAUGCAUAUAAAAUAUUAUACUCCAUACUUGAAAUCUUCAUCAACAGCAACUAUAGUCCAAUGUUAUUCUUAUCUAUUUUAAACUUGUGCUAGAUAUAACAUUAAGCAUUUUUAAGUAUAAUAAUCUCAAAUUAGUUAAUUAAUUGUCAAUCCAUCAAAAUAUUUGAUUGAAUAAUCCUUAGACAAACACUAUAUACAUAAAAAAAAAGAAGGAUACACCAUCAAGAUGAAAAACCCUAAAAAUAUUUUCCUCUAUCUUCUCUCUAAGCCACUAAUAUCAUUCCUAAUUUCCCCUUCAUUUCUUUUCUUUUCUCACAUUUAUUUUAUUUUCUUUCCUUCCUCUUUUUAUUAUGUCCUUUUUCAUUUUGUCCUUCUGAAAACUAGCACACUCAACCACUUCUUCAUCUCCAUAAUAACCAAUAAUAGUAGUUGUGUCCCUUAUCUUCUCAUCAGAAGUUAGCAAACCUUCUUCAUAUAACCCUAUAAAAUGAACCAACGAGCGAUCAUAUCAGUCUAAAUUGACUUCCAUAUAAAAACCAUUCAUUCAUCCUUCUUCAUAUAUGACUACUAAAAAUAACCACUUCUUUGAUGAACCUUCCAAAACAACACUUUAAAAAUCACUAAACACCCAUGAUCCACCAACCACUCACCAACACUCAUCAAAACCCUAACCUACAUCGCUGAACAACAAAUACUAAACCAUAUUGAACCUCAUUAGCCACCACUAACCAUACACUAAUUGAACCAUUAACAAUCCAAAAUGGUAACAAUAGUAACAAUAUUAAACCUAUUAAUAAAGACAUACAACCAUGUCGAGGAGAAAAAAAAACAAGGGUGCUUGAGUACAAACCAACCACAAUCUCCUUCCUCAGGUAACAAUAAACUGCACCACCUGUUGGUGUAGUUUGUAAAUGAAUAAAGAAGAAAAAGAUGUCUAUCCCAUAUUGAAAAGAAACACUCCCUCCUAAGUGUUUAUAAGUUUGAGUUUCUAUUACGUAGUAAAUUAAGUGAAAGCCAUGAUAGAAGGUUUUUCUAGUAGGCUUCCUAAUGCUAUUAUAUGGAUAUUUAUAAUAUCAAAAAAUGACAUUUGGGCACUUGGAACUUUAAACUUAAUAUGUCAAUGAGAUUAAUUAAUUUUUAUAAUUUUUAUAAUUAAUUUUUACAUUUAUGAUUGUUGGGAUAAAACUGAAUAACAACUAUUCAAUUUAAUUUAAAAUAUAAUUGUUUUACUAACAGUCAUAUAGUUUGAUUAACAAUCAUAAUAUUAAAAGACAUAAUGUUUCAUUAUAAUGUUUUUUAAGUCUAAUAAAACUUGUUACUACACAUAAAACUAUAGAUAAUAAUAAAUAUAUUUUCUUUCCUUUGUCUUUUCUUUUCAUUCUUUUAGAGGUUUAGAAGGUUUAGUUGUAUCAUGGAGGUGUUGUCUUUGUAUGAGACAAAUAAACACCUAAAAGACAGUGUUUUUACGCCUCUAAACUAAUUUCUUAUUUUGUCCAUCUAAAAUAUUUUGAUAACAUUUUUAAGGUGUUUAAUCUAAUGGAGACAAAUAUUAAUUUAAGUGUAAGGGUUGCUAAGGAUGUUAAAAUUCAACUUGAUCAUUUUAAUUAUAUGAAUUACACAAGAUGGGUGGAUAAGAUAGUUUUCCUGCUUACUUCAUUAAAGAUUUACUACAUUCUUGACCUGAAUCUGGUUGCACUAUCUAAAUCAUAAGAAGAUGAUUCUACUAUUGUUAAGACUGGCAGCCUAAAAUGUAAGGAAGAUGAAGUGCUUUAUCAAAUGCAUAUUCUAAAUACUUUGACUAGUUUACUUUAUAACAUUUUUUCUAAAUUAAAGUCUCAAAAACAAUUUUGGGUUGCCUUGGAGACACAUUAUAAGCAGAAAAAAUCAGGUUUUGAUCAUUUUUUUGCUUUAAAUUUUUUUGAGUAUGAGAUAACUACAUUAAGCCAAUUAUGGAUCAAGUCCAUGAAAUUUAAAUGCUGAUAUUAUAACUUAGUGACUUGGAUAUCAAAGUUCCCGAUUCACUUCAAGUAAGGGCUACUCUUUUUUUUUUAUCAAAACUUCCUCCAUCUUGGAAUGAAUAAAAAAAAAUAUUGCAUUCUAGAGACAAUUAUACCUUUGAACAUUUUCAAAUACACUCGUAAAUUGGGGUUCAAUCUUGUAUGCGUGAAUUGCAAGCAAUAAAUUCUAAAGUCAAUUUGAGUGUUAAAACUGGUUUAAUAAUGACUCAAAACAAUCUGAAAGUGCAAAAAAAAAAAAUUCAAGAAGAAACAACAUGCUAACAAGAAGCAUAAGGUUUGUUUCCAUGGUAGAAAUAAAGGGCAGUACAUAAAAGAGUGCAUAUUAAAAAAUUUCAAUAAGAAAGUUAGUUCUUUUAAAGUGAAUAUGGUUGAAAAAGACAAAGUUGAGGAGUUGGUUGUCAUGGUUUCAAACAUUCAAAUUGGAAUGAUUAUUGAAUUAAAUAUGACAACCAAUGUUGUGAAAACUUCAGAUUGGUGGUUAUAUUCUAGUGCAAUGGUUCAUGUCUACAACAACAAAGCAUGGUUCAAGACUUAUGAAGAAUUGAAGAAACUUGAAGAGGUCUUGAUGGGCAACCAUUAUUUUCCCAAAGUCUUGAGAAAAGAAACUAUUGAAUUGUACUUUACUUUUGGAAAAAAAAAAUCUUUAGUCAAUGUGUUUCAUGUUCCCGAGAUUAGAAAAAACCUUGUACCUCCUAGUCUCUUGAGCAAGAAAGGGUUCAAGAUUGUUUUAGUGUCUGAUAAGGUUAUUGUAACUAAGAAUGAGAUGUUUAUGAGAAAUGAUUAUUCUUGUGAUGACAUGUUUAAGUUCAGUAUUAAUGAAAUCAAUAUUAUUUCUGCUUAUAUAGUUAAAUCUACUUCUUUUCUUUGACAUGCUAGAUUAGAAUAUCUAAAUUAUAGAUAUUUAAAAUAUAUAUGUAAGCAUGGUUAUAUUUCAUAUGAAAUGAUAACAAUGAUAAAUAUGAAGUAUGUAUUCAAGAAAAGAUGAAAAAAGUCUUUUUCCUAAAGUAGAAAGAAAUUCUCAUUUACUUGAGUUGGUCCAUUCUGAUAUAUAUGAAAUAAAUGGUAUGUUAACAAAGGGUGGGAAAAUAUGUUUUAUAACUUUUAUUGAUGAUUAUUCUCGUUUUACCUAUGUUUACUUGUUAAGAACUAUAAAUGAAGCCUUUGGAAAAUUCAAGGAAUUCAAGAAAAUGGUAGAAAAUAAAAAAGAAAGCUAAGUUAAAAUUCUUAGAAGUGAUAGAGGUGGUGGUGGUUACUUUUCUAAAGAGUUUUCUACAUUUUAUGAGGAAAAUAGAAUAAUUCAUCAAAUGGCAACACCCUAUACAGCACAACAUAAUGAACUUACUGAAAAGAAAAACAGGACCUUAGUGGAUUUGGUCAACGCCAUGCUUUUGAAUGCUAAUUUACCAAAUAAUUUAUGGGGUAAAGCUUUAGUUACUUUUCACAUUCAUAAUAUAGUACAAUCUAAAAAAUUAAAUGUUUCUUCCUAUGAAACACGGAAUGGUAGAAAACAAGAUCUGAAUUAUUUUAAAAUAUAAGGGUGUGUAGCUUUUUAUAAAAUUUCUUAUCCUCAAAGUACAAAGUUAAAACCUAAAGGUCUUAAGAGUGUUUUUGUUAGCUAUGCAUAAAAUUCAAAGGCUUAGGCUUUUAGAUUUAAAAUCUAUAUCAGGAUGAAUUUCUCACUUGAAAUGAUAACUUCAUAUAAAACAAAACAUUUAAUUCAAUUUUUUUUAAAAAAAUUAGGUCAUGUAACUCUAGAACCCACAAAGCAAACAAAGCGAAUUGUCCCAAAAAUGGAUGAAACAUGCUUUCAAGCGUAAUUUUGAUAUCCUUGCUAAUUUUAGGUUACAAGCCAAAAUCAAAUAAAAUGUGAUGAGUUAAUUUCUUCUUUAAUUUCAACUUCACAUUCAAGACUUGAUUUAAAAUAAAUAUAUUAAAUAGGUUUAGAAAAUAAUUAAGCAAGUAAUAAAAAAUAAACUCGAGAAUUAAAAAUAUACAAAGUAAGCCUUUUUUUUAGAUUAUACUUUAGAUAAUUUUUAUCUUUCUUUAACUAUAACCACAUUUUUAACUAUAACCACAUUUUUAUAUUUGCUUCUAAAACCAAUGUAUUUUUUUUAAAACUCUUUUUAGUUUGAGCUAUUUGUGUUUAUUUGAUAAUGCAAUGCAAAAUACUUUUCAAUUAAAAAUAUAUUAAAAUAAUUUUUUUUAUUUUUAACAUCAGUAAAUUAUAAUAAUAAUAAAAAUACCAUUAAAAAUAUCAAUUUAAUAUUUUUUUUAAAUAAAAAAUAUUUUAAAAAACAGGUUUAAACACAAAAUAAACAUUCAAUCAUUGUAUGCUUUCAUUACUCAAGAUACAUUGAACCUUCGAAUAGUAUAGGAGCAUAGGGAAAGAUCACACACGACUUGUUCAUAAACAAACCAACUUUUAAGUAAUUAAUCACAGAAGAGCACACCCAUCAUGCCCACAGAGUUGUCAGAUCAUGUAUGAAGACUGAUGCCUACACAGUGUCUCCACUAUUGGUCGGCAACACAAGUGAACAAAUUUUUUGAUGUGCCUCCGCUUCCCUUUCCAUCUACUUUACUUUUCUGUGUUUUUUUCGUGGUUGAAGAUAACACUUUCCAGAUCUUUUGCGGUGAUUUGUAAGGCUUGAUUGUCUGUUUAUGGCCAUGCCAGGCCACCCUGUCGAGUCCUUGGAAAAAAACACAUCCAAUUAUUGAGGAUCGGCCUAAAUUUGUUGAUGUUUUGUCUCAAGUGUACGAGUUCUACGUAUAAAUUUAGUCUCUGUACUGUUUGAUAAAUUUAACCUUACAUGUUUUCCAUGACUAUCAGAUUCUCAGAAAAGGAUAACUUUGUAUUCGAAGUGUUUAUUUUUUGCGUAAAUCCAAGUUUAGCCCCUAAAGUAUUGCUCUAUUAUCAAUUGAGUCCUAAACAUUUAUAUUUUCUCAUAACACAUUAGAUGACGUUAACCCUCUAUUUAUAUUAUAAUAUGCUCACGAACUUUAGACAAGUAAUUCCACCUUUUAAGAAAAUUAUCUUAUUUAUAUUUUCCCUUUCGAUUUUUCUUUUGAUUCAAGUCAAGUUGAUGAUGCAAGGAAGGAGGCUCAAAUAAAGAGGAAAGAUAGAAAAGCCCAUCCAGGAAGAGUCCAACUCGGAAUUAGACAUGGCGUGUCGGCCUCAUCGAAGAAUGUGGUCUUGUCACAAUUCUUCCAGACAAGGGAUGGCGAUUUCUCAGAAAAAAGACUGAAGAGUUGGGAGCAAAAGCAUGGAUAAUUUGCAUCAAGUCUAAACUAACGAAAAAGAGUGGCAUCAACAAGUCAAUUUGGGCACUCUCUUUCUAAAAGUAGAGUCUGAUUAUAUCUUUAGUCAUGUUCUACCUAUAAUUUAAACAAAUUUUGAUUUAAUUUUUAAAACUAGAGGUGUUUGAUGCAAUGAGCUGAUUUUUUUUUUUUUAAAUCAGUUUGGCUUUAUUUGUUUUCUAUUUAUCAAACCAAAUUAGUCCAUGAAUUUUUUAAUUGGACUGUUUUUUAGAGAUUUUAAUGCAACGGGUCAACUUUUUAUUUUUUAUUUCUAUUUUAAAAAAAUCAAGUUGUGAUUUUUUUUUAAUUUUCUAUUUUUUUUGUUUCAUCUCCGUUUGGAUUUUUUAAUUAAUUUUAUCUCAAUUUUUUUUUGUUAAUUUUGAUUACUUGGUUAUUUUUCUCACCCCAUUCAAAGCUCCAUUAUUGAAAAUCAAAUUACUAAGUUCUAUACUUUAGUAUUAUAAUUUUUUUUAAAAUAUCUAUACAAAAUGAAGUCUUUCCCUUUUCGUUUUUGCCAAAGGUGUUAAAAAAAUUGUUUGAAAACCAUAAUUAAUUGGCAUAUUUAAGAACAAAUGGUUCAUCUAUAUUUUUUAACAAAUUUGCUUACAUUUUGUUUACGUAAUUUUGCUCAAACAUGCUAGAUAAGAUGAUAUGUUGUGUAUAGUAUCUACAUGCUUAUUUCCUUAUUAUUAUUAAACUAAACAAAUAUCUAAUAUGAAUCGUUACCAGAUUCUAUCUUCUCCCCACUGGAAUUUAAACAACAAAAGGGAGAAGCACUAACAAGUCUUGAACACCAUAGUCCAGCCACCAAGAAAGCAGUCUGUGGAAAAUCCGAUAGGAUAUGCUAUUUUUAUUAUUCCUAAGAAGAAGCUGCCAAAGGCUGAUUAUGACUAUCAUCGCUCUUUUGGUCUUCCAUUUGCAACAACUUGGCAAAAACUCCAACUAAUGGUGCUGUAUUAUACGUGCAGGCCUCAGUCUGCUUGUAAUUUCCUCUCUGGUCCGUGAAAUUAUCUUUACAAUCAGGUCCUCCAACCACUGCCCCGACUACAACAUUAGGGUUGGGCUCUUCCCGACCAUACCAGAGGUCGAACCCUUGGGUGCACCCAAUGAACCCCCUGCUCUCUCUGUAUGGCACCAUUGAGGCCCCUCUAUGGUGCACUCUCGUGGGGUAUUUAGGGCCAUAACCCACUAAAUAACUCAUGUUCACGGGGUUAGAACCUAGGAUGUAAUCAACUUGAGAUUUAGCAAAAUGGAGUAUCUCUUCGUAAUCCACAGACCCUCCAUGGCACUUGAGCUUUUGAGUCGAGUUUCGAAGGACAUCGUAGUAUAGAGUGAGAAGGAAGGCUGCCGUGGAUACAUAUUGCAUGUUGUUCCAUUGCCGGAUGUGCAAUAGACCACCCGGAGUGCGAUUCACGUUGGAACCAUUAUUCUUGCUAAGGCAUGAGCAUAUGUAGUCCUCGGCUUUCGAUCGGUAUUGUUCCAAUGUGUCCCUGUGCCCCUUGUGUUUUUCUUCCUCGAGCAACUGCAAUCUCAAUAUAUAUAUAAAAUUCAUUAUUAUAUAUUUUUUAAAUAAUAAAUUAAAAGAUAUACUCAAACUAGUUUACAUAUAAGUCAAGAACAAUCCCUUCUGCACAGAUUAUUUAAAGUUGAAACCUCUUGAUUGACUAUCAUUCUCUUUGUACAAAAAUAACAUUAUUAUAAAAUAUCACGAUACUACCAUGCAAAUUCAAUUCAACUUAUAAUAUAAAAAAAAUAUUAAUCACAAUUGAACUAACCUUUAAAAUACCAUAGUAGGACUUUAUUUUGAUUAUCAAAACUUACAAAAAAAAUUAAAAACAAUCUGUACGUACGUAAAUGGUACAUGUUAGAAUGACUGCAUAAUUGGGGGAUUAAUUUAAAAAUUGCCAAAAAAAAAUAUUUAAACACAUGUACAUGAUUUUAUUGAAGAGAUACAAUAUGUCAAACAUGGUUCUAUCUCCAUGACUUUUUCUAUUUUAUUUCUUACUCUGUUUAGUAUACGUGAUUUCCUUCCAUGCACAACAUAAUAGGCAGUGAUUAUGUUUCUAUGUAUAGCACAAUAAACAACCAUGAUAUUCCAUAUAUAGCACAAUAGACAACCAUGAUAUUAGCUAUGUAACCAUUACUCAUGCUUCUGUAAUCUCUAUUUAAAGAUGAAUAAUAUUGAAGGAAAGACAAGUUAGUUUUCCUACAUGGUAUUAGAGCUUCCAGAGGUAUCACCAAUGGAGUCUUCUCCUUCUUUGAUCCCACCUAUGUCAAAUUCUCAUUCUUCUGAAUUCUCAUAUGUUUUCCUCAUUUGCCUGAUAUUUCUAUUAAGCUAGCUUCUACUAAUUAUCUUUUGUGGAAAGCACAAGUCAUUCCCAUUCUACGUGGCAAUGGUCUUCUCAGUUAUGUGCAAAAUCAGAUUUCCUGCCCAUCACAAACCAUCACUGGUGAAGAUGUUGUGUCUCGAACCAAUCCAGCAGCAGCUAUAUGGCUGCACUGAUCAAUUGAUCCUUGGGUGGAUCAAUAGCUCCUUAUCUGAUGGUCCCAUGUCCCAAGUCAUCAAUAGUGAAACCUCUCAUGAUGCUUGGCAUGUUUUGCAUACUCUUUAUGGUAGUCAUACUCAGGAUCGUCUUCAACAAAUGAAAGGCGAGUUGUAAUUGCUCAACAAAGUUGGUUCUUCUUUAAAAGAUUACUUGCACAAGGCCAAAUCUCUAGCCUUGUCCUUGCGAGGUGCAGGUAAGCCAAUGGAUGACGAUGAGUUCAUCAUAUGUAUUCUUCGAGGCUUAGGAUCUGAGUUUGAUCCUAUAGUGGCAGCCUUAAAUGCUAGAGAUGUUUUUCCAUCUCUUGAAAGGGUUAUCGGCAAACUACGUGAUUUUGAAAUACAUCUUCAAGCAACACCGGUGACUCCUUCUAAUGUUGCAUUCUUCACAAACCGUGGCAGAACCAAUACAAAGUUUCGUGGAACUCAUGGUUCUCAUGGUUGUAAUAUUACACACAACCAGACUACUUCUCAAUUCCACCAAAAAGAUGCUCGUUUUUCACGCUUCACUAAAGGUAAUCCUAGAACUCGUACUCAAACAUUUACAAAUCGUGGUGGACGCAGCGCUGGUCGCGGACGUGGAGGUCCAAAUCAUAAAGUUGAUGGAUAUUUUGCCUCUGAUAAGGAAGCAGAACAAUUUAAAGCUUUCACUGCACUUCAAGUUGCAAAUCCUACAAAAGAAACUUGGUACCCCGACACAGGAGCAAAUAAUCAUAUUACAACUGAUACAAGUGAGGUGCAAGGUAUUCAUUCUUAUCUUGGCAAUGAUUCUGUUAUGGUUGGAAAUGGAAAUGGAUUACAAAUAUCUGGUAUUGGACAAGUCUCACUACCUGCUACUGAUAUCAAACUCAAUAAUAUUCUUGUUGUCCCUGACAUUAAAAAGAAAUUGUUAUAUGUCUCUCAACUUACAAAGGAGCAUAACUGUUAUUUCAUAUUUUAUUCUUGGGGCUUUCUUCUUAAGGACAUGAGGAUGAAACAGGUGCUACUUAAGGGCUACAUGGUUGAUGGCUUGUAUCCAAUCCAGCUACGACAACAUACAAAAUCUCCAGUUGGCCUGUUAUCAACAAUAGUAUCUAGCAGCUUGUGGCAUGCUCGGCUGGGACAUCCUCAAUCUUGAAUUCUUCAGCUUUUAUGUUUAUCAUCUUUGAAUAACACUGUUGGUUUUUGUGAAAGUUGUGUUUUGGGUAAAUCAACAAAGUUACCAUUUUGCUCUCGAAAGACAUAUGCUACUACUACCUUUUUACACACUCUUCAUACCGAUGUGUGGGGGCCUGCCUCAAUCCCAUCCUAUGAUGAAUUUUGAUUUUAUUUAAUCAUUGUCGAUGAAUAUUCUCGAUACAUAUGGCACUUUUUUAUGGCUCGUAAAUCUGAUGUUAUUACUAUAUUUACAGCAUUUCUGCAGCAAAUGGCUAACCAGUUCAAUACUACUGUAAAAAUAAUUCAAAUUGAUGGUGGAGGAGAAUUUGUAAACCAAAGUUUACAAGACUAUUUUGUAUCCAAUGGUAUUAUUCACAUAUUAUCAUGUCCCAGUACACCGGAGCAAAAUGGAUUGGUUGAACGUCGGCAUCGGCAUAUUGUGGACACUGGUUUAACAUUAAUGGCUCAUGCAUCCAUCCCCCCACGAUUCUGGACAGCUGCAUUCACAACUGCAAUAUUCCUUAUCAAUCGGCUUCCAACUUCUACUCUUGGAAAUAAGUCCCCUUAUGAGCUUGUUUUUGGAUCACCACCAUCCUAUACUCUUCUACGAGUUUUCGGGUGUGCAUGUUAUCCAUUACUUACUCCUUUUAGGCAAUUAAAAUUGGACUACAAAUCUGCCCAUUGUGUGUUCUUGGGCUACUCUACACAUCACAAAGGAUAUCAAUGUUUAAACAUGCAAACAGGUCGUAUAUAUAUUUCUUGGCAUGUAAAAUUUGAUGAAUUAACCUUUCCCUUCAAGUCUACACAAAGAUGCACCAAAUCUGACUUUCAUACGUUCAAAGUUUGUGCUUUUCCCAGGUCUCUUCAAAUUGCUACUGUGCAAUCUAUACCAACGAAUUCUUUACCUGCAGUUAUCAAUCUUGUUGGCCAUGAGCAUUCUUCAUCUCCUCAUUCAAAACUCUGCAUUAAUGCCUCAAUCUACUCCAUGCCAGGAGCCUCCUCCUAACACUGUCAUUCAGGGUGCACCAGAAUUACCUUCUCUGCCAACUAGGAUCAUCUCACAUUCUGCUCCACGUCGCCGUCAUUAUAUGAUCACACAGGCUCAAACAAGUUCAUUAAAGCCUAAGACUUUCUUUUCUUCCAGAUAUCCAAUACCUACAUGCUUUCUAGCUGAUUUUGCAAAUCACCCACAAGAGCCUCAAACGUAUAAGCAAGCUCACUAAUCCAAAAUGACAGCAAGCCAUGCAAGCUAAAAUUACUACAACAACACGUGGACUUUGAUGCCUCGACGAUCAGACAUGAACCUAGUCAACAGCAAAUGGGUGUUUAAAAUUAAAACAUGAUCUGAUGGCACAAUUGAACGCUAUAAAGCCCGACUAGUUGCCUGUGGCUUCACACAACUCCCUGGCUUGGAUUAUGAUGAAACCUUUAGUCUAGUGGUUAAACAUGGUACCAUCAGAUUAAUUCUCACACUUGGCUUAUCUCACGGAUGGUCCAUUAAACAACUUGAUGUCAGUAAUGCUUUCCUCCAUGGUGAUCUAUAAAAGCGGGUCUAUUUAUCUCAACCACCUGGCUUUGAAGACUCAUCUCAUCGCAUCCUCAUCCUAUUUGCCACUUGCAUAAACCUCUUUACGGUUUAAAACAGGCUCCAAGAGCGUGGUACAUGAAGUUCAGUGCUUAUAUUCAGCAAAUAGGUUUUCAUCGGUGUCCCUAUGAUCAAUUCAUGUUUUCUCAUCAUCAAGGUUCAGGUAUCAUUAUGCUCUUAAUUUAUAUCGAUGACAUUCUUAUAACCGGAAGCUCUCCUUCCAGAAUCAAGAGCUUUAUUUAUCAUCUAUAUGUUGCCUUUCACAUGAAGGAUCUUGGAGAUGCUCAUUUUUUUUAGAACUCCAAAUCACACGCGAUGAGUCGACCAUCACUGUCACUCAGACUCGCUAUCUUCUUUCUCUGCUUUAGAAGUUUGGACUGGCUGGUGCAAAACCAGUCUCCACCCUUAUGGCUUCUGGUACGUCAUUGACUGUUGAUGAGGGCACUCUCCUAUCUGAUUCAACUUAUUAUCAGUGCCUUGUUGGAUCGCUUUAAUAUCUCACCUUGACACACCUCGAUAUCUCCUAUGUAGUCCGUAACAUCUGCCAGUUCAUGCAACAUCCUCGCGACUCUCAUCUCAUUGUUGUUAAACGUGUAUUUCAGUACCUCAAAGGUACUCUUAAUAUUGGUCUUAACUUUGUAAAAACUCCUCACAUUGCACUUCGUGGUUUUUGUGAUACGGAUUGGGACGGCUCCAGGGAUGAUUGUUGUUCUACGACUGGUUUUGCUAUCUAUAUGGGUGAUAACUUGUUGUCUUGGGGAGCUAAAAAGCAAGCUACAGUGUCUCAUUCCAUAGCGGAGGCUGAAUAUCGUGCUUUAGCAUCCACCACUGCUGAACUUAUGCGGUUUAUACAUCUCUAAAAAACAUCGACUAUUUACUUCCUGCUCCCAUAUUAUAUUGUGACAACCUUAGUGCUAUCAAUAUGGCUAAGAAUCAUGUCUUCCAUCAUCGCACGAAACAUAUUAAGAUUGAUGUUCAUUUUAUUCAAAAACAAGUUGCUCGUGGUAUUCUUUCUCUGCAACAUAUCUCUGGUCCAGCUCAAAUCGCAGAUAUCUUUACAAAACCCUUAUGCGCUGCCAAAUUUCUACCAAAUAGAGCCAAGCUCUUCAUCAGUCCAAUACCCCUUGAGCUUAAGGGGGGAUGAAGAGAUACAGUCUGUCAACCAUGAUUCUAUCAUAUGACUUUCUCUAUUUUGUUUCUUACUCUGUUUAGUAUACGUGAUUUCCUUCCAUACAUAGCAUAAUAAGCAGUGAUUAUGUUUCCAUGUAUAGCACAAUAGACAGUAAGUUCCAUGUAUAGCACAAUAGAAAGCAAUGAUAUUAGCUAUGUAACCGUUCCCCAUGCUUCUGUAAUCUCUAUUUAAAGAUGAAUAAUAUUGAAGGAAAGACAAGUUAGUUUUCCUACAUUUAUGCUUCCAUAGCCCAACACCUUAACCAUGGCUCACUCCAUCCAUCAACUUUAUUAAAAGGGGAGAGAAAAAAAAAAGUGAAAGUGUGAUUUAAAGUAAAUUAAUAUUAUUUCAUCUUUGAAACUGGACAAAAGCAUAAUCCUAUAAAGAUUUCCAAAACCAAUAUACCCGUUUUUGAACUUGAAGCAUAUAAUGAGAGCUGAAAAGGUUUGCUAGCUUUUACCUUGGAAGCCAUGAUUUGAAGGCCAGAAUACUUGACAUCCCAACUGAACUCUAUCAUGGCCUAGCCAAUCCUACCAAGACAAUAAGCAUUGCCGAUGACGUACUCUAGAUACUUGUCAUCGCCGGUGGCCUUGUACAACCACAUAGCUCCCCACAGCAAUUCGUCUUUGUAUCCACUCACCGACGCAUAGUAGUUUUCACCACCCCCACACUUUCAUCGUAUUUACCUCUAUACUUGUCUCCAAAGUCAAACAACUCCACCAAAACAAUGAUUAUAAAAUUAUGUUGCCCUAAUACAGAAUCCACUAGAAUAAAGAGUUGUAUGAAAUUGUAAGUUGAAAUCAUAACCCCACAAGAUCUAAGUUAUCUAAUGAUAAAGUUGGUCUUUGAAUUUACCUGUUGGGCAUGGUGCAAGAGUAGGUGAGAGUACUAUUAAAGCUACAGCCAUUGUCGUCGUAGUUUCUCCAGCAAGAUCUAACCCGGGAUUAUUCUCGUCGAUCUUGUAAGCUUGUCGUGAUGUGGUCAUGUCCUCUGGCCGUUGCCAGCAAUAGUGGUCGGUGUCACCAUCACCCACCUUACAAUAUGGAGCAAUAAGGUUUGAAUAAUUAAUUAUGGACAUAAAAGCAGCAAGUUAGUCCAAAUUUGAAUUAUAAUUAAUGCAAUGUAUCAUACCUCUACCCAUAGCACAUUCGGGACUAGUAUGUGCCUUGAUGAAAUAAUCAGUGCCCCAUCUAAUUGCUUCUAAUGCAUGUUCUAAUUCUCCAGCAACGGCAAUCUGAUGUUGAAAUUCUAUUACAUUCCAUGAAAGCAUGGUCAUAGUGAACGCCAUUGGCAGUCCAAAUUUUACGUGGUCGCCUGCAUCAUAAUAUCCUCCAACCAAGUCUACCUACACAAAAUUCAAUUGAUUAUUUUGAGAAAUUAAAAUGUAAAACUUUUAGGGAGGGAUUAAUAUGGUAGUCAAGAAAUUAAGUUUAAACUGACUCCUUGUUCUAAGCCAUCAGUGAGACCGGAAUGGUGACGCCAUGUGACUCGUUGGUUGUAGGGUAAGCGACCGGAACGUUGUGACUCAAAGUAAAGGAGGCUCUUUCUUAAGGCGUCACCAUAAUCAAAAGCAAGAGUUCUUGUAUUCAAAAAGAGGAAGAUAGAGAUCAGGAGAAUACACCAAUAUUUUGCAAAUCUAGUAGGUUUUGGAGCUGCUUCAUAAUAUUGAUGCUGCUGCUUUUGUCCAUACUCAUCUUUCCCUCUAAAUCCCAACUCCCCUGAAGAGCUUUUUCUUUCUUUCUUUCUUUCUUUCAAGGGGUGGAGGGAGGCUAGGGACGAAGGAGAGAUGGGAAAAAAGGGAAGACUAGUGAGGAGUCGCAGUGACUUUGAGUCGUGUCCUCAAUCUAUGUAGUGUAGGAUUCUAUAUGUUUCAUAUGCAUGUCACUCUUCUUUUGUUCUUAAUUUUCACAAGCAUGAUUUAUACAACGAUUGAUUUUUAAUUUUUUUUUCGUCUAUGUGGAAACGGAUAGGAAUAUGGUAAGACUUUCGAGUCUCUCUCAAUUUAUGGAAAGAUUGUGACUUUUGUUUUUUUACAUUAGGUAUUUUGAGUGUGUUUGUUUACUAAGUGUACCGUGCGGUGCACUCAUCAAAAACACAGGGCACAGCUCGCGAAUAAACAUAAUCUUACUUCAAUUACUCCAUAGUUAUCCUGAUAUUUUCAUAAAAAAAUAAGUUGUUUUCCCAUUAUAUUCAAGGAAUCAAAUUAUUGGGUAGCAUACAAAAUAACUUCUCUUUAUUCAAGAAAUUAUUUGUUCUUCAGUCCUGCCAUUCCUCAUUUGGCACUCCUACUUAUUAUUCAAAUUCCAUUUUGCUUCAACGCAAAAAAUCUCAAAUAAGCUUUGAUAAACGACUGUUGUUGGGUAGUUAUAGUGGUAGAAUCAUCAAAUAAUUUAGUUGGAGGCCAUCAGGUGAAAAUCAACAAAAGCUUUGAGUAGUCUUGAUUACACCAAUCAAUCCAAGAUUGGUGGUGCCCAAGAGUAUCAUGUCAUAAUCAUCUUCGCGUGUCAGUGAAAAGUAAACAUAAUUAUUACCAAAACCCGGCAUAGCCAUGAUUAUUCAUGAUUUUUAAACUAUGAAGUGGUUUCCCAUCAUAUAUUUACUAAAAAGGCAAGCAACCAUAUUUAUUUAUUUUAUCUCUUGUUGAUCAAAGUAAAAAUAAAGUUAGAUAUAGUCGCCUACUCUAGGUUGUUUAAGCGAGUUAUUUUGUAUUUCUUACAUGGUGGACGAAUAAACAAGAGUUUGCUAUUAAAUUAAAAGUAAUAAAUAAUAAGGACUAGAUGUUUUACGUUAUGAAGCGCUGCUGGAUUACUACAAUGUAUCUACAGUGCUUUGAAAUGUCUAGUGUCAUCCUUGAAGUUUUUUAUAUUUACAUCUCUAGUUCAUGUUGUUUCUAGUUUUGACACUUUGAUCCUCAAAUCUUUUUUUUUUCUAUUUCGAUUCUUGGGUUUUAAAAUAAAAGAGAGAAAAUCAUCGAAAAAAGAAAGGAGAGAGAAAGAUUUCGAUCGACCACAAAAAAGAUCAAUUUUGAUAUCAAUGGAUUCAUAAAAAAGACGGGAGUUCGAUGAAAGUGGUUUGAGCCUUUAAUCAUGACAAAAAACAAAAGUAGACUAGAGCCCGUAAAGUUUGUUCACUACUAAAAAAUCAGCGAAAAUCAAUGGAAUUACCGACGAAAUGUUUUUAUUGAUAAUUUUUACCGAUGAAAAUAAUUCCAUCUCCAAUUUUGUCGGUAUAUACUGACAUAAAAUACCCGUCGAUAAUUUAAGUUUUUAAAUUAAAUAUUCUUUUAUUUUCACAUAAAGUAGCAUAAAAAUUAUCAGAGCAUAAGUUUUUGCUUUUUUAUUAGAAUUUACUUUUCAAAUUGUGGUAAGUAUUUAUUAAAAGAACAUGCUAUAAAUUAAAAAUAAAUAAUUUUAUAUAAAUAAAUAAAAACACAAACGAAGAAGUAAGAUUUAGCUAGAGAAACUUUUGAAAAAGAUUCCUAAAAAAGAAAAAAAAACUGUUUGUCCAACAUAAUUGUGUCUCUAUGGUUUCUUAAAGGAAAAAACUUUUUCAUGGUAAAAACUUGUUAUUUUCUAUUUUGUUAUUAAAAUAAUUUGAUAAUCAUUUAUCAUGACAAAUUUUUUAUAUAAAUAAAGUAAACGGACUUAUGCACAUACAACGAGUUUUUGUUUUUAGUUUAAAAAAUUAAAAUUAAAUAACAUUAAUCAUUAAAUGAAAUAUAAUAGAACAAUACUAUUUAAUACAGCCAGUUAAACCAGAUUGUACUUUAUGGCUAUGCUUAAGAUAGGUGCUUAUUAUAGUUAUUUGAAUUUAAUGUAAUCGUGAUUUAUUCACAUUUCCAAAGUAAGAAGAUAAGAUUAUUAAAUAGUAUUAUUUCUUUUAUUUAAAUGUAAUAAUAUUUAUUAAGUCGUAAUUGCACUAUAUGAUUCACAUAUAGCAUAUGAAACUAAUUAAUAAACUUAAAAGGUGGUGGUGAAAUAAUUUUUUAUAAAAUAAUAAAUAAAGUUACUUAAUAAUAUAUAAUUUGAAGUCAUUAUAAUCAUAAUGUCUUCAAAUAAUUAUAGAAAAGAUUGAGAUUAGGACAAGUCAAGAAAAAAAAUAUAAAUAGAAAUAUGUUUAUGACAAGUUAAGACACAAGAUAUAAAUAGAAAUAUGUUAGUAGUUUUUGUUUUUCAAAGUAUUUUUUAAAUUGUUUUUCAUCUGAAAAGAUAUUAAAUUGAUAUUUUUUAUUUUUUAUGGUUUUGAUAUGUUGAUAUUAAAAAUUUUAAAAAUAUAUAAAAAAUAUUUUAAUGCAUUUUCAAUUAAAAAAUAAUUUUGAAAAACAAUUUUCAUCACAUUAUUAAAUACACACUAAGGCUACUUAGGAUCAGUCAACAUUCAAGAAAAAAUGGAAAUAUUAGUAUGUGAAUUAUGUUGUGCCUACUUUAUUUUGACUAAAAAUUAUAGUUAUUAAACUAGCCUAAUGGAUCAAUCUAGUAACUCACCAACUCAUUGUUUGGCCUAUGUCAAGUUUUCAAAUCAGUUUAAAGAUUAACCUUGUCAAAUUCAUAUUGAAUCAGUCAAAAAUCACUAAGUUGAUUGACCCAACCAUACUAGAAUGUGAUCCGACUGGAUCAACUAAAAAAAAAUUCAAAACAAUAUUAUUUUAAAAAUAAUUUAAAUUGACUCAAUAAACUUUAGAACUAAACCUUGGAAUUAGUCAUUCCCAACUAAUUUUGAAUAUUGUAUUAAAAAGAAAUUAUAUGUAAAAUACAAUAAAUGCUUUGAAGUUGAUGAUAAUUUUAAGCUCACAAUGAUCAUCGAUUGAAAAGCCGUCACUUGUACUAAGUUUAGAAAAGACGAGGUUUAAAGCUAGUAUACAAAUGAAAUGUUAUUUUAUUAAUGUUAAACAUGAAUAAAUAGAUCAUGAUUUUAAUUAAAGACUAGUUUAUAAUAUCUCAAGACAGGCCUUGUCCUUCAAAAUUUGAAACGAUUUCAAAAUUCCUUUCACUAAUAAAAAUUUUAAGAAAAUUUUAUGAAAUCUCAAAGAAAAAAAAUUAUAUCCUAAUUUCCCAAGAUUUAUUUAUAAAUCUCUCUAACCAGAACGAUCAAUAUAUAUUUUUAAAAUAUAUUCACAUGAAAAUAAAAUUUUUUUGGCUGAGUUCUGAGCUUGAGUUGUUCUUGUAAAAACAAGUAUCUCAUGGAAUGAGAAAUACUCUGAUACUUGAGAUAAUUUUUGAGUUUGAUUGAUCAAGUAACAAGCAUGUAAAAAAUCAAGAUGAUGAAAAAUGGUGUUUAGUUGUGUGUAAAGAAACUUUGUGUUGUUAAGAUGACAAAAAAAAAAACUCAUCUUUUGCUAAACUUAAGAAUAUAUAUCCUAUCUUGAAAAAUAUUUGAGCAACUCACCAUGAAAAGUGGUAUUUUUCACUGUGGUAGCUCUAAAAUAUCAACAUAAACAGUAGUAUAAAAAAAUAGAGAGAGAGAGAGAAGUGAGCUUGUUGGGCUUUGAAAAUUUUUAUAAUCGAGUUACAUAAUAGCUCGAUUGGGAAGAAAAAAAUAAGCUCAAAGUAGCUCAGUCAGGCGAGAGAUUCAACCCAAUUGAGCCUUAGUCAGGCCGAGCCCAGUCAGUUGGUAAGCCCAAAAUCUUUUUUUUUUUUAAUUAUUAUUUUUUUUUCAAGUCUUGCAAAUGUACAUGUAUGGAAGAUUUUAAACAGCUAAAAAGAGGGAAAACAUACUUACACUGUAAAAGUUUAUAUUUGUCAUGCUUGCACAAAAAGUUACCUAUAAAGGCAUGCCUUGGAAUGUUUGCCAUUUCUAGUGAAUUCAUGAGAGAUUUUUGUAAAUGUUUUCUAAAGAAGGAUAAAUUAUCUUUUUAGAUAUAAUAGUUGCAAGGAUUUAGAAAACGAUCUUUAAUCCUUUGAGAGACAUGUGGUCACGGGGACUUGGAAACAGUUGGUCAUAAGGACCUAGAGACAAAUGGUCACGGGACCUGAAGAUAUAAUGGAGAUUUUAUUAAUCUUUAGAUCAAAUAUUCAUGUUUUUAUAUAUUUUAAUGAUAACAAUAAAAUGAAAAUUGGAUUAACAAUAUAUUUGGUUGAGAAUAAGUAUUUAAAUAGGUAAGCUUUAUACGAAUAAUAUAUCAACAAGUAUGAUGAAAGUCCAAGAAAAAAAGCAAAGUGAAGAACAGAGUUUAAGUAUUUAUUUUAGUGUUCAAUGUAAAUCUUUGGGUUAAUCGUAUUAUUGUCUCUCUCUUUGAUAUGUUUGCAUCUCUUGAGACUAUCUUAUUAUUAUUAUUAUUAUUAUUAACCAUGGAUGACAACAUCUAAGCUAAAUUUUACUUUGGUGAGUUACUAUGGAGCCUAUUGGUGAAUGGUGAGGGUAACAUUCUGGAAUUUUAGAAUGCAGAAUCUUUUUCAAAUAGAAGUCUUGAAACGUUUUUCCUAGUUUUUAUUUUUUACAGCAUUUCCUUUUCAAAUAGUAAGAUAGAACAAUAUCCUUAAUAAGGAUAGCAUUUUGUACCUUUAUUCCUUGUAGUUAUAAUACCUAUAGACACCUCAAUUCCUCACCAAUAUUAAAAAUGUUCAUGAUUUCAUUUUUCUAUGCCUUCACACCGAAUGGAUUCUGGGAACUGCAGUAUCUAAGACUAUCAAGAGACUUCCUGGAAUUUGAACAAUUUCCAGUGUUGAUUUGCAUUUAAUAUAUAUGUAUAUAUGUAUGUAUGUAUUGUUGUCAUUUUAACUGCUAUCGAGCUUACUGGGAGAAAGCGAUCUAUAACUCAACAGAGCUGUCAUACGGACAGGGCAAAUUAUAUUUGUUGCCCCAUGGUAUAUUAAAGAAUCAACUCCUCUAAAUCUGUAUUGUGUUUUUAAAUUUCAUGCAUUAUGUUUAGUUUCAAGUUCUCAAAAUUUUCAGCAAGUCAUUCAUUUGCUAUGAUGUCUGCAGUUCUUGUGUCUAUGGUUGAGGUAUAUCUUUAUUUUGCAAAAGUAUAACAUUAUCAUUUGCUUCAUGGUACCCGGUAUUGGAGCGUUUUUGGGAAAAAAAUUAAUAAAAUAAUACAGUGUAAAAAAUAUAAAUAACAUAGUUUAGUGAGUCACGAUUCUUUCAAAUUGUAACUUUGAUAAACACAACAUUUAAUAAGAAGAGAGAAGAGAGAGAAAAAAAACUCUGAAAUUAAAGCAAAACUUCGAUGAUGACAUUAGGUAUAGAAACAAGGGAUUUUGGUAUGUAAUUGAUAUCCAAGUGUCUCAACAAGGUUGAUCUGUUUGGAUUUUAGUCCAUGAUGGCCUUUUUAUUGAUUUUGAUGAUUGGAUUUCCCUAUGAAUAGAAGAGGGGUGCUUUGGAUUGGGAGUAAUCUGACUAAAAAAAUUGAAUAACCGAAAAACAGGAAAAACAUUAACCAAAAAAAUCAAAAUAACCAAUUAGAAAAUCACAAAACAUUUUCGGUUCAGUUUGGUUUCGGUUUUCAAAUUCUGAAACCGAUUGAACCCGGUUCAACUAGACUAGCACUUGAAAAAAUAAAAAAAUACAAGUAUAGAUAGAAUAUUUUCUUCUAACCCUAAACUUAAAUCAACAUUCUCAUUCUCCCCUCUCCUGCUCUAUUUGUCUCUCAUCUCUCAAAUCUGACUUAUUCCCCUCCAUGCUCCAUAACCAUUAAAUUAUAUGAUCCUCUUAUCAAGGAAUCUGAUGUGAUUAACCUCUUUCCAAGUCAACCACAGUUGUUACCAUGAUAAGUGCCAGAUUUUGUGCUCUUCGUAAUCAUAGGAUUAGUUUGAAAUAUUGUUAUUAAUUCUAAUUGUAAUUAUCUUUCCGUUACACAUAUUUUGAAUCCUGCAAUUAAGGUUCCUAGACUGUAUAAAUGCUACAAUAAAUGAAUAAGAAAUACAGUGUUGCAUUACAUAAAUAUUGCAGUGUAAAGUUCCUAUAUGGUAUCAGAGCUUAAAAAUAUCUAACGAGUAUUCAUCUCUUUCACUGUCCUUCUACUGCUUCCUGCAAAUGGCAACUUUCAAUGCACCUUCCACCGAUUCAACACUCUCACCCAUUAUCACAAUCAAUGCUGCCACAACCAUCAAUGAAAAACUCAUUCCCUCUACCUUUCAUGAGUGGCGUGCUCAAUUUGAAGCCUUGCUCAUUGGCUAUGAUCUUAUUGAUUUUGUAAUAGGUACACUCAAAUGUCCUGCUAUUGAUGCACAAAACCUCACUGCAUCUAAAGCCGCGAAUUCCCACUGGAUUCGCCAAGAUAAACUUAUUCUACAUUUUAUUCUCGCCUCCACCUCCACCACUAUUACCCCCCUUCUCUCUGCCUACAAAACAUCAAAUGAGGCAUGGACAGCACUUACUCGGUUGUAUGCCGGCAAAUCCAGAACGCGUGUGAUGCAGCUUAAGGAAGACUUAACCUUGAGCACUCGUGGGUCUCGUCCAGUUACUGAAUUUCUUCAAGGCAUUAAAGUAAUUGCUGACGAGCUCGAUGUCAUCGAUCAUCCUGUUUCAGACGAUGACCUAACUCUAUACAUACUCAAUGGAUUGGGUAUUGAAUUCAGAGAAAUUACGGCACCCAUUCGUGCCCGUGAAACGUCUUUGACAUUUGAAGAAAUUCAUGACCUUCUUGUUAGUCAUGAGAAUUAUCUUCGGCGGCUGGAGCAACAAUCUGCAAAUUCAUUUGUUCCCACUGCUAAUUAUUCUAAUCGCUGGAGCCUCAGUCUUCUUCCAAUUCUAGACAGUCCAAAUGGCGUCCUCCGGUUUCUUCUUCUCCACGUGGACAUAAUGGGGCUCACCGAAAUGGAUAUUUCAAUUCGAGUCACAGAAGGUUUAAAACAAAAUGUCAAUUAUGUGAUCAACUGGGUCAUACCACUAAACAAUGCCCAAAAAUGUCUGGUUCUGAUUUCUCUGCAAAUUAUGCAGCUUCUUCUCAACCCAAAAAUCACAAGUGGCUAGUUGACUUAGCAGCAUCUCACAAUAUGACCACUGAUCUCUCCAAUUUGACGAUUAAUUCUGAAUAUAAUGGUACUGAUGAAGUGGUAAUUGGGGAUGGAUCAGGUUUGCCUGUGUUUCAUAUUGGGUCGUUAUCUCUAAAAUCGUCCAAUCAUAUCUUUCAUUUACGUGAUACUCUUUGCGUUCCAACCAUUCAUAAAAAAACUUAUAUAUGUUCAUCAUUUUACCAAGCAUAACAAUGUUUACAUUGAAUUUCACCCUACUUAUUGUUUGGUGAAGGAUCGGAUCAUGGGGGCGCUCCUACUCAAGGGUGAAUGUGAAGAUGGAGUGUACCCAUUUCCAAAGCAUCUACCAUCUUGGUCAUCCAUCACCCAAAUUGGUUAAUCAUCUCAUUCAUGCUUUUUAUUUACCCACCAAUAAAACUGGCAGUUCUUCUUUGUGUACUUCAUGCUCUCAAAAAAAAGCUCAUCGUCAAUCAUUUAGUACUCAUAGUCUUACCAGCACGACUCCUAUUGAACUGAUUUACACGAAUGUUUGGAGCCCAUCUCAUGAAAUUGGCAUUAAUGGAUUUAAAUAUUAUGUUAUUUUUGUAGACCAUUAUACCAAAUAUAUUUGGAUUUAUCCCAUGACUCAAAAAUCAAAUGUUCAAACCAUUUUUCCCUAAUUUCACAAUCCUGUGGAAAAUCGUUUCAACACAAAAAUAAAAAGUCUAUAUUCUGAUAAUGGUGGGGAAUAUGUUGGUCUCAAAAAUUAUCUUUCAGUUCAUGGCAUCAGUCACUAUACUACUGCUCCUCAUACUCCUCAACAAAAAUGGUUUGUCUGAAAGGCGACAUCACCAUCUCGUUGAAAUUGGUCUUACCUUGCUCACCGAUGCUCACAUGCCUCUUAAUUAUUGGCCCUAUUCAUUUCAAAUUGUUGCCUAUCUAAUAAAUUGCAUGCCCACUGCCACCUUGAAUAAUCAAUCUCCAUUUGAAAAAUUAUUCAAUCAAAAACCCAACUAUCUCGAACUCAAAUAAUUUGGUUGUCUUUGUUAUCCAUUAACCCGACCAUACAACAAACACAAGCUUGAGCCGAAAUCCAAAUCAUGCAUAUUCAUAGGUUACAGCUUAUCCCAAAAUGCUUAUUUGUGCCUUGAACAAUCUACCAACAAAAUUUUCAUAUCCCGCCACGUCAUUUUUCAUGAGAGCACUUUCCCAUUUCAACAGUCCGGUCAUAACAGUGCUUCUUCUUCUCCAUUAGUUGAGCAAAGCUCUUCUGUGCCAAUCUCCUUAUCCAAGCUACCGUUCGAUUCACCUUGUCCCAACACUUCUCUGGAUGUGGGUAUCGAAGUCUUGCAAUCGUUUGAGCGUGGGUUGUCCUCUACACCGUCUCCUCUCCAGGUAAGUAAUUCAAAUUCACCUCUGCUUUUAAAUCCCAGUCAUUCCCUUGAAUUAUCUACUUCCAUUAUACCUGAACAUAUUACUGUGAGAAUGCAUCGUAUGACUACUAGGUCCAUGAAUGACAUUUAUAAACCUAAGAAAUCAUUCCUUGUUACCAAACACCCCAUUCCAUCCUCCUUAGAACCCAUGACUGUUACUAAGGCUCUCAUUGAUUCUCGAUGGCGUGAGGUCAUAUCCUCCGAAUUAACUGCUUUAAUGUGUCAUAAUACCUGGCAAUUGGUGCCUCCCCCACCUGAUUGUAAUAUUAUUGGUUGUAAAUGGGUAUUUCGGGUGAAGAGGCAAGUUAAUGGGUCUGUUGAUCGGUUCAAGGCUAGACUCGUAGCUAAAGGGUUCAAUCAGCGACCCAGACUGGAUUACAAAGAAACAUUUAGUCCUGUUGUUAAAUCGGUCACCAUACACACUGUCUUGACUAUCGUUAUGAUGCAGGGAUGGACUUUGCGCCAAUUGGAUGUUAAUCAUGCAUUCCUUCAUGGCCAUCUCACCGAAACAGUUUAUAUGAAACAACCUCCUGGCUUCAGGAAUUCUGAUCAUCCUGAUUAUGUUUGUUGCCUCACCAAGGCUAAAACAGGCCCCCCGUGCCUGGUUUUCUGCUAUUAAUCAUGCCUUGAUAGAAUUUGAUUUUCUAAAUUCUAAAUCAGAUUCCUCUCUAUUUGUGUUUCAUAAUGGUUCUACUCUUGCCUAUUGCCUAGUAUAUGUUGAUGAUCUGAUUAUCACAGGCAAUAACACAGCUUUUGUUGCAAGUAUUGUUGAUCAUCUUGGCAGGAAAUUUUUCAUCAAAGACUAGGGGUCCUUACAUUUCUUUCUUGAUGUUGAGGUUAUUCCUACUGCAGCUGGCUUAUUUCUAUCUCAGCACAAAUAUAUCCUAGAUUUACUUGCAAAAACCAGUAUGGGUGGUGCUCGAGAUGUUGCCACGCCUCUAUCACCAUCGGUUCCUUUACAGUUGGAUGAUGGUUCUUCAUCUGUUGACUCUACUGAAUAUUGUCAAGUUAUUGGCGCCUUGCAAUACUUGUCCCUCACCCGACCUGAUAUCAGCUUUGCUGUAAAUAAACUCUUUCAGUUUAUACAUCAUCCCAAGCAAACUCAUUGGACAGCAACAAAAAGACUGUUGCGUUAUCUGAAGAACACAAUCUUUCAUGGAAUUACUAUCAGCAAAACAUCAAGCAGCACAUUAACUUGCUUCUCGGAUGCGGAUUGGGCUGGAAGUCUUGAUGAUAGGAAAUCCACUUUAGCUUAUCUGUUAUUCCUUGGUAACACACCAAUUUCCUGGAGUUCUAAAAAGCAACGUGCUAUUGCACGAUCGUCAACUGAAGUUGAAUAUAGGGCCUUGGCAACAGCUGCGCUGAGAAUGUGUGGGGUUAUCUCUACUCCAAGAACUUAAGUUUUGUCUAUCACAACCACCUCUGCUCCUAUGUGAUAAUUUGGGGGGUAACACACUAAGUUUCAAUAAUGUCCAGCACUCUAGGAUGAAACACAUACAAAUUGACAUUCACUUUGUAAGAGAUUUGGUUGCGAAAAAAAUUCUUAAUGUUCAACAUGUUCACACGACUGAUCAGUUGGCGGAUCUGCUCACCAAGCCUCUCUCCCGGCAAAGAACAGAAUUCUUACGUGACAAGAUCGGUCUAUCCGAUGGUAGCUCGUUCUUGCGGGGGCGUAUCAAGGCAUCUGAUGUGAUUAACCUCUUGCCAAGUCAACCGCAGUUGUUACCAUGAUAAGUGCCAUAUUUUGUGCUCUUCGUAAUCAUAGGAUUAGUUUAAAUAUUGUUAUUAAUUCUGAUUGUAAUUAUCUUUGCAUUACAUAAAUAGGAUUAGUUUAAAUAUUGUUAUUAAUUCUGAUUGUAAUUAUCUUUGCAUUACAUAAAUAUUGCAAUGUAAAGUUCCUAUACCUCUGUCGUCCCAUUCAAAAACACACCUGAAAUUAGAUUGUUCUAGAAAGAAAAGACCCAGACGAGGAACUGAAUAUUGGUUCGGUUAUUAUUUGUGAUUUUUUUUUUAAGAUUUGUGAUUUUAAAAUUUUUUCAAUAAUAUAUAUGAUGUCUUCAUUAUCAUUGUUUUGAUGUGUCUUCAGAAUUUUUUAAACAGAGAAGAUAAAAAUACUAUAAACAAAAAACAAAAUUCCAACGUCACAUUUAAGCUCUAUGACACCACAAUUAUCAUUGCUGGAAAAAUCCCUCACAACUAGUGCAUACAAGGCAGCAUCUCUUUUAGCUAUUGCUACUUCACCUCCUGCGUAUGUGUUGAGCAGAGAGGCAUUUUCUGGCAAGUGAGUCAUUUGACACAACCGUUACUCACUGUGCAUCUUCUGUGAUCUUUACCUCUCACUUCGAUCUAGCAUCUAGGAAAUGGUAUCACCAACGCUCUUUAAAACAAUUUGAACAAUCUUCACAUAUUCAGCUAGAUUUUAAAGUUUUUCCUUCCCUUGCUGGAACUGUCAUGUUUAUAUUGGAGACUCGGAUGAUUUUUAUGUUGUUUUGGCAGGACACUGGCAUAUUGCUUCAUGACCUAUGUACGACACACUUGAACCAGAAAUCUGUAACAAUACCUUAGAUCAUUAUGUUGGUUUCAGUAUUUUUCUGGAAACUUGGUUAUGAAUUUCAGAGAAAAUGUGGGACUCCUUGGACUAAAUCGAGGUGGAAGUGGCAGAGUUGUCCAAAUGUCCGCUGGCUUCGUAACAUUCUUCUCUAACUUAGGUUUGUAGCUAAAAGUUUGAACUGCUGUCAAAUGUAUCACAGUUGAUUGUCGCCGUGUUAUCAGACAAUACAUUAGCGGUGAAGAGGUCAAAGAAAGAUGGAUGCCAUGGCGGGUAAGUUCAAACAGAUUUUUUCCACCACCAAAUGAUUCUGCAAUAUAAUUGAAUUCACAUGAUGCAUCGUUCCAGCUUCGAGAAGUAGAUCAUUUGGCUGUGGUCUUAGCAGUCACAUUUUCAGGCCAUAAUUGGAGAAUCACAGUACCAUUUAGUUUAUGCGAAAUCGUAAACAUAAAAUAAAUUUUUUGAUCUCAAUCUCCAUUAUACCCCAGUUCGAUUAGCAGAGAGUGAGAUUGGAUCAUAAAAACAUCAAAAUUCAUGAAUUUUUAAAGAUAUCUCACAUGGUUUUAAAAGAGGAUAUCAAAUUCAUUGAAAAAGAAAUUAUGGUUUAAUUGAAAUGCCCAAAAGAUAUCAAAUUCAUCAAAACCUCAAGAACAUUAUUAAAAUCAUUUUUAUGCAGUAUUAUGAUGCCUCAGACACAGCCAGUAUAAAUUGACAUCAAAAUGAGAUUCAGCCGGUAAUUCCAACUAAACAAAAACAAUCAUCAUAGGCUACAUAAUACCCUUCGCUGCACAAAAUUCAAAAGAUAAUGGUUUUUGAAUAAGAUUAAAAACAAGAAAAACAUAUGUAAUCGCAGGAAACGGCUCCGUGUACCAACUAAGAUGAGAUCCACAGAUUCCUAUCAGCAAACGAAACAUGUCAUUGGUUUCGGUCCAAUCAUAGCAUCGCCGGUCAACGCCUUUUCGGCUACCGGCGACGUGGCAUCAGACCUUAAUUGCUCAGAAACAAACAUGAUUAAAGAAAUAAAACCCUCAGAGACCCGUUCCAAAUCACACACACAGCGGCACACAGUAGCCCACGUGAUCCCGAUCAAUCAGCGACCCAAGGAAGACGAAUCCGGGAGAGGAAACGCCUCUCUUGGGCUGUGAUUGAUGGAUGGGAAACGUGGGUACGUGAGUGUGACCGCUGCUGUUUAAAGUGUCAUACGGCACUUCCUAUCUUUUGGGAUUGCUUCCUCAUAGGGAGAUUUUUUUUCAAAAGGGAUAAAAACAACGAGAAAUUGAUGUGAUUUUGAAAAAAUUAAGCUUAAACUGCAGCUGGGAAACCCUAGAAUUCUAGACGGGAGAUGGCGCUUUAAGGAGUAGAGAGGCGUCGAAGGGUUUAUAUAGAGAGGUGCAGGGUAACCCUAGCUAGCUG